AAUAGAAACCAAUCUAGGCUCUGAUACCAUUGAUGGGUUUUUACCAUAUGAACAUUCCUAUGUGCAGAUGCAAACCCUAAUGCUUGGAUCUAGGUUUCUUCAAUUAAACAUGCAUUGAAUCCAAGACUUCUAAUGGCUAAUAAAGUAUAACAACAAUACAAAAUCAGAGUUAGAAGUUUACCUUGAAUAACUUGCUUGAUCUUCUUGUCCUUGGAGCUUUAGAGUCACAAAUGUUACUCCUCUAAUGGCUUACAAACACCAACUAGCAAGGAGGAUGAUUUGAGAGAGAGGAGAGGGAAGAAAAUCGGCCAAGGUUUCUUUUCUAAGAACAAGUGAUGAUUUCCCUUGCCCCAAGGGUCUAUUUAUACUUGUAAGGCUCCUAGGGUUUCACCCUUAAACCCUAAUUGGAUAACUUAGGCUCUAAGCAAUCCAAUACCCUAUUGAUAAGCCUUGGACGAAUUCUAAGCUUAUCCUAAGCCCUAGAAAUCGUCCAUCCUUAUUCAUAAGGGAUUUAUAGCCCAAAGUGCAACUAUCAAACAAUUGACAGUUUAUACCCCUUUAUUUAAUUAAUCUCUUUAAGUCACCAAAUUAAUUCCUAAUUAAUUUUUGACUUAUAUUAAUCAAAUAAUAAUAUUGUUAUUCCUUAUAUUAUUCUUAUAAUAUAUUAAUAAUAUUCUUUCUCUCGUAAUAAAUCAUCUUGUUAAGUUGCUAUGGUCAAGGCAACCCAAAAGGACCAUGCAUAAUCGGGUUAAAUACUUGCCUAAUAUAGUUGCAGCCUUAGACACUAUUCCAACAGGUACCACUAGAGGAUGUUCAGGUAGAUGCGAGCCUGAACUAUGUUGAGAGGCCGAUCGCGGUUCGGGAUAGGAGGACCAAGGUUUUGAGGAACAAGGAGGUGUCAUUAGUUCAGGUCCAGUGGCAACAUUGGAAGGGGUCCGAGCUGACUUCGGAGCCGGAGUUAGAGAUGCGUGAGCAGUAUCCAGAGUUAUUUGUUGAGCGAGACUUCAAGGGCGAAGUCUGAUUUUAGUGGGGGAGAAUUGUAACAUUCGAUUUUCCAGCAAGAAGAAGGAGAUCCUAGCCAAGAGGAAGCAAAUAAGGUUGCUAUUCUGUAGUUUUGAAGCUAAGAUCAUCACAUUUGAGGUACCAUUUCAAUUCAUCUUCUGAUUUAUGAAGUAUAUAUGGAUUUAGGGUUUCUUAUGCCCUUUUUUAGGAGGAAUUGAUGUCCAAAUAAGUACCUCAUGGUGAGGAGGCUUUAGAUCUGGAUCCAUAAAGAUCCAGGGAGCCUUACUCAUCAAGCUUUAUGAAGAGCAAUGAAGGUUAGGACCUUGGGUUGAGGUAUUGGGGGCUAAAUCAUCAUAUAUGGUCUUAUAGACGUUGCAUGUGCAUCAAGAUAGAGACUUUACGUGAUUAUUGAGCUAGGGGAGGUUAUAUCUAAGGGUUAGAGGAACAGAUCUGACCUCAGGAAGUCUCUUGAGUUUGAGCACGGUAUGAACUCGCUGAGUCCAUGAACAGACUCGACGGGUAGGAGCGGGUUUCCCUGAGGAUCACAAAGUUGAUGACUCACUGAGUUGAGGGAAUGACUCGGUGAGUUAGAGGGGAUUUAGGGGAAUUGAGUUCACGACUGAACUCGCAGGUUUGUUGUGAAAAUGUUUUGUGUAGUUUGUAAGAAAACAACCCAGAAAAUCCGAUAUUUUCUGAAAAGACCAUUAUUUAUAUAAAAGUGUGAAGAUACGUAAAUAUAUGCAUCAUGAUUUCCAAACGUGUAUGGUUGAAAAACUUUGUAUUAAAAGUCCCAAUGAAAAAUGUUGAAUUUCCCCAGGAAACCCGAUGUUUUCCGAUAACAAAAUAUCAUAUAACUGUUCGAAUUGUUAUUCCAUCACAUGAAUGAUUUUGAUUUACCUUGAUUACUUGAUUAAUAUUGGAUUUAUUUAUGUGAGUCGUUAUAACCAUGCAUGAUAAUGACUAGUUCGUCUGUCUUGGCAUUCUGGUGAACACCGGAAUUGAUCUUAAGAUUUUGUCACCCUAGACUGGCUGAGUCUAACUAUAGCGAACAGCUGAGGUGUAGGGGAGUCACCCUCGUAUAGAUUUAUACACAAACUCUCGCUCUCCCUCCAGGAGACUUUGAUUAUAACUACAGACUAUGACCGGCACACGUUGGUGCCACCUGUUAUUUCUCACUAAAUCCCAAUUGACUUUAAUUACUAUUGAUUAUCGACCUAUAUUUGUUUACCUGGACUGACGAUCGGCCUAAUAAACGAGGAGAAGAGGAUUACAAGAUCCUACUAUUCCCGCGUAUUAUUUAUGGCUAUUGGUUAUACGAAGAACACGCUGGCCUAUUUCGCAUUUGAUUUACUUGAACCUUACUAGCAAUGCUAAUGGGCCACCAAGGCCCAAUAGCACUUAAAAGCCAUUGAGGGUCCCUUAAAUAUGAAAUUGGAUCAUAGAAGGCCCAAUAACAUUUAUUAUUAUCCCUUGGGCCCAAAAAUCAUGUUAAUGGGUCACAAAGGCCUAACAAGCAUGAUUUGAGACUUUCAAGCCCAAAGAUUUGAAUGUUUACUCGUUUUAGGUAUAGUUUGAUUGUUGGAAAGUUUGAUUGAACCAUUGUUAAAUUUGUAUCGGUACGAGACCGGUCAGUCGUUUUUAACGACGUUGAGAUUAUACGUAUUUUCAUCUUUCCAUUUUCAUGAAUUGUAGUUUGGUAUUUUUAUUUUAACUAAAAUAUCUUAAAAAUAAAAUAAUUGACUCUAAAAUCUUGGUUUGAACCCCUUUCGGCCCUUCUUUGGUAAAAUUGACGAUUUUAGUCCUUUAUAUAAAAAGACAUUUUAAGCUCUUAAACCAUUUUCUUGACACUUUUGACCCAAAGACUUGAUCAAGUGACAUUUUUAGUUCAAAACUUACUCUUUGGCAGUUUCAGCCCUUCCAGAAAAAGUAUUUUUUGGUUAAAGCCCAAAGUUUUGCAACUUUUACAAUUUUGGCCCAAAAUCCAAAAACUUUACAUUUUUGAUCCUCUUUGGAAAAGAAAAGCAUUCUAACCCUUGAAAUAGUUUUGCUUAACUUUUUAUCCCCUGUUUGGAGGAAUUUAUCAUUUUAGCCCCUUGAAAAUCAUGUUUAUCGCAAUUUUGGGCUUAAUGGGCCGAAAAGCCCAAAAAUUGGCCCAUUAAGCUACAAAUUACAUUUCUAGUCCUUUGAAGAGCAUAAUAUUCAUAGGAACAUUUAUUGUAACUGUUUUGACUCUUUUGAUCCUUAAGAAAACCGUGAAUGGCAAUUUUUAAUCCAACUUUUGUUUAUUUGACAAAUUAAGCCCAAAAAUUGGUUUUAUGAUUUCAAUAUGUUGAUUUUAAUCUUAGAGGGUAUUUUUCCUUGACUUGUUUAGUGUAAUAUAUCCUAGUUCCUGUACGUUUUCCUUCUUGUUCCAUAGAUUUCGAGAUUUCUUCCCUUUUUGUUACAUAUUUACCACAUAAACACAUAAAAUCACACAUACAUACAUGAAAUCACACAUUGCAUACACAUACACAUAGAUCUACACAUUUUAAUUGUAUUCUCCCCCAUAAAACUUGUGAAAAACCGAAAAGAGAGGGGUAUGAACUUGCCUUGAGUUUGUGGGUUCGAUUUUGAAGAAGAAUGGAAGAAGUUUGAUGCUAUUCUCGGCCUAGCAAGCUUCUUGGAGGAUCUUUGGCUUAGAUGUGUUCUAAGAAGCAAGAUCACGAAUUUUGUAUGAGUUAAGGAGAGAUUUUUGAUAAAACAAAGAGUCUAGACUAUGGAUCCAAGCAUCAACUUACCUAAGAUGAUGACUCUUAUGGAGAAUCCUUCUUGAAAGCUCUUAAAUCUCAAAAUUUUUGAUGAAGAAGCAAGAGUGUUCUUUGAGAGUGUUUGAGUGAAUUGUGUGUGUGUGUCCUUCCCUUUGUGUUCUCGGCCGAAGAAGAAACGAGAGGGGAGAAGAGAGAGUGUGAAGUGAUAGAUGCUUGGAAGUAUGGGAUAGUUGCAUGGAUAUCCCAUGUAUAAUUGUGAGGUGGUAUGUAAAAAUUCAACUCUUCCUCCCUUUGUUUUGUGGUUGGGCCGAGAGAGUUAGAAGGAAAUAAAGAAGUUGGGCCUUUUUGUGCUUAAGCCCAUAUUAUGAUCCAAUUAGAUGAUUUUUGGCCCAUUAGGGUAUUUUAUUUCAUUCUAGGCCCAUUAUGGCCCAAAAUGUUAAAAUAAAUGAAAGUGGGUCUAAUUAGAGCCCAUUUAAGAGUUCUACGCCCAAAAUAGUCAAAUUGGAAGCUUAUUGGCCCAAUAGGCCCAAUAAGGAAAUCCUAGUCCAUAAUGGACUUAAACCGGGAUUUCUAGGGUUUCCAAUCUUUGUUAACUACUUGAAGUGCUUGUAUAGAGUGUUUGAUGGAAAAUUUUGUUGGUAUUGAAUAAGCAUCAUUCAUGCUUUCACAUUUUUGGUUCACAAAUUUUAUCAUUGUUGUAGUUACAUGGUAUAGAAUUCCUAGUUGUGACAUAACUAAAAUCUGAGAUACUACUUCAUGGCACAACAAUACAUUGUUGUGCCAUGUUUUGUAACCAUAAUCUCUUGGAGAGAGAGCGGGCAUUGUGUGUAUAGAUCUAUAUGAGACUGAGAAUCACACACCCCGACUAUUAGCUACAGUCCCAACUAGAGAGGCCAAAGGGUGACAAAUGUCACCUAUUUAGUUUCAAUGCCAGAAGGUCGUCGUGUUCUUUCAUUGUCAACUAGCAUGGUUACAACCUUAUCACAUUAGAACCCUAAUUAAACCAACUUAAUUACAAGGUUUCCAUUAUAUCAGUAGCGUAUGCUUAAUAAAUACUACUGUAUUAAUCAUGACCCAUAAUAAGCUAAACGUUUUUACUGGACUUAAUACUACUUUCAACAAACGAAAUGGAAGACAGUCACCUUAUAAUUUUAUGGAGAGCUAAAACUAUCUCUAAAUAGGUUAUAAGUACAAUAACACUUAAUCAGAAUGGUUUUAUGGAGUAAAACAACUUUUCUGUUGUAAAAUAGAAAUUAUAGGACUUUCUGAAGCAAACUCAGUCAUUUUCUUAAAGCUAAAACAACCAUAACUAAAUACUUAUGAACUCACCAAAUUUAAUGCUGAUCCUCUCCAUUAAAAUAACUUGUAUUCUCAGGAACCCAAUAGACAGGUACACUCCCGGAGAAUUUGAGAAGACAGCUUAGUAUCGUGUUGCAACUUUUGCCUUUUUCUAUAAUCUACUUUUGAUGUUGAACUUAUGUAAAAACUUAUACAUUAUUAAUGCAAUGGUUUUUGUACUUUGAUUUCUAUAAUGCAUGUGUUGUGAUACUUGACAUGACGUCCUCCGCCCCUGAGUGUUUACGCCAAUUCAGUUUGGGGGUGUGACAGAUUGGUAUCAGAGCAUUAUUUAUAGAGAAAUCAGUAUAUCAAUUCAUUAAAGAUAUACAACUAUAAAUACAUUGGGAUAAAAACUCUCUGACCAAAAGUUAUACGUUAAAAUAAUAAUAAUAAUAAUAAUAAUAAUAAUAAUAAUAAUAAUAAUAAUAAUAAUAAUAAAAAUAAUAAUAUNNNNNNNNNNNNNNNNNNNNNNNNNNNNNNNNNNNNNNNNNNNNNNNNNNNNNNNNNNNNNNNNNNNNNNNNNNNNNNNNNNNNNNNNNNNNNNNNNNNNNNNNNNNNNNNNNNNNNNNNNNNNNNNNNNNNNGUAAGAUAAAAGUUUUUGGAUGUUGGACAUUACCGUCAAACCUGGGCAAUUAUGUAAUCAUAUCUGGGAUAAAUAUAGCAUGGUCAACUAUAUUUAUUUGAGAUACGACCAACGUGUGUUUGGGAGUGAUAGUGGUGUUGCAACAAGUACUUACCAACCAUAUACAUAAAGGAAUGCUAGAACCAAACCUAAAGUUUAAAAUACUAUAGUAGUAUUUCAUGAUGCUAUAUAAUAACAACAAACCUAAAAGAAUGUCAAGAAAUUCUAGAACCAAACAUAUAAUUAAAAUACUAUAGGAGUAUUUUAGAAACCAUAAAUAAACCUACGUGAAAACUAAAAGACCCUUACUGGUAGGUCUAUAGUUACGGAGUGUAUGCUUCCAAGAUUAUAUAUAUAUAAUAAAGAUCUUAUAGACUCACAAUGUGUGGUUUCACUUUAUUUCCUUUUCCUUGUUUGGAUGUGGAUAUAGGGUGGUAUCACAUAUUCGAAAUUCUAUUAGAUCUGAGCUAUAUAUAAUUUGUAUGUACUAUGUGAUUCUACAAGGUCCCGGUAAGGAUCACACAGUAAAAAUAUUUUAUUAACCUCUUAAGAUUCUUUAGACAUUCACAUUAUCAUAUAUACCACUUAGAUAGAUGUAGCCACUUCAGUAGUCAGCAGAGGAGUCAACAAGGACCCAUAAGAGAUUCAUUAGGAGGAUUUCCGAGAAGGAAACCGAUGAACAAUAAAGAAACUAUGGAAAUCACGAUGUGCCUUUACUUUAUUAGGGACAUCGGUGAGAAGUUCGCCUGAAUUUCCAAGAUUCAAAAUCUCCAUUAUGAAGUAAUGAGGAUGAGUGUCAAAAUCGGAAGUAAGAUGACACGAAAAUUCAAUAUACCUGUGCAGGAAAAGGACACUGUAUAGGACCCCGUAGAUAGCCAAAAUCAUUACCACCCAGAGUAAAACAGAGAACAGAGGGAGCCCACGCAUGAAACACGACAAGUGUUUUUGUGCCUAUUGUGUCACCUUAAUAACAAAUAAAUUAAUACAACUUAGUGAGUCAGUGAUUACACUGCUCAAAUUAUGUGUUAGGCUUAUCACCGUUUCCGUCACGACUAAUAUCGGUAAAUCAGAUCACGAAAUCUCAAUUAAGAAUGAUUAUUUCUAAAAAUUCAUAAGUCUUUCCUAUGUAGUCUCUGCUCUAAACUGCUUUCAAAUCUUUUCGAAAUUGGAGAGUGAUAUCCACCCAUCUAAAGAUAACUUAGUUCGAGCGACACCCGGUUUAUGACCUUUUCUAAAAACUUACUUCUACCUUAUUUUUACCAGGACUUCAUCAUAGGGAUGUAGGUCGAAACUUUGAGAACCAUAGAUCAAAACACAGAAAAAUUUAUAAGUAAUCUAGAAGCAACCAUCGCCGCUCACAAGCUUGUUUCCUCAUCGUGUAUCAUAAUCAUGCCUCCGAAGAAACAUAACCAACACAAAUCCUUAAUUCAGCUACAUUUCAAGCUGCAGUCGGCUGUCAUGGCUCACCUUAAUUCUAGCAACACAAAUGUUCGUGGAAACGUUAUCGGCGAUCCUGAUCACAGUGAUAACCAAGUAUUGCAGCAAGCGCCUGCCUGUAAAGACACACCAAACCUCAACCCUAAGAGUAAGAAACGACUGUUCUGGGAUAAAAAGAAGUGCAAAUCAUCUUAAAAGAUGGUCAAGAGACAGCACCCAGAGACAGCCUCUGCGGCCACGACAUCUGUUGCUCCUACUACCAUUCCUACUGAUGUCCCAGUUACCCCUACCCCAACAAGGCAGUAUGUCGGAAACCUACUCCAAUGCAAGAAGUGUAGCUUUUAUCACCUGGGAGUCUGCCGAGUGUUGCAUUGCAGGAACUGCACCAAGAAGGGGCACACUACCCAUUUCUGUAGAAUCCCAAUCCAACACAUCACUUCAACCACCAAUGUUGGGAUUAGUCCAAUAUGCCACCUAUGUAGUGAAAUAGGACAUUUCAAGAGGGACUAUCCAACAGAAAGAAAUGAUUAGGGCACAGGAGGAGUUUAACCCCGAAUCAAGAAGAAGCAUCAGAGAAUCCUGUUAAAAUUUUGGUACGCUUCCCAACCUUAAUAAUUAAUUAAAAAUUAUAAUUUCUCUCUCGUUAAAACAAAAUCACAGCACUAUCAUAAAACUAAGAACCCUAGUAAGUAAGCUAUAAUGGCUUAGUGUAUACGUUAAGGCCAUUUAUAAUUAAGAUUUGAAGACCUAGAGUGAGUGAUGCGGCCUCAUUUCAUAUCCCUUGUUUGGUUGUGGAUUUAGGGCAGAGUCACUCAGUCAACUGUAUUUCCAAUCUUAAUUAUGCAUGACUAGUAUGCACUAGUCGAUUAUAGAGAGACCUAGUAGGUAUCAUUCCAUGAAAGUAAAUUAUUCCAAAUCAUUAGGACCCUCAAAUUGUUAAGCGCUCGUUAUUUUCAGUUCAAAAGUUCACGGUAGUAUUACCAUGUACGAAAUCGGAAGCACUAAAAUCUUAUGUACUUGAUAUAGCACAACAUCCUGAUAAUCAUUUUUUCCAUAUCGAUUCGAUAUCUAUUACGUAGAGGAAUUCCAACAUCGUCAUUUGUCAUGGUUUGGUUUGGCCCUCACCAUGCAAAAAUUUAUAUGCUGUGCAAAAGAACUUUCACCUUAGCCAACCAUCAAAUAAAAUUCUUUCAAGCUAUAAACGACAAUCUUAAUACGAACCCUCAUGUCGUCUCUCGCAUCCAAACUUCCGAAGUACCCAAGAGAGGGGUACCACUCUUUGUUAGCCUAUCCAGUAGUCAGUAAUAUUGAAGUGAAAAGCGCUAAAGAUAUCCUACAAGCCAAUAACCACCCGAGGUAUACACAAUAGAUCCCCUAGAAAUACCACUCGUAUAACAUGGUCAGGUUCGUGAAAAGAGAAUAAGAACUCACGGGAUUAUUCUAUUAUUGCCAAGUGUAUACGCGAGAGUGGUAUAUAUUUUAGAUCAAUAAGGUUUAUGAUGUGUGAUUCCGCCUUAUUUCCUGUUCCUUGUCUGGUGGUGGACUUAGGGCAGAGCCACCCAUCCGAACAUCUUGUGAGUCUCAACUAUAUACGACAUGUAUACACAAAGUAGUGAUGAACGAGCCAAGUAUGAGUCUUAUCAUGAACCUUGAAGUAAAACCUUUCAUCAUUUAUCCGACGAGAACGAGCUUGAACACAAGAAAACAGUUGUGGGCCGAACUACUAAAUGACUAUGAAUUUAAAAUUUGUUAUCAUCCCGAUUAAGCCAAUGUAGUAGUUGACGCCCUUAGUCGAAAAGAGUUCUCAGUUCAUAGAGUCAAGUCAUUGACUAUGACCAUCCAUUCAUACCUGCCCACACGAAUUAAGGUGGCUCAGCAGGAAGCCUAGAAACCUAGAAAAGGGUCAGGUGAAACUCGGAGAAGGAUAGAACUUAGAGGUCAUGGGUGACGGAAUCUUAUACCACAUGGAUUUGGUCUAGACACCGAAGUUUGGUGGCUUCAGAGACGUUGUCAUGAAAGAAUCUCACAAUACUCGGUACUCCGUUCCUCCAGAUUCAGACAAGAGGUGCCUAGACCUCAAAAAGUAUAUCAGUGGUCGGGCAUGGGAAAUGUAUAUGGCUACCCUAUAGGCAAGAGUCUUUCCCACACCUAAGUUAUAAGUAGAAUAUUAAAAACCCAUAGGAUUCCGACCCUGCAGGAUUCCGACCCCGACCGGUUGUAACUGAGUGGAAGUGGUAGCGGAUUGUGAUGGGCAUCAUAAUUAAGUUACCCGAGGCAACGAGUGGACUCGAUAUCAUUUUGGGUGAUCAUCGACAGAUUAUCCAAGUCUGCACACUUCCUGCAAAAUGAAGGAAGUAGAAAAAAUAGGAAAACUACUAGAACGUGUGUCUGAGAGAUUAGUUAGACUGCACGGUAUUCUGAUAUCUGCUAUCUCCAAUUGAGAUAGUGGACCCAUCUCCCAAUUCAGGUAGUCACUUCAGAAAUCUUUGGGAACUAGGCUGAUCAUGGACAUAGCCUACCAUCCCUAAAACAACAGACCGAAUCAGAGAAACGAUUCGACCAUUAAAAAUUAUGCUGAGAGUGCAUUUGAUCAACCUUGUUAAAGCAUAAGAUAUCCAUUUGCCAAUUAGUCGAGUUUCUUAAUAUACUAGUAUUCGAAGUUGCCCCAUUCGAAACCCUCCUUGGCCGUAAGUACAAAUCCUCUCUGCACUGGACUAAGGUAGGUGCCACACAACUAGCUACAGGUCAAAUUUCAGACAACACAUCCGUUGGUCAAGAAAUCACUCGAGGAACUACUAAGUAGAGUGUACGAAUCCGAAAGCAAUGUAAAUCUUCCAGGACCAAUCAGAAAAGCUAAGCCUUUAAUAAGAGAAAAGCCCUUGGAGUUCCAGGACGGUGAUCACGUCAAGUGAAGGUCACACCCUGGGAAGGCAUAAUCUACUUCGGAAGCAUGGAAUACGAAUCCAAGGUACUUACGACCAUUUGAGACUCUUGAUAGAAUUGAACUAGUAGCUUAUAGACCCUGACUACCUCGAGAAUCAAAUAACAUACACCCUACAUUCCACGCCUGUAACAUGAAAAAGAGUUUGUCUAUCGGGACUCUUAUUUUUUCACUCGCUUAGAUCAAGCUAAGUGAGAGACUCAACCUUGCGAAGGAAUCCAUAGAAACACUAGACAGCAUUGUCCAGAGAACGAAAACAAAACCAUAGCCCGUUAGUAAAGGUCCGCUAAAAGUUAUAGUGAGGACCUGGUUUCACUUAAGAACAGGAAGGUCAAAUGGAAUGCGAGUAUCCGUACCUUCACCUCCGUCCAUGCAUAUUCCUUAGACUUAAUUUCAGGAUGAAAUUCCCUUUUACGGGGGAUGAUGUGACAACCCGAAAUUUCUAUCUAAUAAGUCAACCAAAUCCAUCAAAAGUCCAGCCUUGUUUCUGUUAUCUUCUAGCUGUGUUAAGGGUCAUACAUAGGUUUCUGAGCCUUGUACACUUAAGGAUUGAGUGUUAUGAACUAUUUGCUCGAGAUGAGAAGGCUGCAUCCGAACCAGGAACCCAACAUAAGGGGUUCACGGCCGCAAACCCUGUUCACGGCCGUGAACUCUCUCCUGGUCGUGAUCUUUUCCCUAUAAGUAUGAGAUUUCUUCAUUUUUCCUUCAUUUAUUCUUCUUCCAGCCGUGAACUUGAGUUCUCUCUCAAGUAUCAUCCGCAAAAGGGCCUUCUUUCCCUUGAAAACGCAAGUAACUCAUCCCUAUUCUUGUUGCUACUUGAAAUCCCUUUACCUUCNGCUUCACUUUUCUUCAUUUCUUCCUCUCCUGGCUGUGAACUAUCCAUUCUCUCUCAAGUAGCAUCAAAGAAAGUCCCCAAUUCACUCCAAAAAUCGUAAGUGUUCAUCCCUUACUUGUUCAUAUUUGAAAGAUCCUUUGAUUCCACCAUUGAUUCAUCACUUUCUUCAUCAGCUUGAUGAUCUUCAAGAGUUCACGGCUGUGAACCCUUCAUAAGGCCAUGAACCCUUCAUAUGUGGACCAUAAACCCUUCAAAUGUUUAUGUGAGGGUCGUGAACACUUCAUGUGUUCAUGAGACAUGAACACAUCUUAAGCCGUGAACCCAUAGUGGUUGGUCAUGAACUCCUUUCAGCCCUCUAGUCUCGAUUCUAACACUUCAUUGUAAGUGCUUCCUACAUCCUAAGGUUGUUUCCUAUGCUUAUUAGUUGUUAUAGGCACUAAUUGUAAGCCUAUACAUGUUAAUAUGUGCUUAAUAGGAUCCAAUUGUGCUUCGAGACUUCAUUUGUGAACUCAAACAUCAUAUAUCUAUCUUUCAUAGCAGGUCACUCACAAUCAGGUGAGUCCAUACCCCUACAAUUAACCUUUUAACUAUUUUAAAUGCUUUUAGGGAGGGAAUACAAGUUAAACACAAUAUAAUUUUGUUAUUAUGUUACAGAUAUAAACUUACAAACAUCUGAACUGUAUAACUUUCAAACACUGUUAACAUCAUGUUAACACCAUUUUCAAACCACUUUUAAACUACUUUCAAAACCAUUUGCAAACUCUUUUACUUUCAAACCAUAUUCCUUUAUGUAUUCGAGUAUAAUUAUGCUUUAAUGGACUUAGGACUAAUUUUAAUGAUCUUGACUCCUGUUCCUUGUUUGGUUGUGGGCUUAGGGUAGGAUACACUAGUCCGACUGUCGAUUAACUCAUAGUUAUACAUGCUAAAUGCAUAUAUGAAUAUUAAAGUUUACCUUUAAAGUUAUACUUAAAUCAAUUGUACACGCUUAGCAAUUGAGUCUUUUCUACAAGUUAGUUACAAAACAAACGUACUAGUAAACUAUAAUAGGUAUAGUUUAGAGAACAUACAUAUACAUAUACAUUUACAAGAAACAGAAGGAACAUAUACAUAUACAUAUACAUUUACAAGAAAUAGAAGGAACAUAUACAUAUACAUAUACAUAUACAUUUACAAGAAACAGAUGGAACAUAUACAUAUACAUAAAUAUUUACAAGAAAUAAAAGGAAUUGUGGGUUCAACAGAGACCGGGGCAGGUUAUGUUGGGUUAAACACAACCGAAGUCUCUAGAUGUUGUUUUAGAUAAGGAGAAUUAGAAGUAAUGAUGGCCAACGUAUUAUCCGGAUGUCGUCUGACCGGACCAAAGGAUGAUUGGUCUGGAAUCCUAUAUGACUUAACAAUUUUGAAAGAGAUGCAUACCUCCGGAGGAAUUGUGCUAACCGGAAGUGGUUCAGAAAGUUCAAUGAAGAGUUUUUGUAGAGUCAAGGCCCAGAAUCUAGGGCUCGAAAUUUUGUUGGGCUUCCUCUUUGUGGUGAACAUGCAGAAAUCUUGCCACAAGACUUCAGGGAGAUCCACAAUGUUCUCGUGUCUGGUGUAGAUGCUGAAGACUAGGUUUAGCCAAUCCUUGCUCAAAGUGUCAGUACCUCUGUGCUUGCCUGAUAACCCACAGAUGGUGAGAUGCAUGAGAACAGUCCAGAGACCUGAAACAACAGAUUUCUUGAAAUCCUUGACCUUGUACUCAUGCGUAUAGCCAAUGUAGUGAAGAAAUGUUUGGAACUCUUUAAUUGUCGGUUCAACAGCUUUGAAACCUCUAGGAUUAGGUUUGACACCGAUUUCCUUGUGAAAGGUAGAUUUGUAAAUGGGAAUGGUGCGAUCACCAAGAAUGGUGGCUUCCAAAACUCCAUCUUCAAGUUUGAUGUUUGUGAAUGCACGAUGAAGAUGAUGAGGUGGUAGUGGUGGAUCUGGUAUUUUGGUAUGUGGAAUGGAGAUGGGGUGAUUUGCAAUGAACUUGAUCAUCACCCUAAUCAAUUCAUCGUAGCCAAGAGGGUUUAGGGAGAAUAGUUGAGUUGUAUCUCUAAGAAAGAGUUCUUGAUCAGCAGAAGAGGAUGAACCCUUUGAUCCUUUUGAUGAUUUCUUCCUUGCGAUAGUUUUCUUGGGAGUGGAUGCAGUUUGAGUUGGGUUCUGUGAAGACGCCAUUGUUGAAGAAUGAUGAAUGCUUGAUGAACACGAAGAACAGUGAGAGAAAUAAGGGUUGGAGGUUUUGAUCGCGUAAGGAAUGAAAAGGGUUUUAAAGGGUAUUUAUAGGUAAGAGAGAAUGGGUUGGGUUAAGAAAAAUAAUGAUGAUGAUCUGAGAGUAAAUGGGUUGCAUUAAAUGAGUUUGCGCUUUUUGGGUGUUAAGGUGAAAGGGAGGUGAAGGGUUGAAUGGAUUGUAGUUCAAAAUGGAAUUAUCAACCGGCGAUUUGAUGUUUGCUUUUUGAGUUCGUGCACUCAUGGCACGAAUAUCAAGACUGAUAGGAUAAGGAUUACCAAAGUAUCUGUUGCUGACGGUUCAACUUAAAACCCUUUAGUAUUCAGGAUGAGUGAGUCCGAAAUGGUUAUGAUCAGGUUGGUACAUUGAUGAGUUAUGAAUAUCUCUUUUGAGACAGUUCCGGAGAGAGAAAUAGUCUGGUGCAAGAUUUGAGAUUUCGGAGCAAUUUCGAAAUUCAAGAACAGAUUUGAGAAAUUUCUGGAGCAAUUUGAAAUUCUGGAGCAAAUAUGCAAUUCCGGAGCAAUUUUGAAAAUCCCAGAGCAAAUUGUAAGAUUCCAGAGAGAAUGUAAAAUUCCAAAGCAGUUUUCAAAAUUCCAGAGCAAAUUUAAAAAUUUCGGAGCUAAUUUGAAAAUUCUGGAGAGAGUUGAGAAAUCUUCCGGAGAGGGGUUUGAGAGAAAUUUUGAAGUAUAGAGAAAAUUACCUUUCCGGAGUGGAAUUUCGGAAUUCCAUUAUGAAGUGAGUUCCGAAAUAAAGAUUUUGAAGAUGGUUUGAACUUGAUACUGGUGAUGAAUAAGAUGAAUUGUACAGCUUAAAACUCAAGCAAAGGUCAAAUAACAAAGAUAAGUAAAACGAUCCUAAAUAUCCGUGAGAAAGUAGUUCCGAGAUGAAGAGAUUUUGAGAUCGGAACUAGACUUCUUUCAGAUAGGUCUAUCAAAGAGAACAAGUCUCUUGAAAGAACUAAGCAUCUGGUACCAUCAUACCCAUUUUGUUGAGAGAACCAUUGAAUUUGGUUUCGUCCAAUGUCGUGGUAAAGACAUUAGCAAUCUAAUCGUCAGAUGGAACAAAAAUGAGUUCAAUGUUACCAUUAAGUACAUGAUCUUUUAUGAAGUGGUACCUUAUGUCAAUGUGCUUGGUCAUGGAGUGCUGAAUUAGAUUAUGAGAGAUUGCAAUAGCACUUUGAGAGUCACAAUAGAUAGGAAUGUGUUGAAAGCGAUAACCAUAAUACAAAAGUUGAGACUUCAUCCACAGAACCUGAGAAGUACAGCUGGCAGCAACAAUGUAUUCAGCUUCGGUUGUUGAGAGAGCAAUGCAGUUCUGUUUCUUGGAUGAUCAGCUGACCAAACGUCAUCCUAAGAAUUGACAGCCACCCGCAGUGCUUUUUCUAUCAAGUUGAAGACCACCAUAGUUCGAAUCUAAAUAAGCUUGACCUAAGAAGCUCUCAUUUGCUGGGUACCAGAUUGUCACACCCCAAAACUAAGAACGGCGGAAACGUUCUGGGGCGGAGGACGUCAUGUAUUGUAUCACAACGAUGCAAAGUAGUAAACAAGCAACAACAUCAUCCAUUGCAUUAAUAGUAUAAUUUUAAUUACAUUUGAGUUCUUUCAUAGUAUAAUUCUACAAAAAUGAAUAUUCAAAAUAAAAGACGAGUCUUGAUCGCUCCGUCUUCACAGAACCUGGUAGUCGUACCUGUCUAUCCGUAUCCUGGGAAUACAAGUUAUUUUGAAAGCGAGUAUCAGCAAUAAUGCUGGUGAAUUCAUAAGUAUUUAUGUGACUUUGAUUUGUAAAGCUGUAAAGAAAGACCUGUAAAUGUUUGAAGGAAAGUUUGUACCAACGAAUAUGUUUGUAAGUAAUUGUAAACGUUUGAAAAUACUAGAAAAAGCCCAUAUUUUCUACUAGUAUAAAAUGUAGCCUCAUACCAAGACUCGACUGUUUUGGUGGUUUGCUUCAGAAAUCCAAUAUUUGUUUAUAAGUGGAUGGUAGAUUUAAAAGUCCCAAAAUGAACUACCAUAAUGUAUUUCAUAUCUAAAAUAGUAGAUUUGUGUACAGUUAUAAUCGUUAAGGUAUAUGAUAACCCCGUAAAUCAACGUGUGUUUAAUACUCCAUGUGAGUUUUAUAACCAUGCUAAUGACCCAGACUGCCUGUAACAACGUUCUUCAGGCGUUGGAAUGUUAUGACAUUUGUCACCCCAGACCUGCCGGUCUAACUGUAGNCCGGUCUAACGUAGCUAACAGUUUAGGUGCGGGAUUGUCAAUCCCGUAUAGAUCUAUACACAAGUAUCACGCUCCCCCUACAAGGGAUUAUGGUAUAUAAAACAGCACUUAAUAAUGCAUACUCGAAAGUACGUGAAAUGUCUCACAAAACCUAGUAUAAAACAGAUUUACGUAUGAAAAUGUCCAUUUGCUCUUGUAUAUGAAAAUAUUUUUUUGAUAUGGUACUUGUAGUAUGUAAAAUUUUAUGUAUAUCUAGUACACUAUCUGAUGUAAUCGUAUUUCUUGUAAUUGUAUUGUCUUGAAAUUUGUAUGCCUUGUAAUUGUAUAUAAUCGUAUCUCUUCAUAUAGUAUGUAAUGUAUUAGUAUAGACUCAUUAAUAAACUGACUCUUGUGUAAUUCCUUGUACUUGGAAUGGUAAGUAGUAUAUCCUAACUAUACCUAUUAUAGUUACUAGUAUUGUGCAUGUAUAACCGAAGUAUGCCUUUGCUACCCAAAGGUAUUGAACCAACUGAUGGAAACUUUUAUGUAUAUAUAUGUAUACAUGAUAUAUAUAUAUAUAUAUAUAUAUACACGCGUGCAUUUGACAAUAAAAAUAUAAAAGAAGUUUUGUAAAACCUUUGAAAAGUUUAAUAAAUAAGAGAUGAUGACUUGAUGUCAGUUUAUAAAACGAUUUGAAAGUAGUUUGUUUGAUAAGAACAAUUUUAAGUAUAAGAAGACUUUUGUUUGAAACACGAUUCUAACAGCGUUUGAAAGGAAACAUAAAGUAUGUAAGACAAUUUGAUAAAGAGUUUUUAACAUGUAAAAAUGUUUGUCGUAAACUAUUAUAGUUUUUCCAAAAGUUUGUUUCGUUAUAUAAUAAACCCUAGUGAAAUGCUCACUUGUUAUGUAAAGUGUAACUUUUGUAGUGACAUAAAUGAACACACAUACUCAAAGUAUAAAUAAAGUGUUUGGUUCGUAUAUGUAAAACAACAUAUUUAAUUUCAAGAGACAAGAUGAUAUCGUGAUAAGUUUCGCGUACGAAAGGUUCCAUGUAGUGUUUAUGAAUCACAUAUGAUUUACUUGAUAAAAAUGAGUAUUUAGUGAAACUUUGGGUUGCACACGAUAAUAAUCGUGUGUUUACUUGUAUUCCCCCCCUUAAAAGUGUAUAUAAAAAGUAUUGAUAACACAUUUAAAAAUGUAGUUUAUAGGGGUAUGAACUCACCGAAGAAAGUGCGUGAUUUGAAGAAAACGAGAUUUUCCCGUGCGGCACCUCGACCGGAAAGUGACGAGAUUCUCGAGAAUCUCGGGGCUUCGGACCUUCGUCGGGGCUUAGAUAUGAAACCGGGAAGUCGGGAUGUUGUCGGCACGAAAAACGAGGUGAAAAUGUGAGAGAAAUGAAGGAUUUUAGCAAAAGCAGCCGACACCCUCGCAAUCUAUUUAUAGGAGCUGGAGGUCCUCGGUACGCUGGGCGUACUUCGGACUUACGCGGGGCGUACCUCGUACGCUGGGCGUACUCCGAGGGUACGCUGGGCGUUCGCUUGCAUCACUGCUGACCGCAUCCUCGGGCUAAGUGUCUGGUCGACGUGGACGAUCCGGAGCCUAGUAUCCGAGUACGCUGGGCGUACGAGGGUACGCAGGGCGUAAAUCGUUUCGGUGUGUGUGCCACGAACUUGUAAAAUCCGUAACUUUCGCAUACGGGCUCCGUUUUUGACGUUCUUUAUAUCCACGCGAAGGUGAGAAAAUACUCUACAACUUUCAUUUAGACUCCGUCAGCUAAUUUUGACUUUAUUUUUAAUUAUAUUUUAAUUAAUAGGCCGGGACACGAUAUCUUCGUUAAAAAUCCAUAACUCCUUCAUCUGGUGUCCAUUUUCGUCAGACUUUUUACUGUUGUACUCCUAUUGUCGGGGUCUUGAACUUUCGUUUAGGUUGUGUCGGCUAAAAAUCGCUUGAUCUUUAUUUCGAAUUUUUAGCUGUCUACCGCUGUUAUGAAACUUAGAAAAUUUGUAACUUCUUCAUACGAAGUCCGUUUUGGGCGUUCUUUUUAUGCAUGAUCACGGUUUAACGUAAUAUACGACUUUCAUUUAGAUACCUAAGGCUAAAAAUUAUUGUAUUGAAACUUUGCGUUUUUCGCUAAAUCGGUGUUGCCAGGUUUCGUCGCGAAUCUUAGAUUGGUCAUAACUGCUUCGUUAUAACCUGGAUUUUUGUGUUCUUUAUAUGUACGAAAAGCUUGAUGCAAUUCCUACCACUUUAUCUAACCCAAAUAAUAUUUUAGGAAAGUCAUAUUUUGGCCUAAAUUUGACUGGUGUUACAUUAUAUUGUCUCAAAAUGUCGGGUUGUCACAUCAUCCCCCUGUUAGAGGGAAUUUCGUCCCGAAAUUCGAGUUUAAGCAGUAUUAAUAAUCAUGUUACGGACAGAAGUUUUAUUUGCUACUCGUGUUCUUAAGUAAACAUUUGUCCUCGCCUGGCAUUCCAGCGAACCUUUCACUAUCGGGAUACGACUUUGCUUCUUUCGUUUGACUUCACUGGUAUGAUACUUUUUUCUUGUCGAAUGUGUGUUUGAGUGUUUUUGUGGUCUGUGAGAGUAUUACACCUUGUACCCUACAAGUAGUGUCUCCAGAUCUUUAGAGCAAUUACCGCUGCUCAUGAUUCAAGAUCAUGUGUUGAAUAGUUAAUUUCCUAUGUCUUAGGUUGUCUUGAGGUAUGGGUAGUGACUUUUCCUCUUGCUUACAAUCAAGCCCUUGGUUGGAUGUAUCACCUUACACCACAAAAUAUUCUAUCCCCUUUUGGGAGGGAUAAUAGUGGUGCGAUGCAUCAGACUCACUUUAGCGUUUGGAACGCUCUUUCUUGUUUAUAGACAAUUACAGUGCUCUUCCAAGUGAGAAACUUGUCCUAAGGAAUCCCCUUCUGAGGUGUUUGUUAAGCUCGCUAGGAAGUUCUCGGUUGGAGCUAGACAAUAAGGUGAUUUGGCUACUAGGGUAGCCCCUGGAACUAAGUCGAUUCUGAAUUCAACUUGACGCUGUGUUGGUAGUCUCGGUUGUCGUUCUGGGAAGGUGUCAGGAAGGCCGCGUACUUCUUGGAUGUUCUUGAAUGUCCUUCACUUCUCGACAUGCCUCGGCGACGUGUGCAUCGAAUGCAUGACAUUCCUUUCGUAAGCAUUUCUGAGCUUGCAUACACGAAAUGAUGAGAGGGUUCGUACUUGGUUCGUCGCUGUAAAUAACUAGAGCUUCGUUGUUUAGGGAGGUUAGGAUGAAUUACUUUAUCAAAGCAUCUGUUGUCGGCCCGAUGUAGAUUUAACCAACUCUUACUGAUUAUGAUGUCAAAACCUUGGGGUGGAUUAGCUGUCGUGAAGAUCUAAAAGAAAGUAUGACUACUUAUGAAUUAGGGAAAAGGAUAGGUAUUCCUAAGUUUAUUAUUACGGAAGCACGAUCACUCGCAGUCUUGGGCAGUCUCUGUCCUGAAGUUCAUAGUAGAAUUCAUACCUGGUUCAUCAAUCACAGUCUCGGGUAUAUGAGUCCUAUAUAAUUAAGAUUGAAAAUGUAGUUGAAUAAAUGAUUCUUAUUUAAGCCCACAUCCCAACGAGGAAAAGAAGUUAAAGUGGAAUCAUCAAUUCUAAACCUGUAGAACCGUGAUUAUAUACCACCCUUAUGUAUUCAUUCUUCAGCGAUAGAUCAACCGUAUGGGUCUUUUAGUUUGAACUUGACAUACUGUACGAGUGAUACUUCAGGGAGGUUUGUUGAGGUUUCUUUGGAAAGGAUGAGAAACAGGAGGUACUCUAUGCAUGGGUACUUCGGUGUUCUGGAAUGACGGCUUCACUAGAAAGACGUUUUCGGAGAAGGAGAAGUGCGCACAAAACUGGUAUUGCGAGGAUCGAAUUGAGUCAAGUUGUAUGAUGAUAUCGGACUUACUUGGAAAUAAAGGUAUUAGGUUUGAUUAUAAGGGUGUUACAGACAAAACACAACAGUGCAACUUUUAACAGAGUUACAGUACUUUGGUUUUACUACAAGACUAUUGUUGCGAACAAGGUAUACUACAAAAGGAAAGUAUAAGCGGCACGAGGGUCCCCUUUCCUGACGGGAUCUCUCAAAAGAUAAGACUCGAGUUGCACUAGUUUUAAACAUGUUUAACAGCAUACUUAAUGCUGACGAUUGGAAGUGAGUCCUUAUUAUAGUUGGGUCCUUCAUUGCCUUUUUCCAUUCUGAGGUCAAACUCUUCCUGUUCCACUGUCAUUCUUCUCUGUUGGGCAAUCCCUCUUGAAGUGUCCCAUUAAACCACAUAGAUAGCAUAUCCGAGAAAUUUCGACAUUGGUGGUUGAAGUAAUGUGUUUGACUCGAGUCCUGCAUAAGCGGGUAGUGUGUCCGUUCUUGUUGCAGGUCUUGCAGUCUAACAGACGACAACUACCUAGGUGAUGGAAGUUGCACUUAUUGCACUUCGGUAGGUUUCCAGCAUAUUGUCUGGCCGGGUUAGGGAUAAUUGGGAUGCUAGUAGUGUUGGUGGUAGGAGUUGCAUAUGUCGUGGCUGCGAAGACUGCCACCGAUGAUGGUUUCUUGUUUGUCCCUCGAGGUGAUUUGCCUUUAACUCUAUCCCAGAAUUUUCGUUUAUCGCUCUUUGGUUUGAGGUUCGGAGUGUCGUGGUAGUUUGUUACUCAUGGGUGUACUUGGUUGUUACUUGGGUUGGAAUUAUUGAAAACCAUCCUGCUAACAUUUGCGUUGUUAGCAUUAAGGUGAGUCAGAACAGCUGUCACGGCAGCUGAGACUGCAGCUUGAAAGGUAGCUGCAUCAAUCUGAAGAGUUGGUGUUUGGCUGAUGGGUUGAUUAAUUUUCUUCGGCGACAUGAUUCUGUAACACGAAAGAAAAGGAUUUCGUGAGAUAUUAUGGUUGAACCUAGAUGUAUUUCGAUUGCUUAAGUAAAGAGUAAGAGUAUGUUCUCGAAAGUUCGACCUACAUCCCUAUGAUGCAGUCCUAGUACGGAUUGGAAGUAUGUUUGUAGAAUGGUCUUAAGACGUUUGUCGUUCAAGCCGAGGUAUCGUUGGAUGGUGAAUAACAUGACCCAACCACUAAAAGAGACUUGGAAAUGUCUCCGGAGUUGAAUUAUUAUAGUCCAAUGACUUUACUAAAGCAUGUUUCAGAUAGACUCUAACGAAGGUUUGAUGAGGGUUUUUGAACAAAGAGUGUCACGGAAGUUAGCCGACUGUCAACAUCAUCGAUGUUUGAGAUGUAAUAAGUUUAGGAAAACUUGACCUUGAAGAAGGUCUUACAUCAUAUCCAAAGUAGGAAGGUUUUGGGCCACAUAAGGGCCUAACUAACAGUACUUACAGUACAAGAUAGUUACAUAGAAAAAUGCUACAUAGGACAUACACAGGAAAAUGAUUUCUUUAAACAAGAAAGGGAAAAUAAGGCCUUUAUUACUGACGACGGUCAUCCCUCUGGUGAACUCUCAGUCCAGCCAAUUGACGUUCCAUUAUCAAGAAGGUGUCUUUCGUACACUCUCUGGCGUACUCAUAUCUCUAUGACUUCGGCUCGUGUUUUAGCUAAUUCUUGCAGCAGGUUCUCAUGGUCUCUCUCAGAUCUCUCACGAGUGAUUUCAAGAUGAUUGGUGUAGAUGAUGUGAAUUCUUGUAUUAGCAUUUAACCUCUUCGGUAUAUUGGAGAGUCGUCCUGCCUUGAAUUUCGUUUCGAGUAACUCUACGGAUCAGGAUUUGUAAAACUUUGCAUGCUGAGUUUCUUUCACUUAAGUUGUAGCAGCUUCGGUCUCCUUUAGACGGCAUAGGUUGAUCUUGCUCUUCGCUCCAUGUUUCAAAGCAUUCUACCCAAGGAAGUGUCGAGCCAUGAAGAGUUGGAUGAGGGUUAGGAUUUGAAUUGGGAGUUACCGGGGGUAGGUUCUCAUCCUUGAGUUCAAAGUUAUCGUCACCCGAAAGAUCUUUAGCAUGGUGAUUUAUUCGAAAGUGAUUGGAUGAUCAUUCUCUGGUUCUUCUCUGAACCAUCCAGCUUUGCCUUUGUUUGGGAAAAUACGGGUCGUCGUGGGGAUGGGGUCCAGCUAUGUUAUCUAUACGGUAAUUGGGGUAUAAGAAUCUAACACAUAAGUAGGUUAUAGUAAUACACAAAAUACUCCUAUAGUAUUUUAGGUUUAUGUUCUAUUGUUCUCAUUGUGGUAUUGUGGGUAAGUUUUUAGACUUCUUGCAACUCACAACCACACUUAGGCACAUGCUAUUCAACCCUCAGAUAAUAUAGUUGAUCAAGCUAUAUUAUCCCAGUUUUGAUUAUAUGUCUCUAAGUCUACUUGUGCUGCCCAACAAUUGUAAUUCUUUUGUUCUGUCUUAGUGACACUGAUUUUAGUAGAUAUGUAUACUCAAUUAAAUAUUUUAUUAUAUUAAAAUCAGACUCUUUGUCAGAGUAUUUUAAUCCCUAUUGUAUUUAUAGUUUGUAUAUCUUUUAUGGGUUGAUAUACUCAAUUCACUAUAAACAAUGCUCUGAUACCAAUCUGUCACACCCCAAAACCGAGAACGGCGGAAACGUUCUGGGGCGGAGGACGUCAUGUAUUGUAUCACAACAAUGCAAAGUAGUAAACAAGCAACAACAUCAUCCAUUGCAUUAAUAGUAUAAUUUUAAUUACAUUUGAGUUCUUUCAUAGUAUAAUUCUACAAAAAUGAAUAUUCAAAAUAAAAGACGAGUCUUGAUCGCUCCGUCUUCACAGAACCUGGUAGUCGUACCUGUCUAUCCGUAUCCUGGGAAUACAAGUUAUUUUGAAAGCGAGUAUCAGCAAUAAUGCUGGUGAAUUCAUAAGUAUUUAUGUGACUUUGAUUUGUAAAGCUGUAAAGAAAGACCUGUAAAUGUUUGAAGGAAAGUUUGUACCAAUGAACAUGUUUGUAAGUAAUUGUAAACGUUUGAAAAUCCUAGAAAAGCCCAUAUUUUCUACUAGUAUAAAAUGUAGCCUCAUACCAAGACUCGACUGUUUUGAUGGUUUGCUUCAGAAAUCCAAUAUUUGUUUAUAAGUGGAUGGUAGAUUUAAAAGUCCCAAAAUGAACUACCAUAAUGUUUUUCAUAUCUAAAAUAGUAGAUUUGUGUACAGUUAUAAUCGUUAAGGUAUAUGAUAACCCCGUAAAUCAACGUGUUUUUAAUACUCCAUGUGAGUUUUAUAACCAUGCUAAUGACCCAGACUGCCUGUAACAACGUUCUUCAGGCGUUGGAAUGUUAUGACAUUUGUCACCCCAGACCUGUCGGUCUAACUGUAGCUAACAGUUUAGGUGCGGGAUUGUCAAUCCCGUAUAGAUCUAUACACAAGUAUCACGCUCCCCCUACAAGGGAUUAUGGUAUAUAAUACAGGACUUAAUAAUGCAUACUCGAAAGUACGUGAAAUGUCUCACAAAACCUAGUAUAAAACAGAUUUACGUAUGAAAAUGUCCAUUUGUUCUUGUAUAUGAAAAUAUCUCUUUGAUAUGGUACUUGUAGUAUGUAAAAUUUUAUGUAUAUCUAGUACACUAUCUGAUGUAAUCGUAUCUCUUGUAAUUGUAUGUCUUGAAAUUUGUAUGCCUUGUAAUUGUAUAUAAUCGUAUCUCUUUAUAUAGUAUGUAAUGUAUUAGUAUAGACUUAUAAAUAAACUGACUCUUGUGUGAUUCCUUAUAUUUGGAUUGGUAAGUAGUAUAUCCUAACUAUACCUAUUAUAGUUACUAGUAUUGUGCAUGUAUAACCGAAGUAUGCCUUUGCUACCCAAAGGUAUUGAACCAACUGAUGGAAACUUUUAUGUAUAUAUAUGUAUACAUGAUAUAUAUAUAUAUAUAUAUAUAUAUACACGCGUGCAUUUGACAAUAAAAAUAUAAAAGAAGUUUUGUAAAACCUUUGAAAAGUUUAAUAAAUAAGAGAUGAUGACUUGAUGUCAGUUUAUAAAACGAUUUGAAAGUAGUUUGUUUGAUAAGAACAAUUUUAAGUAUAAGAAGACUUUUGUUUGAAACACGAUUCUAACAGCGUUUGAAAGGAAACAUAAAGUAUGUAAGACAAUUUGAUAAAGAGUUUUUAACAUGUAAAAAUGUUUGUCGUAAACUAUUAUAGUUUUUCCAAAAGUUUGUUUCGUUAUAUAAUAAACCCUAGUGAAAUGCUCACUUGUUAUGUAAAGUGUAACUUUUGUAGUGACAUAAAUGAACACACAUACUCAAAGUAUAAAUAAAGUGUUUGGUUCGUAUAUGUAAAACAACAUAUUUAAUUUCAAGAGACAAGAUGAUAUCGUGAUAUGUUUCGCGUACGAAAGGUUCCAUGUAGUGUUUAUGAAUCACAUAUGAUUUACUUGAUAAAAAUGAGUAUUUAGUGAAACUUUGGGUUACACACGAUAAUAAUCGUGUGUUUACUUGUAUUCCCCCCCUUAAAAGUGUAUAUAAAAAGUAUUGAUAACACAUUUAAAAAUGUAGUUUAUAGGGGUAUGAACUCACCGAAGAAAGUGCGUGAUUUGAAGAAAACGAGAUUUUCCCGUGCGGCACCUCGACCGGAAAGUGACGAGAUUCUCGAGAAUCUCGGGGCUUCGGACCUUCGUCGGGGCUUAGAUAUGAAACCGGGAAGUCGGGAUGUUGUCGGCACGAAAAACGAGGCGAAAAUGUGAGAGAAAUGAAGGAUUUUAGUAAAAGCAGCCGGCACCCUCGCAAUCUAUUUAUAGGAGCUGGAGGUCCUCGGUACGCUGGGCGUACUUCGGACUUACGCGGGGCGUACCUCGUACGCUGGGCGUACUCCGAGGGUACGCUGGGCGUUCGCUUGCAUCACUGCUGACCGCAUCCUCGGGCUAAGUGUCUGGUCGACGUGGACGAUCCGGAGCCUAGUAUCCGAGUACGCUGGGCGUACGAGGGUACGCAGGGCGUAAAUCGUCUCGGUGUGUGUGCCAUGAACUUGUAAAAUCCGUAACUUUUGCAUACGAGCUCCGUUUUUGACGUUCUUUAUAUCCACGCGAAGGUGAGAAAAUACUCUACAACUUUCAUUUAGACUCCGUCAGCUAAUUUUGACUUUAUUUUUAAUUAUAUUUUAAUUAAUAGGCCGGGACACGAUAUCUUCGUUAAAAAUCCAUAACUCCUUCAUCUGGUGUCCAUUUUCGUCAGACUUUUUACUGUUGUACUCCUAUUGUCGGGGUCUUGAACUUUCGUUUAGGUUGUGUCGGCUAAAAAUCGCUUGAUCUUUAUUUCGAAUUUUUAGCUGUCUACCGAUGUUAUGAAACUUAGAAAAUUUGUAACUGCUUCAUACGAAGUUCGUUUUGGGCGUUCUUUGUAUGCAUGAUCACGGUUUAACGUAAUCUACGACUUUCGUUUAGAUACCUAAGGCUAAAAAUUAUUGUAUUGAAACUUUGCGUUUUUCGCUAAAUCGGUGUUGUCGGGUUUCGUCGCGAAUCUUAGAUUGGUCAUAACUGCUUCGUUAUAACCUGGAUUUUUGUGUUCUUUAUAUGUACGAAAAGCUUGAUACAAUUCCUACCACUUUAUCUAACCCAAAUAAUAUUUUAGGAAAGUCAUAUUUUGGCCUAAAUUUGACUGGUGUUACAUUAUAUUGUCUCAAAAUGUCGGGUUGUCACACAGAUUCCGAGACUCUUGGUACCUUUAAGGUAUCGGAAAAUUUGUUUCACAGCCAAAAGAUGGGACAUCUUUGGAUUGACUUGAAAUUUGGCACAUAGACAUGUGUAAAACAUUAUAUCCGGAUGAAUUGUCGUGAGAUAGAGCAGAGAUCCAAUCAUUCCACAAUACUUCUUUUCAUUAACAGGAACACUGGAAGGGUCAACAAAGAUCUUAUGUCUGAAGCCCAUUGGUAUCUUUGCAGAGGCACAGGUGUCCAAUGAGUAUUUCUUGAGGAGUUCUGAAAUGUACUUCUCUUGGUGAAUGAACAUUCCUCUGUUAGUUUGUUUGACUUGAAGACCAAGAAAGAAACUUAACUCCUGAUUCAUAUUCAUUUGAAAUCGAUUGAUCAUAAGUUUAGCAAAUUUUGUAACCAUAGACGGGUCCCUAGAUCCAAAUAUGAUGUCAUCCACAUAGAUCUGUACUAACAUGAGAUGCUUACCAUUUGAUUUUUCGAAACAGUGUGAGAUAAAGAAUACCUCUAUGAAAACCGAAGCGUUUUAGAAAAUCAGUGAGAGUUUCGUACCAUGCUCGAGGACCUUGCUUGAGUCCGUAGACAGCCUUCCGGAGUUUAUAUAGUGGUUUGGAAAGGAAAGAUUGAUGAAUCCGGGGGGCUCUUGAAGGUACACUUCAGUUUCAAGUUCACCAUUAAGGAACGCGCUCUUUACAUCCAUUUGGUAAAAUUUGAAGCCUUUAUGAGCUGCAUAAGCAAGAAAAAUUCUGAUGGCUUCAAGUCGUGCCAUAGGAGCAAAGGUUUCAUCGUAGUCAAGCCUUUCGAUCUGAGUGAAUCCUUUAGCCACCAGCCUUGCUUUAUUUAUAAUGAUCACUCCCGCAUCAUCUAAUUUGUUGUGAAACACCCAUCUCGUACCGACAAUAGGAUGAUUCUGAGGAGGAGGCACGAGAGUCCAAACUUCAUUUCGGUCAAAUUCUGCCAGUUCGUCUUGCAUGGCUGUAAUCCAAUCAACAUGCUCCAAUGCUUCCUUGAUGGAUUUGGGUUCAACAAUGGAUAUGAAUGCUGAAAAAUCACAUUCAUUUUUGGAUGUUGGUAGGUGAGCGAGUUUGUACACCAACAUUAGGAUUACCGAUUACCUGGUUCAGAGGAUGAUCCUUCGUCCAAACGUGUAAUCGAGGGAGUUCUUGUGCAGCCGUAGAUCCUACAUCAACAGUGGAAUUGAUUCUCUCCCCCUGAAUGAUUUGAAUAUUGGGAUGAUGCUCCCCCUGAACUUCUAAACCGGAGAGGUUAACAUCAUCAUCAAAAGGGAACUCAAAGAAAUUUUCAUUUUCAUCAAUGUUGAGAGGAUUAGAGUCAUCGAAAUAAGCAACUGCAUCUUGGAAGUCAUCCACAUUUGAUUCAAGAGAGGGAUUUGCAAUAUUCUCCCCCUCAACCUGAGAAAUCUGAAACGGUCGGAAUCAAAUGGAAGGAGGCUUGGAAGUGGACCGGAAACAUUUUGUGAGAUUGGGGCUUCCGAAGCAUGGAUUGGAAUAAGAGAUGGUCUUGAUCGAGAUUCCGAAUCAAGAGCAGUUUCGGAAGGACCAAAGAGAGUUUCAAAGUCAACUUCAAGAAUUGUCUGAGAGUUCGAACAUCCUGGUGGAGGAGCAUCAGACUCCAUGAUGUGAGUUGUAAUGUGAGUAGGGCCAGAAUUCCAGAAUUCCGAUUAAGAACUCUGUAAGCUUUCGAUUUUGGGGAGUACCCAAGGAAGAUGGCUUCAUCAGCUUUUGGUUGAAACUUGGUAAGCUGAUCUCGAUUGUUUUUGAUGAAGCACCUGCAUCCGAAGACAUGUAGAAACGAGAUUGUUGGCUUCCAACCAUUCAUUGCUUCGUAUGGUAUCAUGCUGAGGCGACGAUUGAUGAUACUUCAAUUUUGAGUGAAGCAAGCAGUAGAUACUGCUUUCAGCCCAAAGGUAAAGUGGUAGAUUUGUUGGGUUUUGAGCAAUCUAACACUUCCUAAGUGUGCAUGCAACCCUAAUAAACCUUGGAUCUAUGUUUGUCUAAAUACAUGCAAAAUAAUAAUUUUCCAAGGUUUAUAACCUAUCUAACAUGGCAUGGGGAACAUUUCAACAUAAAAGAGUUAGAAGAGAUUACAUACCUUUUGUUGUGUUGGGUUCUUAGGAGUUUGAGGGCCAAGCACCAAUAGUGUGAAUGCCUCAAAUGGAAUCACAAACACCACAAACUCUUGGAAAACUUUGAGAGAGUAUACACACUCUUGUAUUUUCGGCCACACACAUGCACACACACACUAGAACACUAGCUUUCUCUUAGGCUAUCUUAGGCUCUCUUUCAUGCUCCAUAAGCAUGCUUAUAUAGUAUGCAUGGUUAGGGUGAAACCCUAAUAACCCAUGUCUUUUCCUAUUCCAAGGAUCCAUGGGUUAAAAGCUCCAUGGAUCAUCCAUGGACUUCCACAUAAGCCUAGCCCAUUAACAAAUGAGUAUUAGCCCACACUAUAUAAAACAAAUAGCCCAUAAUUUAAUUAGUAUUCCUUUUAAUCUCUAAAUUAAUCCAUAAUUAAUUUAAGACUAAAACUAAUUAAAUAACGUAACUUCAUAUUAAUAUAUUAUAACUCAUAAUAUAUUAAUAAACAUAUGUGUAUAACUCUCAUAAAAUUAUCCAUAAUAGUUUGGAUGAGAUGCAACCCAAAUGGACCAUGCCGGUCGGGUCAAGUAUAUACCAAAUAAGUUAUGGACUUAGACACCUUAUCCAACAGACUCCCACUUGGAUAAGUCUAAUAACUAUAUUUGCCUAUAACUUCAGGAACCAACCAACAAUCGUAGCUCUCGAAAACUCCCUCGAACAAUGAAGACUCUGUCGAACUAUGAAGCGCCAUUUUAGAUAAGUGAUCACAUAAUCCUCUGUUCUCAUGAUAUCAGCCGGACAAACACAUGGAACUAUGUCUUGCUUAUUGUCUAGCAGUUGUUUCUCGAUUAUCCGAUUUGUUUGACGAAGAACUUCACUGAACACAUCGGUUUAGUUCUGACCAGGCCUGGUAUAUGGGUCAACACAAAAUCAUCGAGGGGCCCGGAUAUCGCUUCUAUUUCUAGAAGGAACAGAUAAACUUCGACUGAUAUGCUUGUUCUACUACUUAUUGAAUUGUACACAAAGGCACGUUUUAUAACAUCAAGUUACUGAUGCGUUUACGUGCAAUCAAUGCACAACCAACUCAUAGGUAACAACUCAUAUCUCUAGGUUUAAAGAUUUAUAUGAUGUUAUCGUCUCACGAUCACUCGAGAUAAAUUCCAUGAAGUGAUACAAGUGAGCGUGGGUUUAUACCAAUACUCAUAACUUAUGAGUACUCAUGAAUGUUGCAGCAACCAUUGCCAUGCCUAAACACCUUUAAGGCAUCUACAAACCCAAUUCAUGACAAUCUUGAUUCAUACCUACUUCCGACGUAUGAUCGAUUGUGGAGGUUUGAACAAAUUAAUUAUUCUGGAAGUCAAAACAUGCAAAACUGAAACAAUAGUAAAUAAUUGACAAUGAUAGUAACACUUUACUCAUAAAUAAAUCACAAAUUUUAUUCAUCAUCAAACGUCGAUUACAUUUUACAAGUUUCAGGAAAACUAUCUAAUCUGUAAAACUAAUAUCGUCCCUCAGCCCGAUGCGUCUCGCAUGCUGAAAAUGCUUAACCCUCGUCAGUCCCUUCGUAAGGGGAUCUGCAGGAUUCUCAUCUGACGAUAUCCUCCUUGUCACAAGGAGUCCUUCUUCAAUCUUGUGCCUUAUGAAGUGAUAUUUUCUGUCAAUGUGUCGGGAUCUGCCAUGAUCUCUUGGUUCCUUGGCUAAGAUAACCGCAGCAUUGUUGUCACAGAAAAUCUCUAUAGGUUCCUUAAUAGCUGGUACAACUCCAAGGUCUCCGAUGAAGUUCUUUAGCCAUAUCGCCUCCUUCGCUGCUUCACUCGCUGCUAUAUACUCUGAUUCACAAGUCGAAUCAGCCACCGUCUCCUGCUUGGAACUCUUCCAAGAAAUUGCCCCUCCAUUUAAGGUAAAGAUCCAGCCCGACUGAGAGCGGAAAUUAUCCCUAUCAGUCUGAAAACCAGCAUCACUAUACCCUAAUAUUCUCAAGUCAUCACUGCCACCAAGGGUAAGGACCCAAUCCUUAGUCCUCCGCAGGUACUUGAGAAUGUUCUUUACCGCGGUCCAAUGAGCCUUGCCAGGGUUCCCCUGAUACCUGCUGACCAUGCUCAAAGCAAAUGCCACAUCAGGACGGGUACAAGUCAUAGCAUACAUGAUCGAGCCAACUGCGGAAGCAUAUGGUAAUUGGCUCAUCUCAGCUAUCUCAGCCUCUGUACUCGGACUCUGAGUCUUACUCAGUUUGGUAUUGCUUUGGAUCGGUAAAUCUCCUUUCUUGGAAUUCUCCAUGUUGAACCUUUUCAACACCUUAUCCAAGUAGAUACUCUGACUAAGUCCAAUUAGUCUUCUACUCCUUUCUCUUAAUAUCCUUAUCCCUAGGAUAUAGGUAGCCUCCCCUAGGUCCUUCAUAGCAAAGCACUUCCCAAGCCAGGACUUAACCUCCUGCAAGGUUGGGAUGUCAUUUCCUAUGAGUAGUAUGUCAUCCACAUACAGUACCAAGAAGCUAACUAUACUCCCACUAGCUCUGACAUACACGCAAGACUCAUCUUCGCUUCUCAAGAAGCCAAACUCUUUUACCUUCUCAUCAAAACAAAGAUUCCAGCUACGAGAUGCUUGUUUUAAUCCAUAAAUGGAUUUCUUAAGCUUGCAUACUCUAUUAGGGUACUCUGCAUUGACAAAACCCUCUGGCUGAUUCAUGUACACAUCCUCAGCCAACUUUCCAUUAAGGAAAGCGGUUUUGACAUCCAUUUGCCAUAUUUCAUAAUCAUGAAAUGCUGCAAUGGCUAACAUAACCCUAAUAGACUUAAUCUUGGCCACCGGCGAGAAGGUUUCAUCAUAAUCAAUACCUUGAGUUUGAGUAAAACCCUUCGCAACCAGUCGAGCCUUAUAAGUAUGCACUUUUCCUUCCAUGUCGGUCUUCUUUUUGAAGAUCCAUUUGCACCCGACUGUUUUACGGCCUGGUACAUUGUCAACCAAGUUCCAAACUUGAUUGUCAUACAUGGACUGUAUCUCGCUGUCCAUAGCCUCCUUCCAUUUAGCAGACUCCGGGCCUGCCAUGGCUUCCUUAACACUGCUAGGUUCAUCCAAAUUUACUAGUGUACUAUCACUAAUAAACGUAUCACCUUCCGUAGUAAUAUGAAAACCAUAAUAAAACGAAGGUGUGUUCCUAACCCGUGUGGAACGUCUCGGAGGUACAGACUCGUCAGCUGGAUCAACAGGAGUUUCUUCCUCAGGUUGAUUGCUAGUGUCUGAGGUUCCUUCACCAAUUGAUUCUUGAAUUUCUUCAAGAUCAAUCUGCCUCCCACUGUCUCCUUGGCUUAUAAAUUCUUUCUCGCGAAAGAUCCCUCUUCGUGCUACAAAGACCACAUUCUCACUGGGUCUGUAGAAAAGGUAACCGAAGGAUUUCUGUGGGUAGCCGAUGAAAAUACACCUUUCACUUCGGGGUUCAAGCUUAUCAUGAGUUUCACGCCUCACGAAGGCUUCGCAACCCCAAAUUUUGAUGUGGUCCAAAUUGGGAACCUUCCCAGUCCACAUUUCAUGAGGUGUUUUGGUAACCUUCUUUGUAGGGACUAGAUUAAGGAUAUGGGCGGCAGUCUCUAAGGCAUACCCCCAAAAAGAGAUUGGUAACGAAACUCGACUCAUCAUAGAGCGAACCAUGUCCAACAAGGUACGAUUACGCCUCUCAGCUACACCAUUCAGCUGUGGUGUCCUGGGAGGAGUCAAUUGUGAGACAAUCCCACACUCCUUAAGAUAGUCAAGGAACUCGGUACUAAGAUACUCACCACCUCGAUCGGAUCGAAGCAUCUUAAUGUUCCUGCCCAAUUGAUUUUCUACUUCCUGUUUGAAUUCCUUAAACCUUUCAAAGGUUUCGGACUUGUGUUUGAUCAAGUAGACAUACCCAUAUCUACUAUAAUCAUCAAUAAAAGUCACAUAAUACCGAUUAGCGUCCCUUGUGGCGGUUUUGAAUGGCCCACAUACAUCAGUAUGUAUUAGGUCCAACAAACCUUCACCCCUCUCACAAGUUCCAGUGAAGGGUGAUUUUGUCAUUUUUCCAAGUAGACAAGAUUCACAACUAUCAUCUGAUUUGAGGUCAAAUGAUUCCAAGACUCCACUCUUUUGGAGUUGGUCUAUGCGUUUCUUGUUUACAUGUCCAAGACGACAAUGCCACAAUGAUGCUUUAUCUAGGCUAGUAGAAGAAUCAAUAUACAACACAUUAUUUCCUAAGUUGUCUACAAUCGACACAGUUUCAUACACGCCAUCACAAGGUAAUGCUUUAAAAUAAAACACAUUAUUAAAGAAAGCAUUAAUACCACCACAUUCAUUAUCAAACGAAAAGGUAAAACCUUGUUUGUACAAAGCAUGAAAAGAAAUAAUAUUCCUCGCCAUUUCAGACGAGUAUACACAUUUAUUCAAAUCUAAUUUUAACCCAUUAUUAAGCAACAAAGUAUAAACUCCAAUCUUGGAAACAGGUGAAGCCUUCCUAUUCCCCAUGAUUAAGUUUAUCUUCCCGUGCUCCACAUCCUCACUUCUUCUUAGGCCCUGCAAAUCAGAACAUAUGUGAAUACCACAUCCUGUAUCAAGCACCCAAGAGUUAGAAUAUGUUGAGUAAUUAGACAAUAUAGUGUAAAUACCUGCAUAGGUGGGUUUCACUUUCCCAUCCUUUAGAUCCUGCAAGUACUUAGGGCAGUUUCGCUUCCAGUGUGCCUUUUCAUGGCAAUAAAAGCAUUCAGCAUCCUUUGGAAUGGCAGAAGGAGUGACAGAACCGUUCUUAGUCUUGGAUGAGGAGCCUUCAAGAGACUUUCCCUUGGUACCCUUCGAAGGGUGCUUCCUCUUUUUCCCUUUGCCUUGCCCAAUAGCUAAAACAGGGGUAGAAGUUGGAGUAGGAGUAGUAGAGGUAACAACCGCUUUACCCUUAAGACCGGUUUCAGCGGUCUUCAAGAGUCCUUGAAGCUUGCUGAGGGUAACUUCCUCCUUGUUCAUAUGAUAUGUCAUUCGAAAAUGAUCAUAACAAGAAGGCAAGGAGUGCAAAAUGAUGUCAAUUGCUAACUCCUCGGGGAUGUUAACAUUCAGCUUCAGCAAACGGUCCACAUACCUUUGCAUCUUUUGCAUGUGGCCCGUGACGGAUUCACCGUCCUUCAUGCGGGUAGUUAUUAUGGAGGAGAUUAUUUCAUACCGCUCCUGACGAGCACUCUGAUGGUACCUUUCCAUCAAGUCUUGGUGCAUCUCAAAAGGGUAGAAAUCUUCAUAUGACUUUUGGAGCUCGGCUGUCAUCGUGGCCAUCAUGAUACAUGCCACCUUAGUAGCAUCUCUCUCAUGAGUCCUGAAUUCAGCGAUCUCCUCAGGAGUAGCAGUAGACUCAUCAAGUUCUUUUAACUCCUUAUCGAGGACAUAUUCCUUGUCCUCGUAACGAGUAACCAUCCUGAUGUUCCUAAUCCAAUCCAUGAAGUUGGAACCAUCAAAGAUGACCCUCCCACAAAGAUUCAUGAGAGAGAAAGAACCAGUUGGGUUAGAGCCUGAAGCAUUAGUGUUGGAAGACAUCUGAAAGAAGAAAGUAAGUUUAGAUUAGAUAUUUAGGAUCCUUAAUAAGACACCCAAAUGUAAUAUUAAGGCUAGGAUCCAAUCACAAUAUAUUACACUUAGAAGAGGGAUGCCGUAAUCUAAGUAAUAAUAUAUUUGAAAGGUAGGCGAAUGACGAUUCACCAAUUUCCACCAUGAAAACGAAAUGAUUAAUUAGGUUUAAUUGGAUUUGAAAUUCCUAGAUUCUUUUGAGAUUCAUUGAACUUUUCAAUGGCAUGUUUCAAUCUCGAUUGUGCCCUUCAAGUUUUGUGACUGGGAUGCCGAGGAUCACAAAACAAGGUGUGAAUAACCAUGCUAACUCACUUGGUACUCCUAAUAUUAUCACCUAAUCAAUGUGCCGGUUAACCACACACGCUCCAUUGAUCUAUGACAACAUUAAGUUACCCUUCGUGAUCCUUACUAGUCUAAUUAGUGUGCCGGUUAACCACACACGCUCCACUAACGACUUGGUAAGGUACAAAGUGUGAAUUCCAUGGAUUAGCACCAUGUUCACAUUUUCCUAAAAUAACUAAGAUUGGGAAUUAAAAGAGUUUAGUUAUUUUAUAAUAUUCAUUAUACUUUUAAUGAGGAUUUAAAGUCGUUGUUCUACCCGUUCGGCUAACGACCCUCCACCGAUCAAGCAAGCGGUGGGUGAGAGUAUACACCCAUUAAGUCGCCAUUUUAUAGGCAACAACCUUAUACCCACCUUAUAGACCGGCUUCGUGAAUGAGGCCUACUAACGGUAAAACGACUUAUUCUUAUACAUAUAUAUAAUAAUUAACCAUUAAUGUUAUAAAUAGUAUAAGGGUUGAAUUUUAACUAUUAAAACUCUAAGGUUUGGAAUUAAAGUUUAUUAAAGUGUGUGAAACUUUACAAAUUCCAAAACUUGAGGACAAGUUUUGUAACUUUGCAAAACUCUUCAUUUCAUAACUUAUGAAUUAAAGGUUCAUAAAAAUGAAGACUCUUCAUUUUCAUGUAACUUAUGUGUUUUAAGUGUGUGUUAAAUGAAAGUGACCUUUGGUAAUCCAUAACUUGAGGACAAAUUAUGGACUCCAUUAAAACACAUAAAUGAUUAAGAAUUAAUUCUAAACAAUUCAGCAAAUAAUUCCUAUCAUUUUCUAAAUUCAUAAGAACAUGAACAUGAUCAUCAAAAAUUCAAGAAUUAUAUGAACACAUAAAAUCAUGGAUUUUUGAUAUAUGCUAUUGUAAAUGGAUUAGAACAACCAUUACACCAACUAAAAUAAGUUUUACAACACCAAAACAAUUUAGGGUAAUGUUUCCAGUCCAUUUCCAGCAGCAAAAGUCGAGAUUCUGCAUUCUUUCGAUCCUACUCGCCGAGUGCACGAACGGACUCGUCGAGUAGGUUGAAGUUUGCCUUGGACUCGGCGAGUCCCCCCAAUGGACUCGGCGAGUCUAGCAUGCAGACAGCAACGAUUUCGACUUUUUUCACUAUUUUGCAUCAAGUAUCAAACAAGCAAGCCUAGGCUCUGAUACCACUGUUGGGUUUUGAGCAAUCUAACACUUCCUAAGUGUGCAUGCAACCCUAAUAAACCUUGGAUCUAUGUUUGUCUAAAUACAUGCAAAAUAAUAAUUUUCCAAGGUUUAUAACCUAUCUAACAUGGCAUGGGGAACAUUUCAACAUAAAAGAGUUAGAAGAGAUUACAUACCUUUGUUGUGUUGGGUUCUUAGGAGUUUGAGGGCCAAGCACCAAUAGUGUGAAUGCCUCAAAUGGAAUCACAAACACCACAAACUCUUGGAAAACUUUGAGAGAGUAUACACACUCUUGUAUUUUCGGCCACACACAUGCACACACACACUAGAACACUAGCUUUCUAUUAGGCUAUCUUAGGCUCUCUUUCAUGCUCCAUAAGCAUGCUUAUAUAGUAUGCAUGGUUAGGGUGAAACCCUAAUAACCCAUGUCUUUUCCUAUUCCAAGGAUCCAUGGGUUAAAAGCUCCAUGGAUCAUCCAUGGACUUCCACAUAAGCCUAGCCCAUUAACAAAUGAGUAUUAGCCCACACUAUAUAAAACAAAUAGCCCAUAAUUUAAUUAGUAUUCCUUUUAAUCUCUAAAUUAAUCCAUAAUUAAUUUAAGACUAAAACUAAUUAAAUAACGUAACUUCAUAUUAAUAUAUUAUAACUCAUAAUAUAUUAAUAAACAUAUGUGUAUAACUCUCAUAAAAUUAUCCAUAAUAGUUUGGAUGAGAUGCAACCCAAAUGGACCAUGCCGGUCGGGUCAAGUAUAUACCAAAUAAGUUAUGGACUUAGACACCUUAUCCAACAAGAUUUGCGAAGUUCAACAUGGAUCGAGCAGCUUCAACAAGAGUUCUAUUUCAUCGUUUGACUCACCAUUUUGUUGAGGGGUAUAGGGAGCUGAGAAGUUGUGAUCAAUUCCUUUUUCGGUGAGGAACUUUUCAAUAGUGGAAUUAGUGAAUUCCGAGCCACUGUCACUUCAGAUUCUCCUAACUGGGAGUUUGAUGAGAACUUCUAUUCCUUUGAUAAAUUUAAUGAGCUCUGAUGUUGUUUCGGAUUUUAGCCGAAGGAAGAAGACCCAGGUGAACCGUCUAAAAUCAUCAACAAUCACAAGAAUGUAUUUCUUAUGAUGAAGACUUUCUACAGAGGAAGGUCCACAAAGAUCAAUGUGUAGAAGUUCCAGAGGUUCCAUAAUGGAUUUUUCGAUGAUGACAGGAUGACCCUUCUUUGAAUGUUUACCGCACUCACAAGCAGCACACAAAUGAUCAUUUUCGAAUUUGAGUAGAGGUAAACCUCAAACCAUUUCACCAGAUACAAGAUCAUUCAUGUACCGAAAAUUUAGAUGAGCGAGCCUUCGGUGCCAUAACCAACUAACAUCAGGAACAGCCUUGGAGAGAAGUCAGAGUUACGGCUUGCCAAUAAUCAUGUUGAUAUCCAACGUAUACAUGAUCUUGUUGCGAAGUAACUUAAUUAGGCACUCUUUCCGGUCUUAGGUCAUCACAUAGUUGUACUUCUUGCAGAAUUCCACACGACGAUUUGAAUCAGUGAGCUAAACAACACUUACCAAAUUGUGUUUUAGAUCAGCUACAUAGGCCACAUUUGAGAUAGAGAAGUUUCCAUUGGUGAGGAUUCCAUAACCACAAAUUUGAGAAUUUGAGUUGUUUCCAUAUGUUACAUAACCAGCAUUUGGAGUGAGCUUUAAGUCUCGCAGAAAUUCCUUAUGCCCUGUCAUGUGCAUGGAGCAAGCACUAUCAAUAUACCAUAUUGUUUCUUGCUUCGAAGCACAAAGUGCCUGCAAAAUUAGUGAGUAAUGGAGUUUUUAGGCUCCAAAUUAGAAUUUGGGACAUAGGCACGGGCUUGGGACUUAGAUAGUGAUUUUGGAACAACUUUGUAUUUCUGAGUGGAAUUCUUUGAAUCUUUCGGAAAUAGAAAAAAUGUUAAUGUCUUCUCAUCUAUCCAGUAGUCAUAUUCAAUGACUUGGUGUUUCAGAAUAGUUUGCUUCGGACAUUUGACUUCCGGAGUUUUGAUAACAUCCAUUACCUCCGGAAUUGUUUUUUCAUCAAAGGAAGUUUUGAUUUUCCACACAAAAUUUUUCUUUAAGGAUUUUGAAGAAGAGGGUUUCUUUUGAUUUGUGGAUUUGCUUGAUGACACAUUUGACAUGGUAGAUUUUGGUUUAAAAAUUAUGCCAUCAGAUUUUGCAAUGAAAAUAGAUGAAUUUAUCCGAGGAAGGGUGUUUUGAGGUAUUGUGACAGUCACAUGAGAUUUAGACUGUGUAGGACAAUCUUCUUUCUUAGGUUCCCUACAACUAUGAGAUAUUGAAGGUCUUUUGAGAAUCUUAGUCGGAGCAAAGGAGAUUUGUCUAAUAUCAUGAGAGUUCCUGGAUACAUUUGGUUAGGAAUUGGCAAUGAACCUGGAAUUUUGUUUAGUCUUAACUUCCUUCUUAAGUGCAUUCCUAGCUUUUACUUUGGGAUCUAUCAUACCCUUCCUAUUCAACAUUGGUUUUCUCUUAGUGUGUGACAAGGACUUUGAGGUCUGUCUUGCGGAUGGAUUAUUAAACAUAGGAGAAAUGGGAAUCAACUUAGUUUUUGAAACAACUAAGGAAUCCGAUUCAUAAGAAUCAGAGGAGACACUGCUUGAUUUUCCAACCUUAUCAUCUAAGGAUGCCCAUACAAACUCAGAGGUAUUGGUUUCGGAUGUCAGGGUAGGAAUUUCUUCAACCACACAAUUGUUAGUGUGACUACUUUUUGGAACAUAGUCUACACAAAUUGGAAGACUGUAAUGAAAUUUUGUGGUCAGAUUCAGGUCCAGGUUUGUCAGAGGCGGAAUUUGCAUGGAAUUAGGACAUUUGACAACAAUUGGUUUGAAUUCAGGAAUUAGGGACUCAAAAUGGUCGGUAGUCUCCGGAAAGGGUGACAAGGGAGAAACAGGGGUAUCUGAAUUCUUUGUGUUAGGAACUUCUCCUAUAAAAUUCAAAUUUUGUAAAUCCUUCAGGGGACUAACAAUCCGUUUCAAGCAUGUCAACAGAAUUAUGCAAAGCGUCUAUUUUGGCAUUAAGACGUUUAUUAUCAGAAAUCAAAAUAGUAUGAUCGGAAUAGGUGAUUUCACAUUUAUCUUUCAGAAUGAUACAUUCAUCACUCAACAUUACAAUUUCAUACUCUAAAGACACGAUUUUUAACUUUUUGUCCUCGAAACGUAACCUAAGACAAUUUAACUCACACUCCUUCUUUGCACUCGCGUCUAUUGCAGAUUCAUAGGCCUUAUAGAUGGUAUUCAUAUUUGUUUGAAUUUGGGUUAGAUAAGGUUCACAAAGAGACAAAUCAACAUUAUUAUCCGAGAUCAUAGAUUUUAACUGUUGGACGAUGCUUCGACCCAGUGGAUUCUAGAAUGAAAGUGGGAGCGGAUCGCUAUAGAUUUCAUAACCAAGUUGCCCAAGACAAUGGGUGGACUUGAUACCAUAUGGGUCAUCGUCGAUAGAUUGACCAAGUCUGCACACUUCCUGCCUAUCAAAGAAACUGACAAGAUGGAGAAGCUUACGAGAACAUACAUUAGGGAAAUCAUGUGACUGCAUGGUAUUCCUAUAUCCAUUAUCUCUGAUAGAGAUAGUAGGUUCACCUCAAGAUUCUGGCAAUCGUUGCAACAUUCCCUAGGAACAAGGCUAGACAGGAGCACAACCGACCAUCCUCAGACCGACGGGAAAAGUAAGGACCAUCCAAACACUGGAAGAUAUGCUAAGAGCCUAUGUGAUCAACUUUGGAAAGGCAUGGGAUACUCAUUUACCGCUUUUCAAAUUUUCCUACAAUAACAGUUACCACACGAGCAUCAAGGCUGCCCCAUUUGAAGCCCUCCAUGGCCGCAAGUGAAGAUCCCCUCUGUGCUGGACUGAAGUGGGUGACACCCAGUUAGCAAAGGGGCAAGUUUCUGACAAAACUCUCACAGGCCCGAAAAUCAUUCGGGAAACGACAGAGAAGAUCGUUCAAAUCCGUGAAUGAUUGAAAGCCUCUAGAGACCGACAGAAAAGCUACGCUGACAAGCGAAGGAAACCUUUGGAAUUCCAGGUGGGAGACCGAUUCCUUCUUAAAGUCUCACCCUGGAAGGGCUUAAUACGCUUCGGUAAGCGUGGGAAGCUUAGUCCGAGAUACAUAAGGCCUUUCGAGAUUCUCGCAAGAAUCGGCCCUGUAGCUUACAAACUCAACUUACCCGACGAACUUCGUAACGUACAUUCUACAUUCCACGUCUCUAACUUGAAAAAGUGUCUGUCCGACGAGACUCUUGUAAUCUCACUCGACGAGAUCGAGAUCAACGAGAGCCUCAACUUCGUGGAAGAACCGGUAGAGAUCAUGGACCGUGAGGUCAAACAGACGAAGCAAAGCCACAUCCCGAUUGUGAAGGUUCACUGGAACGCCAAGCGAGGACCGGAAUUCACGUGGGAGCGCGAGGAUCAAAUGAAUUUGAAAUAUCCUCAUUUGUUGGCUUAGUUAUUUGUAAACACUUUAUUUGCUUAGACUUUAAUUUCGGGACGAAAUUCCCUUUAACGGGGGGAUGAUGUGACAACCCGAAAUUUUCAGUCGGUCAAACCCUAAAAGUCAAUCACUUCUUAUUAUAAGUUAAUGUCAUUAUUUCUUAUUUUUAACAAAUUUAAAGUUCGUUUGAUUAUUUUAAUAUUAUUCUUUAAACGAACGGGUGAAAGAAAGUGUCGUCUUGGGUUUUGAAAUUUAAAAACCGCAAACACCUCGUGUCUUAGAAGUUCACUGCCAAACUUUUAUGUUUGGGUCGAAAAAUCACCCAAAAACCAUGAAAUCAUGCAUAAGCAUGAGUUUACUCCCCAAGCUAGUCAUUUUAUGUUUACUCCUCAUUUACCCAAAAGAGUAAACUCCAAAAAUCCUCUCAAGUAUCAUCCUAAAAUUAAUUCAAGAUCUUCAAACUUGUAAGUGUUCUAACCAUUUCAAGUUGGUAUAACAUUUAAUCUAGUGAUUUUACAUCUUUUCAUCCAUCCAUAUUUGUAUUUUGAUUAGAUUUGCAAAAACACCAAGAACACACACUAUGUGUUCUUGGACUUUUAGCUCAAAUCAAGCUUCCUUAUAGUAAGUACUUCCAUCCUUGAGUCUUAUUAAGCUUGUAUUACAUGUUAGCAGCAAGAAAACAUGCCAAGAACACAAGGAUUAAGGUGUUCACGGUCCAAGAAGGUUCUUGGGCCGUAAACACCAAGAAAGGCACCAAAGUGUGCCUAAGUCCUUUAUCUAGCCCUAGUUUUAUGUUUAAGCCUUUCCUUGACAUGUUUAAACCUUCCCUUUAUGUGUUUAAGCCUUAAAGAACACCAAAGACCACCAUUUUUAGGUGUUUAUGGUUUGGGGAUCUCCCAAAACCGUAAACACCCUAAAGUGUGUUUAUUUGGGCCAUAUUCCUUCCAUAGGCCUAAAAACUAACCUAGAAAAUUACCUUGAUGAGUUAAGGACUUGAAAACAUGGCAAUACCCUUUUCCAUAUGGGUUUACAGUAGUAAACCCAAAGGGAAAUGACCAUGAGGCCGUAAACUCCUCAAAGGGGGUGUUUUGUUGCCCUAGUCCCUUCCAAAGGCCAAACCACCAAGUAGAAAUGCUUCAAAAGACUUGUAAAACCUCAAAACAACAUAUGGUCCUAAGGAGUAGAGUUUACGACCGUAAACCCUUGAGUUUACUGCUAUAAACUCCUUGGGUAAUGCUCAUUAAUACCGUAAAACCGUAAACUCCAAAGGAGUUUACCCUUGAACUCCAAACACUCUAGCUUUGCCCUACAAACACUUGGAUGCAACCCUUGUGAUCUUUAACACUUAAAACAAAGUAUUUUCAUGUACUAGAGUGUCCCAACUUAAUUUAUUAGUUAUAAAUUGGCUAAUUAGUUAUAUAUAUGUUCAUUAUAUGAUAACUAGGCUCGUGCGUGUGUACAAGUCUCCAUUUGUCACCUAGCACCGUAUCCGACACUUGAAUCCAAUCCACUCACUGCAAGUGAGUUCAUACCCCUUUAAUUAACCUUUGAAAUACUUUUAAAUGUUUUAAAUGCUUUUAUGGGGGGAAUACAAGUUGAAUACAUAUAGUUAUUACAUCAAUCACAUGUGAUUAAUAACUACAAAACCAAUGAUUUUAUUACUGUUCAAACUGUUUAUCAAACUGUUUUACAAACUCUUUUACUUAUCAAAUACUUUUACUUAAACUCUGUUAUACUUAUUAUAAAUUGCAUGCCCAUAUAUGUAUAGUUAUAUAAACAAUGUUUAAAAGGCUUAGGAAGGCCGCCCGCCCUAUUUCCUUUUCGCGCUUGAGAUGUGGUCUGGUGGGAUAUCGGGUAUCCGUCCGAAGGUUGUUUAAAUACUAGUUAUAUAUCUAGUGUACAUAUGUAGUCAUAAAAGUUCUUCCAUAUUCUUACGUACCAGUUACAUCAUUAUUAAGUUACCAUCGGGGUAGCACAGGAUAAUACUUAUACUAUUGUUAGAAUAAUGAGAUAUUAAAUGAGUCAGUUCAUUCAUGAGUCAGUACUUAUUACUAUGAGAACAUAUACAUUACAUUUCAAUGAUAACAUAUACAACUAUACUAGAAGAAGAACACAUACAACUAUACUAGAAAGAGAACAUAUACAACUAUACUAGAAAGAGAACAUAUACAACGAUACUAGAACAAGUAACAAUACAUUACAUAUACAUGAAUACGUUAACAUAAUUGUGAUCCACUGUAUCGGAGCAUGCCUUCAAUGUCAUGGCCCGAGUUGUAGCCAGAGUCUCUUGGAGGGAGAGCGUGAGUUUGCGUAUAGAUCUAUACUGGAUUGACUAUCCUACACCUUGCUGCUAGCUACAGCCGGACCUGCAGGUCUGCGGGUGCCAAACGUCAUANCCUUUUUACGACCUACAUUAUCGUGUUUCAUAAUCGAUAGUAUGGUACAAUUAAUCACAUAAUACCUUGAUAUAAAUCCGGUUUAAGGUAGUUAGUACAGCAGUAGUUCCUAUAAUACAACACUACAGUACUACAUUAAUUUAUCUUUUACAUAUAUUUAGUGAUCAUUUCACUUAAACAUUAAUGUACAAACUAUAUUUUGUUAAUGAUAGUUAUACUUGGGAAAAUUACACACUUUUACAAUAAACGAACAUACAAAACAAUUACGCCUUGGUAGAAGGCUACUUUUAAUAGGAAAUAUAGGGUUAGAUUCAAACUUUUACAAACACUUACAAACGUUUACAUAUUUUUAUCACCAAUUUUUACAAACUCAUACUUCAAACCACGUUCAAACGUUUUGAUACAAACACUGACACUAAAAUACUUAUGAACUCACCAGCUUAAUGCUGAUAAACUCUUUCAAAAUAACUUGUAUUCUCAGGUCAUCAGUAGACAGGUACCGAGGCCAGCUUUUGAGAAGAUGGAGCGCAUUCAAGACUCAUCUUAUUAUUUUGAUUUACAUUUUUGGUGUCUAUAACUGUACAAAACAUGCUUGUAUUAAAAUUAUAUAUUUAAUGCAAUGGAUGAUGUUGUUUGCUUGUUUACUGUUAUACUGUGUUGUGAUACUUUACAUGACGUCCUCCGCCCCAGAACGUUUCCGUUGUUCUCGGUUUUGGGGUGUGACACGUAUAACUAAUGAGAUCUAGGCUUAAAACACUCUAGGGUUAGGUUUAAGACAAAAGGGCUUCACCAACUACUCAAUAACUGAUGAUUUACGACAUUUAGGACCAUCCCAACACUAGAUCUGAAGUGGCAACCUCAUAUCUAAGCCCCAAACCCGAAAUAGAUCUCAAACAACCAUAAAACCCCCAAAUCUCAUAACAAAAUAGACCUAGAUUCAAAGGAGGGAAGAUAACAACUUAUUACCUCCAAGAUGAUCACCAACUGAAGUAAAUCUCGGAUCUACACCUCUCCUUUGAAGCACCCCUCUUAAUCUUCAAGUUCCUUUCAAGGAUUCCCUCCUCCAAAGCUCUUUUCUUUCAAAUGAUGGAAGCUCACACGAAAUCUAGGAUUUACAGGCUCUCUAGGAUGAUAUAGAGGCUGAGGAAGGGACAUAACAUCCUUUAUAUAGGGUACAACCCCCGGGAUUAGGGUUUCUCUCUUCAGACCGGACUCGUCGAGUCCAUACUCCGACUCGCCGAGUCGGUCACUUACUCCUCGACCCAGAUCCCGCUCGGACUCGUCGAGUUCCUCCUUGGACUCGAUGAGUUGACCCUUUGACUUAGGGUUUUCUUUCCUUUCUUGUACUUUCUAAUUUUGGGUCUAACAACUCUCCCCCACUUAAACUAAACUUCAUCCUCGAAGUUUCUCUACGUCCAAUCGCCCUGCAAACUGCUGUCAACACUCUGCUUGGUUGACCUAACAUCCGCUGACCACCUUCGUUGGGCUUUCUCCUGGUCAUUCUGACUAACAUUAAUCCUUGUGGAUAAUAAUCUCGGGUCAACCCUGACCCUGAACAUUCUGGGAACAUAACUUACUCCACUGACAAACCUUCUGAUACUUCCCGAGUACUUAUGUUGAACACCCUAGGUGUUCACCCCUUUCUUUCCUUGCGCGAUUUCUGGCCUUUCCAAGGCAACGCUCCAUAACCAACUACUUUCUCUGACACUAUGAAGGACCCAUCCUUCCCCGAAUCCAUUACUCCCGCUACUCCCAAUACGGGUCAUUACCGCUAGUACCCACUGGAUACUUCUCACUACUAUAACUUAGUAUUGAGCACCCAUCAAUCAUCUAGCUAAAUUCCACCAUGGGCUGCUUACCAUCACUACACUGACUGGAAAUAUUUGUUGUCCCUUAUCCGCCUUCCGGAUGAACCAAGACCACCCUGGUCCCUACUGAUGUAUAAAUAUCUAGGUUACCGGCUCCCACCGGUCGCUAGCCCCAACACCAACUCCUACUCUCUCCCAGCGACUUCCGAAGAAACUUAGGCUAUCUAAUACCGCCCCCUCUACUCUUCCACUCUGGCAUUACAAUUCCUGGGAUCCUCGAUCCCCUAACUUGACCCUAAGGUCCUUACCAGGUCUCACCUGCGCUACUAACACUCAUGGGCCUCGCCCACGAGUCUCACCCAACUAUAACCUCAAGCGAUCUAUCCUUCUAGUCUCACCUGUCUACCCACUCUCGCACGGGCCUCGCCCACGUGUCUCACCUAACCAUACUACUGAGCAACCCUGCUCUCAGGUCUCACCUACACUGCUACUCACAUACGGGCCUCGCCCACGGGUCCCACCCCACUACAUCCUGGAGCGGCCUCUCCCAAGGUCUCACCUUUCUAGGUCUAUACAGGCAAGCUCCAUGCUAUCCUCAACCACUACCCAUCCUUGAUCCUUACCUUGAUCACUAGGAGAUAAGGGCCUCGCCCCAGCUCUGCUAACGAAGCUACUAGGGAAUGCUACGACUUACCCGUAGUUUUACAACACCUUCCAUCUCUGACUGCUGCUAGAAAAUGCUGCGACUCUCUCCCCGCUCUACCAUGCUCUACAUGCUGACUCUGCCACUGAUUAUUAUCACAAAAGCAUCCCAUGCUAACCGUCCCCAAGAUCUUCAUUCCGACUCACUCGAGUCCUACAGGCGAUCCUCUAACCUGAAUUCCCAACCACGUACUAACCAUCACCCUUACACGCACUAACUAAUGGGGAGUUUCUCAAACUCCCAACCCUGAACUCUUCAACCCAUCAAAUGCUAUGCCACUCCCUUUCCUUCUCAGAGACUGCGUACUCAUUCUAGAUCUGCACACUCUUAUCCUUGCACACUGGGAGGGUUCUCCCCCACUUUGACCCUGCUUACACCUCGCUGCUCAAUGCUCGAAAAGAAUUCCCAACCCAUGUUACCAUCCCAUAAUCAAUCUGCUGAGAAACCCAAACUCACCAUAGCUAGAGAUCUAACCAGUCCAUCUUCAAACGAUACAUUUCCGCACUAGCGAGACAUUCCAAGUCCCACACAGGCAUGCUACAGUUACUGCAUCCUAAGUGACCUUCCCCGAUAAGGCACAUUCCCUAACUACCAUUUAGAUAUCCAAGGUAUGCAGAUGGCAUAUAACUCAAUCACAAGCAAACCGCACAAAACUAAAAUACUCAUACCAAUAAUGAUGCAGAACCAUAACAAUAUAAUCAUGCAUAAUGAAAAAAACAGAAAACGGAAGUCGCAUACCUGCAUCGCGUCUCCAUGGUAGUCAUCUGAAAAGCCCUGCUUCCUACCGCAGGCGCCUCUGCCCAGCCCUGACGGCCAUCUGUGAUCCUCAAGGUUGCAGGGGCGGGUGCCAUCACCCGUCCUGCCGGAAACAAACUGGGGCACUGGGCCAUCUUGUGGCCCCGCUAGUUGUAGUGAAAACAUAUCAAGUCCAAUCCCUGUGUGGUGGUAACAGUACAAUCCCUGCUAAAGUGACCAGUCCGACCGCACUUGAAGCAGCCAGACUCACCACCGCUACCACUCCUGCACGCACCCCCGUACGUCCUGCCACACUUCCCGCAUCGGCUGCGGUCCUAAUAAUCCCUUGAUCUCGAAUCCGAUCCCUUGGGCCUUUUGCCCGAACCUAUGACUGUCUGAACCUUAUCUGACUUCCUCUUCCGGAUCUGCUCCAAAUUGAUUUCCCUCUCUCUAGCCCGAGCGAUCAUAUCCUCCAACAUCUUGCAGCUGGAUCUGCUCACAAACUGCCUGAUGUCAUCCCUCAACAUCUCGUGAUGUCCGGCCUUCUUCAUCUCCUCAUACACGACAUACUGCGGAACAAGAAGGUCCCUCUCCCUGAACUUGGCGGUGAUCUCCGCCAUAGUCUCAGUAGUCUGCGUCAAAUCCUCAAACUCCCAUUCCAUCUGUUGCACCUCAAUAAUCGGUGAAAACUCGUCCCUAAACUUGGCUGAGAAAUCGCUCCAUGUCAUCGCGUCCAACGCGGCAUCAUCACCAAUGGCAUGACCAAUCUCCUCCCACCAAUCCCUCGCUCUGUCCUUCAGAAGACCGGAGGCGAGUCUGACCUUGUCCCCCUCGGGACACCGGCUCGUACGAAAAGCGUUGGCAACAUCAGCCAACCACCUGCUGCUAGCAAAGGGGUCCCUAGCCCCAUGAUAAUCUGGUGCCCCACAAGCCCUGAACUCUCGGAAUGUCAAGGUAUGCGCUCCCCUCAGAUCCAUCAUCUCGGUACGGAAGGCUCCCAGCCUCUCAUCCAAGAUCUCCAGUAUACCCUCCUUGACCGUGCCAAAGAUCACAAGAGUCUGGUCUAGUAUGUUGUGCGUAACCUCAGCUAAUAUCAACUCCCUCAUCCGCUCCUCGAGCUGCUCGACUCCUGAACCUGAGCCUGAUCCCUCUCUAGCGCCUAAUCCGCCCACUGGUCUCUCUCGCAACGUCACCAUGCUAAAAAUAUAAUACAACCACUUAUCAGAAUACUUAUUACUACUGCGAGAUCAAAUACACGCACUACCAGGUUCCCGGUCUUGUCUCGGCCUUUCCCGAAUCGAGUACAGAUCCUCUGUUUUCAGUAGUACGGGCCCAUACUACCUUCCACAUCUAUCCGUACUUUCCUCAAGAACUACUUUGACUCCACCAGGUCCCUUUUCUACUACUACUACUCCCAGCACUACCUCAUCCUAGGCUUACCCUAGGGAAACUUCUGACUCAAACCAAACAAGUCCUCAGCCGCUGAAGGCCUCCUAGUGAUGCCAAUUAGCCAUCACCUGGAUACCAUCACAUGUGACGAGGCCCAGAUAAUCCUUCGAGUAAAAGACUCGUCCCUACAACGGUUGGACUCUAAAAAGAGCUGCGUAAUAGGGCCAAGUCCAGCACUCUGAGAUUAUUCAACCCUGAUCACAUGUGACGUGACGUAUCCACAUAAUGGCUAAAUCCCAUCACUCAGAAUCCCACAAUGCACAAAGCAAGCAACAUUCAGACAAGGGAAAAUCUAACCAUAACAUACUCAAGCAAUCAUAAUCUCAUAUCAAGAAUCUGUACUAGCAGGUAACACAAGCUCAUAAACUUAUGAGUAACCUAAACAGGCUAUCCAACUACAAUCUAACCAUCACUAUCAUGCAGCUCAAAAGCACAUAUAACAGGCACAUAGGGCAUCCUCUCUAGAUCCUUAGUCCUAAUCUAGCAUGCUGUUCUAUUAACUGAUAAUCAUAACAUAAACUUGUAUGGGUAUUUUGGGGUACUUACUUGAGCUCGGCUGAUUGCAUGCACCACACCCCUUUUCUCUUUUCAAAGUUCUUUUCUUUCUGAAUUCUUUUUGCUUUUCUAAAACUGUUUUCUUUCUCAAAACUCUUUUUACAAAACUUUCUUUUCAUUUUGAAAACUUCUAUACCAAUUCCUUAGUUUGAGUUUAGACACACCUGGGAGUAUAUCCAAAUCCCUUAAACCAAGGCUCUGAUACCAACUUGUAACAUCCCAAAAUUCAAGACUAAAAAUUUCUUUUAUAAAACAUUACUUAAAUACAAUUAUCAAUCCAUAACAUAAUAAGAGUAUUAAUUUUCAAAACAUAUGUUCAUUAUCAUAGUAAAACAUCCCAGGCUGUCUAAUCUACGGUGUGUGCCAUGCGAUCGCUCCGAGCUCUUCCCUCCGCUACCGGAAGUACAUGAAACCAAAACUGAAAACUGUAAGCACGAAGCUUAGUGAGUUCCCCCAACCUACCACAUACCAUGCAUAAACACAUACUGCACAUACUGGGCCAUGCCCGCUAUUCUGGGCCUCGCCCCCUACCUCGGGCCUCGCCUGGCUUCNGCCGCUCCAGGCCCCGCCUGGCUUCGAGCCCCGCUCGGAAACAAAUCUUUUUCACUUAGGCCUCGCCUAUCACUGAUCCUCGCCCGCCAGCAUAUACUAGCACAUAAACAUAUCAUAACACAUAUACUAAACAGAUACUACCGAAUCCUGUUCUAAGGCCUCGCCUGUCUUGGGCCUCGCCCAUGCCCUGCAACUGAUGAGUCAUGGAACCCCGUCCAUGCUCCUACUGAUAGUGAGAUAUAGGCUCAGCCCACACUCACCCUUUCCCUAACCUGGGCCUCGCCCCUACUCUGCUGCUAAUGAGAUAUAGAACACCAUCCAUACUCUGCUAUUGGUGAGAUACGGGACCUCGCCCACACUCACCUCCUUACCAGGCACAUACAUGUAUCAUACAGACAACAAGUAUACUCUAUCAUGCAAACCGCUCCUUGGGCACCCGCCCGCUGACGUUGGACCUCGUCUUGAAUAUCAUACUAGCAUACUGAUAAUCAAUGCCUAGGGCUAACCCCUGGGUCUUCGUACUCAUAACCAUAUGGGUCGGCAUUGUGGCCGUAGACCCAUCCACACAAAAGGGAAACUCACCUCAACUGUUGAUCUUCUACUGCUACUGAUGCCUGCUAAGCGNCGACAAUUCUCUGAACCGCUGUUCCACUAGCUCCCCGAGCUACCAAUAACAAAACAUAUAUCACUUAGCUUAACUGUCCUCCGAAAGUCAACUAAGUCAACUCUGGUCAAAGUCAAAGUCCUGGUCAAAGUCAACCUUCCAGGUCAACCCUACUCGCCGAGUCUGCCUACUGACUCGUCGAGUUCCUAUACUCAGAGUCCUUCCAUUCGCGACUUGACUUGCCGAGUCAGACCAUGACUCACUGAGUCCACCGAUUUCCGAGUCCUGUCUUGUCCAACUCACUGAGUCUCCACCCAACUCACUAAUUCGAGUCUUAACUCGAAGGGUUCGGGGUUUCACGACCUGACUCGCCAAGUCCAAGAACAAACUCGCCGAGUCCAGGGCAAACAGACUCGCCGAGUUUUUCAUCCAACUCGUCGAGUUCCUCCUAAUCUUCAUACUACUCGCCGAGUCUAUUCAGUCCUUCAUACAAUCAGAAGCUUUUUGAGUCAUGCAGGGACUCUAAACUAUAGAUCCACUCUUCCAAGGCUUAUUCCUUACGUAAAGUUGCAAACUUUACGUAUAACUAAUGAGAUCUAGGCUCAAAACACUCUAGGGUUAAGUUUAAGACAAAAGGGCUUCACCAACUACUCAAUAACUGAUGCUUUACGACAUUUAGGACCAUCCUAACACUAGAUCUGAAGUGGCAACCUCAUAUCUAAGCCCCAAACCCGAAAUAGAUCUCAAACAACUAUAAAACCCCCAAAUCUCAUAACAAAAUAUACCUAGAUGCAAAGGAGGAAAGAUAACAGCUUAUUACUAUUGGGUUUUGAGCAUUCUAACACUCCUAAGUGUACAUGCAACCCUAAAUACCUUGGAUCUAUGUUUUCUCUAUUAUACAUGCAAAUAUGAACAUCCAAGGUAUUAUCCAAAUCUAGCAUACAAAACAAUGGAUAUAACAAGAUAGAAUACAUACCUCUUUCAUGUAGAAAGUCUUCAUGAAGCUUGAGUGCCUAGUGCCCCAAGUGUGACACCUCAAAUGGUUCACACAACACCAAAUACACUUGGAAUAACUUGAGAGAAUUCUACACUUCAUGAAAAUCGGCUAGCCCUCUCUAGAAUGAUACUAGUCCCCGAUUUUGUCAAGAAUAAGAUCUUUAUAUAGUGUUACAAUUAGGGUAAACCCUAAUUGUCAUGACUUUCCAUUUCCUUGGAUCCAUGGGUUCAAAUACACCAUGGAGCAUCCAUGGACCAUCCUAUGGGUUUUAGCCCAACUUGAUUAUCCAUGGAGCAUUAGCCCACUAUACAAGUAUGGAUGAUUUACACAAUCAACCCAUAUAUUUAAUUAGUCUUCUUUUGAUCACUUAAUUAAUCCUAGAUUAAUUCUUGAUCAAUACUAAUUAAAUAAUCUUAUUAUUCUUAUUAUUAAUAUACUAGAACUUAUAAUAUAUUAAUAACCAUAAGUGUCUUAUUUCUCUCAUUAUAGUCUAUCCAAGUGCAUGAUGCCAUGCAACCCAAAUGGAUCAUGCCGGGUCGGGUCAAGUCUUACCAAUUAUAGUUAUGGACUUAGACAUUAAUCCAACAGUCUCCCACUUGGAUAAGUCUAAAACUAUUAUUGCGUAUGACUUCAGGAACCAACUGGCAAUCGUAGCUCUCAAAAGCUUCUGUCGAACUCUGACCUUGUAGAUGAACUCUGACCUUUGUCAAUGACUUGUCCAUUAGAUAAGGGAUCAUAUAUUCCUCCAUUCUAGAUAUCAUAUGGACUGAGACAUGGAUUAUAAUCAUUCUCUCUGUCCAUUUGUUGUUUCCCGAUUUCCGAUUUAUGACGACUGACUAAUUGAACAAAUCAAAUCAGUCCUGGCCCGGCCGAGCACUUCCAUUUGUCAUCAUCAAAUCAUCGAGGGGCCCACAGAUAUCGCUUUUAUCCCGAAGGUAAAAGGAAUGGAUAAACUUCGACUCAUAUGGCUUGUUCUACUACUUGUUGAAUCAUACACAAAGGCACGUUUUAUAGCACCGAGUUACCAAAUGCGUUUUCGUGCAAUCAAUGUACUAUCAACUCAUAGUAACAACUCAUAUCUCUAGGUUUGAAGAAUAUAAGAUAUUAUCGUCUCAUGAUCACUCGUGAUAAAAUCCAUGAAGUGAUUCCAAUGAGCGCGGGUUGAAUCCAAUACUCAGAACUUAUGAGCACUCAUGAGUGUUGUAGCCCUUUGUCCAACACCUUAGACCUCUACAAGCCAACCCAUGACAGUCUUAAUUCAUAUCUACUUCCAACAUAUGACCGACUGUGGAUGGUUUGAAUAACUUAGUCAUUCCGGAAGAAUAACCCAGUUUAUUCGGGAAGUCAAAACAUGCAAAAUGAAACACAAUAAUAAUUGAAUCCAAUAUGGUAUCAACCCUUUGAACAUAAAUAAAACACCUUUUAUUUAUCACCAUAUGAUUACACAUUAUUCAUUGUAUACUGUUUCAGCUAUCAACUUUAUUCUUGAAUUUAAAACAAUAGUUGUCCCAUGCUCCAAGCAUGUACACUAUGUUUUCUUAAACACUAGUCAUGCCACACACCAAGUAUGCAUACUAUGUUUGUCUAUGAUCUUUACUUUGUGAACUAGAUCAAUUGAACAUAACUUCAAUGAUUCUCUUUUCACACUCCCAAAUCCUUACUGCAAAUGCAAGAAUUCCAAAUUCAUGCCAUUUACUGAAAUCUGUUAGAUUCUAAACUUAUAUGCAUUGAUCCUCUUGUAAUGAUUAUGCACAAAGUCACAAAGACUUGGCAACAAUCAUUACAGAGUAUUCCAAAGGAGAUCAACUCCUUGGAAAUAUCCUUCUUGCAUUAAGUUUCCUUAAUCUUACACAGAUUGAAAAUUCUAACUUUGAAACAUUUCCAGAUUCCAUUUUGACUAUCACUUCUGAACAAGAGUUGCCUCCUUACAGAUUAUGUCAAUAUGGUCCUUCCAGAAUUAUCACUAUACUUCCAAUUGUCCUUGAGUAACCAAUCUUUGGUAAACCUUAGAUUGUCCUCGACAAUUGUUUAAUCCUUUUAGUCAUAUCCAGUUCUAAACCUUUUCCCUUCUUAAUGCCCCAGGCAUUUGGAAAAUUUUAGAACGGAUGAAUAUAGCACAUGUAAUCGAUCCUAUAUCCGAAGCAUAUGGGACACGAUUCAUGAUGUCUUACAUAAAGACUAAACCAGUCUUUUGCUAUAAUAUUUCCAUUUCAAUUUGCCAAGUUCUCAUAAUUCAGAUUAUGAAAAGGGAUGCCGUAAUCAUAAUCGAAUUUUAGAACGCAAAUAAUGGACCCAUAUACAGAAUUUCCUUAUGUUGAGCCAUUCCAACAUGAAAUUCAUAUAUAUCCUUGACUAAAUGAUUAAAACCUCACGAUCUAAGCUUAUAGAUUUGAGAUGAAGCAUAAUUUCCUCUCCCUUAAUUAUAGCAAAACAACUUUUUCCCAAUUGAAACUUUUGUUUUCUAUAAUUAACAUUGCUAACUUGCAAUACUUAUCAUAAUUAUCAUGCUCCCACUAACAUGAUGAUUAUUAGCAUAACACUUAUGCUCCCACUAGCUUUGACAUGUACUCAGAAAUCAGCUGGACAGUCUGAAAUUUAGAUUCAUACACCCUUUCCGUAGAUAGCUCACCUGUGUGUCUAAGCAAUUUCAAGAACCAUGAAAAGGGAUACCGUAAUCAUGGUCUCAAUUGCUUAGGCAUUUGCCAUUUCUCACAAGUCCAUGUUAGUGUGCCGGUUAACCACACGCGCUCCACUAACGACUUUUGAAAAUGCAAAUAACACAAUUGAUAUCUUCGUAAAAUCUACUUAGUGAAAGCGUUUCCUCACCAUCAUUUUCAUGAAUCGGAGAGAAACCUUAUGACACUUAGAUUUAUAUGGUGUAUGAGUUCCUACCCAUAUGAAUUUGUCAAACCAUAAUCACAAGACAAAGAUAAUGACAAAUCCAAAACCAUAUGGAUUGAACUCAAUCUUAACUUCUUGCCACCUGGCAGCUCAAGGGCCUGCCAUUGCUUCCAAGUUGUUGUGCAACAAAUUGAGAACUCUAAGAACUCAUAUGCAAAACCAACUUUAACUGGAAUGGGCACAGAAUAUGUCAACACGAUAGGUUAUGAACCUCAAGUCGUGUGCUAGUGAAGAACUUUAGGUUUUAUUCUUGAUUAUUUCUUGAGACUUUCAAGACCUUUAAGACUCCCACUGUCCUCUUGACAUAUAAGACUCCCUUGUCAAACAUCCAAGAGAUAGUGCGGAUUCUAAUCAAGAAAAACACUUUACCCAAUUGGCCUAAGUUGGUCUUUGUUUUAUCCAAAACAUCACAACUUACCAAUUUCAAAUGUACAAGAGUAGAAAACUUUUACUCUUACAUUUGACAAGUGUUUUAAACCUUCUUUAAGACAUGUCACUCAAAUGACAAUCUUGGAGUAUGACUCUAAGACUUGUAUUGGAACGAAGUAUGACUCAUCUUCUUGAUUUAACCAUUUCAACAAUUCAAGUUCCUCUUCUUAGUCAUAAGAAUGCACUAAGAUUUCCUUAGAGAACUAAUUUUGAUAUGGUUUCUUAAUCAUUAAGAUGAUCACAAAACUGAUACUAAAGUACUCUCCCAUCUUUUCAGAUUUGAGAAACUUUUAUCCUUCUGCCUUAUUUGAUUCUUCUUAUCGAUCUUUAGUGGUGGACUUAAUCAGUGCACAAGAAUGUGUACUCGAUCCCUAAGUCCUUUACUUGACUCACACAUCCAUGUGAACAAGUAAUUAGUCUUAAUUUUCCAAAACUUGAAAGUUCUCAUUCAUCAUGCUAUACAACUUGCAUGAUUCCAAGUUCCGGUCCAAUUGAAACUUGGGUGAUGAGAAUCUUUCCUUAUUUGGUAAAUUUAGACAUUACCACAAAUGAAAGAAUCAAUUUCAUACUUCCACUCUUGCUACUAAUGGAAUCUUAUAAGCAACAAAAAUUUCCACAGAUGCCAUUGUAAGGAUAUUUUAAAAUAAAUAAAAUCAAAAAUUUCCUUUUAUUUUAAAACUUUGCGGAAAAACUAUCCUUACAAUCCAUAUGAAAACUUGUUGUUAUCUAUUCCUAAGCAAUAUCUCAUAACUCCUAAGAAGUAGCUCAAGAAUCCGAUUUUUCAAACUAUGCGAUAGAAAUCCAUCUAUGCGAUCAGAUUCAGCAUAUUCUUCCUUUAAGUUUCUUCACUUUCCUUUGAUUCUUAAACCAUCACCAUGCGACCCGGUCACAUCAUGUAUCAAGAAUCUCAGAAUAGAAACUUAACAGAGUUAGAUAGUGGAUUUUACCUGAAGUAGAGUCAAACUUAUUGACUUUAACAUCCUUAGGUAAAUUUGGCAGCUUCGCAACCAAUGCCCUUUCUUUGGCAAUACAAACAUAUGGACCCUUUGAUAAUGGUACACAGGACUAUCACAGACUUAGCUUUUCUCUUUACCAUUUGGUCAACCGAGUUGACUAUAGCCGAUCCCUUUCCAUUGGGAAGAGAAUGCUUUACUGGAUAUCCAAUGUCAUCAUUGUCAAUGUCCAUAAAGUUUUAGGAAGUUGAUCUUAACAAAUAGAUAAGAUCAUUAAGGGUCUUGUCAUAGUCUUUUUCAUAGGUGUUCCAAAAGAACUCACUAUGUGACUUAGAAAGUAGUUGAACCACCAACUUUCUCAAGACUUUGACACCCAACUCUCCCGGCUUGUCAAUAUGUGACUACAUCUCCAAGAUGUGACCACACCUAGACCUUGCCUUGCCAAUAGGGCCUGAGUGACCUUAAACUUUUCAAGAACUUGUGGGUUAGGGAGAAUAAUUUGAAGAGGUGAAGAAGUAUGAUAUCCAUGGGACAUCAUCUUCAUUAGGAAACCUUGUUUCAAGAGAUUUGGGAAGAUCAUAGGUGUCUAAACCAGACAUCUUUUGGGAGAUAUUCAAGAUAGUUGAUUUAAAGUCCUUAAUAUGACACCCAAUAUGAAAUAUUAAGGCUAGGACCCAACAAACUAUUUUAUAACUUAGAAGAGGUAUGCCGUAAUCCAAGCUAUAAAAUAUUUGAAGGUAGGUGAAUGACGAUUCACCAAUUUCCACCAAGAUAAACGAAAUGUAUUAUUAGGUUUUAAUUGGUUUUGAAACUCCUAGAUCUUUGAGAUUCAUUGAACUUUUCAAAGGCAUGUUUCAAUCUCGAGUGUGCCCUUCAGGUUUUGUGACUGGGAUGCCGAGGAUCACAAAACAAGGUGUGAAGUAACCAUGCAAAUCACUUGGUACCCUUAAUAAAUUACCCCUCAAUCGAUGUGCCGGUUAACCACACACGCUCCAUCGAUACUAUGAUAAAUAUUAAGUCACCCUUUACCUACCUUGUUAAGUCCAAGUUAGUGUGCCGGUUAACCACACACGCUCCACUAACGACUUAAACAAAGUGUAAAGUGUAAUUUCAUGGAUUAGCACCUUAUUCACAUUUUUCCUAAGUAACUAAGAUUGGGUAUUAUUAAGAGUUUAGUUACUUAGUAUUAUCAUUAAUACUUUUAAUGAAGGGAGAAUUCUAGUCCUGUCAAACCCGUUCGGCUAACGACCCUCCACCAGUCAAGCAAGCGGUGGGUGAGAGUGGACACCCAUUAAGUUGCCAUUUUAUAGGCAACAACCUUAUACCCACCUUAUAGACCGGCUUCGUGAAUGAGGCGUACUAGCGGUAAGACUGACUUUACUCUUAUACAUAUAUAUAUUAUUAACUUAUAAUAUUAUAAAGUAUAAGGGUUGAAUUUUAACUUUUAAAAUUCUAAGGGCUAACUUGGAAUUAAAGUAUUCAUAAGUGAAAACUUUUCAAAUUCCAAAACUUGAGGGCAAGUUUUGAAACUAUUCAAAACUAAUUAAUUCCAUAACUUAUGUGUUUAAAGUAGUUUUAAUCCAAAAACUCUUCAAGUUCCAUAACUUGAGGACAAGUUAUGGAAGACUUUAAACUAAUAAAAGAAUUAACUUUUCUUUAUUUUAUAACUUAUGGAAUUAAUUAAGGUUACACUUUAUUUAUUUAUUUAUUAAUGAAGUGACUCUUGAACCUCCAUAACUUAAGGGACAAGACUCUUCAUCUUUGUAACCAUUGCCAACUUUUAUAAGUUUUAUGAAACUUAAAUGUGACUUUUCAUAUAAAUUGAGGACAAGUUACAAAAACAUAUUUUAGAAUCAACUCUUAGAUUAAUUUGGAUUAAAAACACAUAAUCAAUUAACUUUUCUAUUAAUCUAAGCAACUCAUAAGAACAAGAUAAUUCAAAUCAAACUUUUUCAUGUAAUUAGCCUAAUCACUAAACUAAUUCAAAACAUGAAUCUAUUGACAAUUAUCUUUGAAAUUGGAUUAGCAUGAACAUUACCACAUCAAAAACAAGUUUAUAAGUUCAAAAACAACUUAGGGUAAUGUUCCUAGUCCAUUUCAAGCCAAAAACCUCGAAAAUAUGCUGUCUGGGGCUCCUACUCAGAGAGUGCAUGAACCUACUCGGCGAGUAGGAUGAUUUUACUCAUGGACUCGGUGAAUUCAUCAGUGGGCUCGGCGAGUCCAGUGCCUAAAAAGCCAGAAAAUCGAGUUUUUCAGCAUUUUUCAGCAAUUUGCAUCAAGUAUAAUUGAAAACAAGCCUAGGCUCUGAUACCACUGUUGGGUUUUGAGCAUUCUAACACUCCUAAGUGUACAUGCAACCCUAAAUACCUUGGAUCUAUGUUUUCUCUAUUAUACAUGCAAAUAAGAACUUCCAAGGUAUUAUCCUAAUCUAGCAUACAAAACAAUGACUAUAGCAAGAUAGAAUACAUACCUCUUUGGUGUAGAAAGUCUUCAUGAAGCUUGAGUGCCUAGUGCCCCAAGUGUGACACCUCAAAUGGUUCACACAACACCAAAUACACUUGGAAUGACUUGAGAGAAAUCUACACUUCAUGAAAUCGGCUAGCCCUUCUAUUACUCACACUAGUGGCCGAUUUUGGUCAAGAAUAAGAUGCUUAUAUAGUUAGGGUUACACCAUGUAAACCCUAAUUGACAUGGCCUUUCAUUUCCAUGAUCCAUGGGUACAAAUACACCAUGGAGCAUCCAUGGAGCAUCAUAUGGGUUUUAGCCCAACUUGAUAAUCCAUGGAGCAUUAGCCCACUAUAUAAGUAUGGAUGAUUUACACAAUCAACCCAUAUAUUUAAUUAGUCUUCUUUUGAUCACUUAAUUAAUCCUAGAUUAAUUCUUGAUCAAUACUAAUUAAAUAAUCUUAUUAUUCUUAUUAUUAAUAUACUAGAACUUAUAAUAUAUUAAUAACCAUAAGUGUCUUAUUUCUCUCAUUAUAGUCUAUCCAAGUGCAUGAUGCCAUGCAACCCAAAUGGACCAUGCCGGGUCGGGUCAAGUCUUACCAAUUAUAGUUAUGGACUUAGACAUUAAUCCAACAAUUACCUCCAAGAUGAUCACCAACUGAAGUAAAUCUCGGAUCUACACCCCUCCUUUGAAGCACCCCUCUUGAUCUUCAAGUUCCUUUCAAAGAUUCCCUCCUCCAAAGCUCUUUUCUCUCAAAUGAUGGAAGCUCACACGAAAUCUAGGAUUUACAGGCUCUCUAGGAUGAUAUAGAGGCUGAGGAAGGGACAUAACAUCCUUUAUAUAGGGUACAACCCCCGGGAUUAGGGUUUCUCUCUUCAGACCGGACUCGACGAGUCCAUACUCCGACUCGCCGUGUCGGUCACAUACUCCUCGACCCGGAUCCCGCUAGGACUCGUCGAGUUCCUCCCUGGACUCGACGAGUUGACCCUUUGACUUAGGGUUUUCUUUCCUUUCUUGGACUUUCUGAUUUUGGGUGUUACAAAUAGUGAGGUUCAGCAUCAUCAUCUUCAUCUUCUGACCCUGAAGACCAGUACCCUUCAUCACAUUCAACCGUUUGUCUUGCCAUCAGACACAUAUUCCUUCCAGUUGUCAUAUCAUCAUCAUCCUCGUAGGACCAAUAUCCUUCAACAUCUCUUGAAAUCGUUGUGACAAAGGCUUUUUCACUUUCAGCCAUCUCUUGUGCUCUCCGGACAUAGUAGGCAGAGUCCGUGACCUUUGCUUUUAGUGGAGUAUCAGCUAGACAAUCUUUAGCAUAAUGGUUUGCAUGUCCACACUUAUGAAACACAAUUUUUGGUUUGUCUGAUUUUGUACUCUGAGAGGGUUUCGAAGUAGAGCUUGUUUUAGGGAGGUUUAGUUUGUAUGCAGGAGGAUUCUCGGAUGGUUUAGGUUCCGGAGUUGAAAAUGGUUGAGGAUUGUUCUGGUAAGGAGCAUGGAAUCGGUUUUGGUAUGGUUUGUAGGAAGGGUUGAAGGGACGUUUGUACUUCAUUGAAAGUAGUGCGAACUCCUGUUGGAAACGGAGUUCAGAGUCCAUAGCUUCGGAAUCAUCAGUAGGAUAGGAACGUUUGGAUGAUUGAACGGAUGGAACACUGGGUUUGAAGGGAUCCGAAGUGGAUGAGUUUGAAAUGUUUGAUUCGAAAGAACUGACAAGAGCAAGAGGACCUCCGGAGAGUUCCCUUAUUGUUUGAGCGACAUUGGACUCAUGGCCUAGAAGUUCAUCAAAGAGUUGAUAAAGCUUCAGUUUUGUUAAGGAGACAUUACUUUGGAGACAUGAUUGUACAUUUCCCCAUCCUUUUCCCAGACUGUUUAUGAACUUGAGAUUAUACUCCAAAGGAGUUUGGACAAUCCCAUGGGCAGUCUUGUUGUUUACCAUAAUGCGAUGGUGGAUGGAAGCAGAUGCCACUGACUCACCAGGAGUGGUGGUAAAAGUGUCAAAGUCAUUGACAACAUAGGUGAGGUGCUUGUCUUUCAUGUUUUCAGAUCCUUCAAUCAGGUCCUAAAGGGUGUCCCAUAUCUCUUUGGCUAAUUUUCAUAGCUUGAUAUGCUCAAAGAGUGAGGGAGGAACACCAAAAACCAUUUCUGAGAAGGCUACUUGAACAACAUGUAGCUUCUCGAUGUCAUCGGCAGUUAGAGGAGCUGGACGAGUUUCAUCUUCACGCAUGAGCUGAGCAGCUGCAUCUCUUACAAUAGUUCUUACAGGAACAUGUGGACCUUUUGUGACGGAUCUCCGGAUUUCUUCACCUUUAUCUUUGGCAAGUAAAAAUCUUUCCAUUCUAACUUCCAGUGAUCAUAUUCUUCCACAACUAGCAAUGGGGCACGUGUAGGGCCACCCACACUAUUUGCGAUUUGCAUUGAAAUUAUUUGCUGAGGAUUAGAAGCAGCCAUUGAAGUUAAGAUAUCUUUAAGCUAAAGUGGUAUAUAGAAGAACUUUUAUCCUUGACACAUAAAUGAUUAAAACACCAAGGUGAUUUCUAAUCAAUUAUAAUCUGAUCUGUAUGGAUUCAAAGGACAACUACUCAUGCUCUGAUACCAAUUGUGAGAACUAGAAUUGAUCAGUUGCGCAGGGACAAGGUUUGAGAAUACAAACCUUGAAUGAAUGCUUAAGAUCAAUGUCUGCUUUCUAAUAGAAGUUCAAGUCUGAACUGGAAGGACCAAUCAAGUCUUAGAUAUUGUAAACAACAAAUGAUCAAGACAUUAAGUGAAGAACUAGAGUUAAUGAUCAAAGUAAAUCUAAUAAAUGAAGAACAAGAAGAAGGUUUGAAAGAUUUGAAAUAAUAAGUAAAUGGCAAAAGUUGAGCAAAAGAUUCGUAUUUAACUUGUAUUGAAUGCUCCUUUAUAUAUGAGAGAAGGAUAUACAGUGAAUUAACCUAGUAACUUACAUUGGACUGGACAAUAGAACUAUUUCUAACAUUCUGAUUGUCAAAUAAGACAAAAAGGCUAAGUCCUAUGUAAAAUUACAUCAAUACAAAGAUAAUAAAUGACAAAAGACAAAACAGAUGAUCUUCCGGAUCUACAUACAUUCCGGACAUGAGUGUCACUCCGGAAUGUGUUCCUUUCCUCAAUACUCUUCCUCUUCUUCUCUUCAGUUCCGAACAGGUUCCGGGGCACUUUCUUUUCUUCGGAACUUACAGCCUUCAGAAUAUGUACUUAGGAUUGCUAGAUUUUCACUUUCAGUUUCCAACAGAUUUGGGUUCAACCAAUGAUAUGAAUUCCGAGAAAUGACAUUCAUUUUCAACACUUGUGGCAGAAGAAGUUUGUACACCAGCAUUUGGGUUUCUAAUAACUUGGUUUAAAGGAUGAUCCUUAGCCCAAACAUGUAGUCUCAAAAGUUCUUGGGCAACAGAUGAUCCUAUAUCAACAAUGGGAUUGUGUUGCUCCCCCUGAAUAGCUUGAACUUAUGGAUGAUGCUCCCCCUAAACAAAUGAAAUGGAUAGGUUAACAUCAUCAUUGUUGAUAGGAUUAGAGUCAAAUUCAACAACUGCAUCUUAGAAUUCAUCCACAUUUGAUUCAAGGGAAUGUUGACUAUUCUCCCCUCAACCUGAGAAGGUUGAAACAGUUCGGAAUCAAAUGGAGGAAGACUGGGUGUUGGACCGAAAACAUUUUGGGAGAUUGGAGCUUUGGUUGAUGAGGUUUUUCAUGUUCGAGAUUCCGAAUCAAGAGUUGUUUCUGAGGGUCCGAACAAGGUUUCAAAGUCAAAUUCAUAGAUUGUUUAUUGGUUUGGACAUCCUGGCGUUGGAGCAUACAACUCCAUGAUGUGAGUUGUAACAUGGGUUGAGCUAGAAUUUCGAACAAAAUUGUCAUCAAAGGUAACAUCAAAACUUUCUUCCAGAACACGAGUUUGUCGAUUAAGAACUCGAUAACCUUUGAUUUAGCAAAGUAUCCUAGAAAGAUGGCUUCAUCAGCUUUGGGUUGGAACUUGGUAAGCUGAUCACGAUCAUUCUUGAUGAAGCAUCUACAUCCAAAAACAUGAAGAAAAGAGAUACUUGGCUUCAAACCAUGCAUGGCUUCAUAUGGUGUCUUAUUGAGGCAUUGAUUGAUGAUACUUCUAUUUUGAGUAAAGCAUGUUGUAAAGACAGCUUCAGCCCACAAAUAGAUUGGAAGAUUUGCAAAGUUAAGCAUGGAUCGAGCAGCUUCAACAAGUGCUCUAUUACGACGUUCAACUACAUCAUUCUGUUGUGGAGUGUAUGGAGUAGAAAAGUUGUGGUCGAUACCCUUCUCGGUGAGGAGGUUCUCAAUGAUGGAAUUAGUGAAUUAUGAACCAUUGUCACUUCGAAUUCUCCUUACUGGGAGUUUGAUGGGAACUUCAAUUCCUUUGAUAAACUUGAUGAGUUCGAAGGUUGUUUCUGACUUGAGCCUUAGGAAGAAUGUCACGCCUCAAAACCGAGAACAGCGGAAACGUUCUAGGGCGGAGGACGUCAUGUAAAGUAUCUCAACAAUGCAAAGUAGUAAACAAGAAACAACAUCAUCCAUUGCAUUAAUAGUAUAAUUGUAAUUACAGUGUAUUCCUUCAUAAUAAUAAACAACAUAAUGAAUAAUCAAAAUAAAAGGUGAGUCUUGACUGCUCCGUCUUCACAAAAUUUGGUCGUCGUACCUGUCUAUUUGUGGCCUAAGAAUACAAGUUAUUUUGAAAGCGAGUAUCAGCAAUAAAGCUAGUGAAUUCAUAAGUAUUUAUGUGUCUUUGAUUUGUAAAACUGUAAAGAAGAGACUUGUAAAUGUUUGAAGAAAAGUUUGUAUAAGUAUGAAAGACCCUAGAAAAUCCCAUAUUUCCUAUUAGUAUAAAAAGUCGUCUUCUACCAAGACUCGACUAUUUUGAAAGUAGUCUUCUACCAAGACUCGAUUGUUUUGAAAGUAGCCUUCUACCAAGACCUGACUGUUUUGAAGGUAUGCAUCACUAUGAAUGUGACAGCUUUUCCCCUGUAUAACUAUUAUUAUAAAACUAUAGUCUACCUCAUCGUUUAUGUGAAUGAGUCAUAGAAUAAAGGUAAUAAGGAAAAAUAGUAUAUUUAUCAAAUAUAAUCUACCUCGUCGUUUAUGUGAAUGUGUCACAAAGUAAAGGUGAUAAGGAAAAUAAUAUAAUUAUUUAAAUCGUAUCCUUUUGUAUUUGUCGUUUGUAAAGUGUAAGUAUUGUAGUAUUGUAUAAAGUGACUACUAUUGUACUAAUUGCCUUAAAUUGAGUGUUAAGUUAUAAUGUGAUGGCUAGAUCCCAUACUAAACGCUCUCCCUGUCAAAAGAUUCUGGGAACCAAACACGACCCCUGUAAUGAUUGCAAGCCGUGAACAUCCACAUUAUGAUUAUAUGAUCAUGUAUACCCGAUAUAACUAUCACCUUUUGUUUAGAACAAUGCGUUAGUGAUUCAUUGGUAUAAUUAGAUCGUGUAUUUGUUCCAUGCUAUAGCACCUUAUUAUGUUUGUUCUGUUAUCAUGUAUUGUAUCUUCCUCCCUAUCUCUCUUUAUUGUGUGUUCUCUUAUGUUAUCGUGUAUUGUAAUUGUAUUUCUGUAAUUGUAUCUCUACAUAUAGUAUGUAUUAUAUUAGUAUAGACUCAUGAAUGAACUAACUCUUGUGUGAUUCCUUGUACUUGGAAUAGUAAGUAGUAUCUCCUAACUAUACCUAUUAUAGUUACUAGUAAUGUACGUGUAUAACUGAAAGUAUGCCUUUGCUACCCAAAGGUACCGAACUGACUGAUGGAACUUUUUAUGUCUAUAUAUGUGUACAUGAUAUAUAACUAAUAUUUAGACGACAUUCAAACGAAUAACCGAUACCCUAAGGCCACAUCCAAACGAGGAAAAGGAAAUAAAGUGAGCUAGCCGUCCUAGUCCUUUAAACAUUACUUAUAUAACUAUACAUAUAUAGGCAUGCAUUUGACAAUAUAUAUGUAAUAAAGAAGUUUGGUAAAACCUUUGAAAAUUUUAAUAACUAAGAAAUGAUGACUUGAUGUCAGUUUAUAAAACGAUUUAAAAGUAGUUUGUUUGAUAAGACAGUUUUAAGUAUAAGAAAAACAUUUGUUUGAAACACAAUUGUAACAAAGUUUGAAAGGAAACAUACAGUAUGUAACACAGUUUGAUAAAGAGUUUUAACAUGUAAAAACGUUUGAGAAAAUCAUUUGAAGUAAUAUGUUUGGUAAAACACCUAAAAGUGUAGUAAAUCCAUUUGUAUGCUAGUUAUUAAUUACAUGUGAUUGAUAUAAAAACUAACAUGAUUCAACUUGUAUUACCCCCAUAAAAGCAUUUAUAACAUUUGAAAACAUUUAAAAGGUUAAUUAAGGGGUAUGAACUCACCUGUAGUGAGUGGUUUGGAUGAACGGAUUGUAUAGGAUGUUAAGUGUCAAGUGAAGACUUGAGCACACACACGGAUCCUAUAUAACAUAUAAUAACACAUAUAUUUAACCAAUUAAUCAUUUAACAACUAAUUAACCAAGUUAAGACACCCUAGGACAUGGAAACACUUUUAUUCAAGUGUUAGAAGUACCAAGGGUUGCAUCUAAGGGUUGUAUAGCCACUUAAGAGAGUGUUCGGUUCAAGUGGUAUGUUUCUUGUGGUUUUCGGUCCAAAUGGCCUUUCGGUCAUGGGUAAUUUGGGAGUACUUACUUAAGCUCGGCUGAUCGCAUGCACCACACCCUUUUCUCUUUAUCAAAACUCUUUUUAUUUCUAAGUUCUUUUUCAAAAAUGUUUUUCUUUUAAAAACCUUUUACCAUUCCUUAGUUUGAAUUCAGACGCAUCGAAAGUGUGUCUGUAUCCCUCAAACCAAGGCUCUGAUACCAACUUGUAACAUCCCAAAAUACGACCCAAUUUUUUUUUUGUUUUAAUACUACUGAAAUUCAUAUACUGAAAGUUAUUUCAUAAAAAUCAUGCAUUAAUUUCUCAACCCAAAAACAAGUAUCAUGAUAAAAACUGUAUCAAACUGUAUCAAGUCACAUCUAAAGAAAAACUGAACAAUCCCCCAGGAAAUAAAAACAGAAGCUGUGGUGUGUGCGAUGCCAUCAUCCUAAGUUCUUCCCUUUGUUUGCGUAAGUACCUGAAACCAAAACUGAAACCGUAAGCACGAAGCUUAGUGAGCUCCCCCAAACUACCACAUACCAUACAAACAUAUAAACAACUACUGGGUCAUGCCCACUGCAUCGGACCGAAGCCCGGAAACUGCAUCGGACCGAAGUCCGGAAACUGCAUCGGACCGGAGUUGGGAACUCUCCAAGGCAUUGCCCUCUGCAUCGGACCGAAGUUCGGAAACUGCAUCGGACCGAAGUCCGGAACUGUCUGGGGCCUUGCCCCCUGCAUCGGACCGAAGUCCAGAAACUGCAUCAGACUGAAGUCCGGAACUAACUGAACAUAGCAUAGCAUAAAUAUAUCAACCCGCAUAAACACAUAUACUGCAUACUGCAUCAGGUCGUAGCCCGGAACACACAACACAUAAAUCCUAUCUGAGGCACGAAGGCAUCACACAUACUAACUACUGCAUCUGACCAAAGUCCGGAAAUUGCUGCUACUAAACGGGCUGGCAUUGUGGCCGUAGACCCAUUCCUACUAGAAGGAAACUCACCUUGUAAUCUGGUUGCUGAAUGAACUGCUCGGGAAACUGUCUGUUGCUGCUCCGGUAUCUCCCCGGCUACAAUUUCCAUGAGUACACUCAAUCAAUCACUGAUAACUAUACUGAGGGGAAAAUGACUAUUUUUACCCCUGGUCAAAGUCAACAUACAGUUGACCUGACUCGUCGAGUUGGGCCACCAACCCGUCGAGUCCUUACUCUCACUUUCUCGCUUCUACUCGCUACUAUUCGUCGAGUUUGGCAUAGACUCGACGAGUUCCUCUUCUAUACUAACACUCAGUCACUCUGCAUCCGACUCGCCGAGUUGUAUGAAAAACUCGUCGAGUUCUCCUUUAAUACAUGAACACUCUGUCUGUGACUCGUCAAGUUGUAUGAACAACUCGUCGAGUCUGUUCUGGAGGUAUGAAGAUUGCCUUGGACUAGCCCGAGUCAGGGCAUUGACUCGCCGAGUCCCUCUAUGAAUGAGUCCGAUCUCCGACUCACUGAGUCAACCUAUAAUUCACUGGUUCCACUCGGCAUAACACAUAAAAGGGGGGAAGAAAUCGGGGACUCGCGACUCGACUCGCCGAGUCUGAAGAACAACUCGUCAAGUCGGUUGCAUGCAACACUACUACGAUGAUUUUGCUCAAAUCCAAUGCAUACAACUCAUAGAUCUGGGUUCAUAAAGCUUGGUUACCACGUAAAGUUUCUAACUUUACGUGUAAAUAUGCAUGAAAAGGGAUUUAAAGGCUCAAAAGACACUUAAAAGAGUAGAUCUAGGGCUUUAAUGCAAAAUGGCUCCAUAAAGGUGUUAGAUCUACGUCUUUGGGACUAAAACAUGGCUAGACCCGAAGGCCAAAGAUCCCAAUGUGAUCUCCCUACUAUAAACAAGCUAAGAGAUGGUUAAAAUGGCCUAAAUGUGAUUUAAUAAAGGAGAAUCAAUCAUAGAAACAGAGGAAAUCGGAUUAAUACCUUAAUAAACUCUGCAAUGGAUACAAGAUCUUGGAUCUCCUUCUACUCCCUUGGAUCUAGCUUCCUUCUUCUCUUAAAAACUUCAAGAUUCACAUAAGAAAUGCUCAAAAUGCUCAAGGAAUGAUUAGGGUUGCUAAACGAUGCUCUGAGGGUGAAGAAGACGAGGUUGGGGCUCAUAACAUGGUUUAAAUAGGGUCGCCAACUUAAACGUGCUCGAAAUCCCGUCUCUACUCGACGAGUCGGGCUAUUGACUCUUCGAGUCCCUCUUAAAACUCGAAUAAAUAAUAAUAUUAAAUAACAUACAGAAUCGGGGCGUUACAACUCUCCCCCACUUGUCUCAAACUUCAUCCUCGAAGUUUGUUGCUGCUGCAUCUGGAAAUAACUCUGGGUAGUGCUCCCUCAUCUCCUUCUCUACAUCCUACGUCAACUCAGACCCCUUCCGGAGGUGCCACUGCACCUUUACCAACUGAACCACCUUGUUCCUCAAGGUUUUCGUCUUUCGAUCCAAGAUCGCAACCGGUCUCUCAAUAUAAUUCAGGCUGCUAUUAACCUGAAUAUAUUCUAUGGGUACAACUGCUGACUCAUCUACCAAACACUUUCUCAGCUGAGAAACAUGGAAAUUGUUGUGGAUCUGUCCAAGCUCUGCCGGAAGAUCCAACCGAUAAGCAACACGGCCCACCCGGGCCAAAACCCUAAAAGGACCGAUGAACCAGUGGCCCAGCUUGCCCCUCUUUCGGAAUCUGAUGACACCCUUCCAGGGUGAUACCUUCAGGAGGACCAUAUCGCCCACCUGAAACUCCAAGUCUGAACGCCUCCUGUCGGCGUAACUCUUCUGCCGACUCUGCGCAGUUUGCAGUCUACUACGAACCUUCUGGAUCAACUCUGUCAUCUUAAGCACCACCUCGGUGCUCCCAAUGAUGCGCUGACCGACCUCGCCCCAACAAAUCGGCGUCCUGCACUUCCUCCAAUAAAUCAUCUCGAAGGGAGGGCGGUUAAUACUCGCAUGAUAACUGUUAUUAUACGAAAAUUCCGCUAGCGGGAGAUACGUAUCCCAACUACCAUUGAAAUCUAGGACACAUGCCCGGAGCAUGUCCAUGAUAUUGCCAUAUUUAUACCUAUUUUUAGGCAAUAUUUAAGUACAUUUUUAUAUAUAUUUUGGCUAUUUAUAUAGAAUAAUUGUACUUAUAAGCUUAAAUGUUAUUUGCAGCCAAAAAAAGAAGACAUUUUGAAGAAAAGGGACUAAAAGCGUUAAAGAAAGAAACUUUGGGAAUUAAAAGAGUAAAAGUGAAGAAAAUCUGGAAAAAACUAUUCACGACGUGAGACUUAACGGAUUCACGACGUGAAUCCUUGGUUCUAGAGGAUAUGUACGCGGGUGAAGGAAUCCUUGACGGGCACGGUUAUCUACAAGUCACGACAUGAAUUUCGUAUUAUUCACGACGUGAAUUUGUGGAUAUCAGCAACUAUAUAAAUCCUUGACCAUUACGAAUAAAAGAGACUUUUUGCUAGAGAGAGGAGUUCCAGAAGACGAUUUUAAGGAGAGAAAAGUUCUGGGAAGAAGCUUUCAACAUAAAAAAGAGUGAAGGUCCAUAAUUUAGUUUAUUUUAGUUAAUUAAGAACAUGUUUCCAAUCAAUUCAACUUGUGUUAUUUUGUUAGUUGCUAUGAUGAGCAGCUAAAUCUAGCCACUCUUGUUUAGCUAGAUGAAGCUUCCAACUUAUGAAUAGCUCAAUUUUUAUGGAUUUAUUUAGUUGAUAAAAUUUCUUGUGUUCGAUUUGUAUUACCUAGCAUGCUUAUGUUUGUUUCUCUAAUUGCUUGAUUGCAUGUUCUGUGUAGCUUAGUGACCAUUAAUUGCAUGAACUUGUUUACCUAAUGAUUUAGUGAACAUUGAAUUGUUAGAGAUAGGAUUGACCAAUCUUAGUUAAUAAUUAGAGUAAAUAAGCUUAGCUGUGCUAGAGAACGUGUUUUGUGACUAUAAUUGCGUUUAUAUAACAAAUCUUACAUAGCAUAUUUACAUUCAUAAUUAGUUAUGUGUUUAAUUGUGUGUGAACAUACAUGGUUUGACAUGAAUUAGUUAAUUAUUGGUAAAGUUAGAACUAAAUUACUAAUGUAACUAAAACUAACUAGAUUAUCCAUAAACAUUAGCUAGCCAUAAGAAAGAAGUGGAUUCAAACUAGACAAGAGUGUGUUUUUACUUAUUGAAUUUGAUUUAAGUUUAUCUGAUCUUGUAAAAUCGGAUAAAACCCCUUUUAAACUUAUUAGUAAUUAGGUUAAUUUAAUAGUAAAUAGAUUAAUUAGUAACACCGUUUCCUAUGAUCGACACCCGACUUACCUAAGUUAUAUUGUAAUCUGACUAGGUACACUGCCUAUAAGUGCAUAGUUAGUCUAAGUUUGUUAGGUUAUAAAUAUUAAAAUUAGUGGGUACUUUUGUGCACAUCAAGUUUUUUGGCGCCGUUGCUGGGGAACGGCUUAGAUUAUUGUUUUCUUUAGUUACAUUAGAUUAAUCGAUCCUUUUUGUGGAAUAAAAUCUGCAAAAAGUUAAUUAGUUAAUUAUUUAUUGUUUAGCCUAGCUGGUUAUUUAUUUAUGUUUCUGUCACAGGGUUCACGGCGUGAGUUUUAUAAACUCACGACGUGAAAGCUGCUAUUUUUAGUUUUUAGUAUUUUCUUAUUUUAGUUCAGUUUUACGUUUUUAGUUUAGCAAGUUGCAGGAGUUCAUGACCAGAGGCUCUAACACACCUUUGGUGCCACCACUUGAAGACCCCGAGUCAGCAAUUCACAAGAAGAAAACGCCCUUACAAGAAUUAAAGUCAGCUUUUUCAAGGAAGUCGGGAAAGAAGAUAGGAGAUUCAAGUUCAUCCGCGAGGCACAAGAGCAAUUUUGAGCACUUGGAUCAAACAACCGUCCAAACCGAGUCCGAAUACGAUACCGAGCCGGAAUUUGAAGAACACACAAGCGAACCCGAGAACGAGUCAAGGAACGAGAUGGCAUAAAUUGAAGAGAUGUCCAUGGGAGCUUACAAGAAGCGGAUCCAAGAAGAUAUGGGUCCCGGUAUAGUCCAACCCGCUAUACCUGCCACUGCCACAUUCGAAUUGAAGGGGCACAUAUUGACUGCACUGAAGGAUGUCCCAUUUUUUGGGAAAGAUCAUGAGGAUGCUUUUAAGCAUCUAGAUGAAGUCAACGACAUUGCGGAUUACUUCAAUGUCCCAAAUGUCAACAGAAACAUAGUCUUGCUUAGGAUGCUUCCUAUCACUUUCAAAGGUGCUGCUAAGGAGUGGUUAAAAUCACUCCCACCCGGUACAAUUACCACUUGGGCUCAGAUGCGUGAGCAAUUCCUGGACCAGUUUUGCCCGCCAUCCAAAAUAGCCAAACUCAAGAAGGCAAUAGCCAACUUUGAGCAACAACCGGGGGAGUCUUUAUACGAAGCAUGGGAGCGGUACAAGGGUUUACUCAGAAAUUGCCCCCAACAUGAUCUAAAUGUGCAACAAGAGAUGUCGAUUUUCUAUGAUGGGGUCAACGUUUUGACAAGACAACUCCUUGACUCUCAAGGAUCCUUGACAAAGAAAAAUCCAAGGGAGGUCAAGGAACUGAUUUAAGAAUUCGUGAAACACUCUCGCGAAUACCACAACCCUAGGCAAGAUGGAAUCAAAGGCGGUGGAGGGGCCCAAACUGAAGAAAUAGCAGCUGUGAGGCCAUGCUGAAUAAUUUGGAUCGAAGAAUUACACAAAUGGACCAGUCCAUACAUGCCAUAAGAGUGGGCUGCGAGAGAUGUAGUGGUCCACACUUGACAAAGGACUGCAAUUUAGAUGAGUUUGGGAACAGAAAAGCUCAAGUGUGCUACUCGAGUGGGGAUAAGUUUGAUGAGGACUGGAGUAAACCGAAGAAGGAAAGGCUGCCAUAUGAAGAAUAUAAGAAGCAAAAAGAAGAGAAGUAUAGACAGACAGGUCGAGGCUUUUAUCAAAAGGAGCAGCCCCCAACCGAGAAGAAACCCGAUCUAGAGACUAUGUUGAUGAAGUUUAUGGAAGCUUCGGAAAAGAAGCAUGAUGCCAUUGAUUCUGCUAUUACGGAACAACAAACUUUAAUGAAGAAUCAGCAAGCCUCCAUCCAUAACCUUGAAGUUCAAGUUGGUCAACUAGCCACUCUAGUUCAUGAGAGGUUAUCCCCGAAAAAUACCGAAAUGAAGACCCAAUCACAUGUAAUGGCCAUAGACACUGAAGAAGAAGCCAUCUCUGAGUUCCUGGAGGCAUUGGAAGAAGAACCACAGCAGCCCGAUCCAAAGCUGAAGAAGACCAAGCUCGAAAAUCAUGAAGCUACUGGAGUCCAGAACUCACGCCGUGAACUAUUUCAGUUCAUGACGUGGGCCCGUCAUGAACAAAAAACAUCUGUAAUUGGUUCGGUUUAUCAGCCGCCUUUGCCUUUUCCUUCCCAAGCUACCCUUAGUCCACUGGAAAGAGAGCAUAUAGAGUUUAUCAAUCAUGUGAAAGGUAUUCCGAUCAAUACUCCCUUUGUCGAGUCUUUACCCAAAAUUCCCGAGUAUCAAGAAUUACUACAAGCAUUGAUAGACAGUCGUAACCAGUUGAAAAAGCGUUCCAAGGUGAUUCUAAGUGAGCAAAGCUCAAAAGCUGUGCUGGGGGAGAUACCAGAGAAGAUGGGGGAUCCUGGACGCCUCACUCUUCCAAGUGAAUUUGGCAACAAAAUGAAGGUUAAUGUUUUAGCAGAUUCUGGGGCUAGUAUUAACUUAAUGCCUUUCUCAUUUUAUCAGAAGCUGCAAAUUCAGAAGAUGAAGGCUACAAGAAUGACAAUUCACAUGGCGAACCGUUCUGUGACACAACCCCAGGGCAUCGUGGAGGAUAGUUUGGUGAAAAUUGGAAAAUUUGUUUUUCCAAUAGAUUUUGUAGUGUUAGAUAUGAAGGAAGACCCCGAUGUUCCAAUUAUCCUUGGUCGGCCAUUGUUGAACACUGCUGGAGCUCUAGUUGAUAUUCGUGAAUCUAAGCUAACUUUGAGGGUCGGAGAUGAAAAAGAAGUUUUUGGAAUGCAAGAUGACUUCCAAGAGGAUCAUGUUCAAGAAGAGGUGUUCACAAUUAAUGAAGACAAUGAACUGGAAGAACUAGAAAAGCUUAUGGAGGAAGAGAUAAAGACAGUUCAUCAAGUCAAAAGAACUAAACCAAGAGCAUCUGAUCCAUUUUUGGUUAAAGCCAUAGCUUACAAGAGUCUACCUUCUUGGGUUAGAAAGGAUGAGGAGAUGAAAAGUGAUGAAGAGGAGAUCACUUCAAAAGUGACAAAGCCGGUGGUGAAAGAGGAGGAGGAUGCUAUGAAGUGCAAGGAAGAAACUAAAGGGACCAAACGCAAGCUUGAAGAAGAGGUGAAAGUUAAAAAAGAGAAUUCGAAGAAGGCAUACAGAAGGCGAGUUCAAGCUUACAAGAGGCGAUUCAAGGAACAAAAGAUCCUAGUGGUGGAUUCUUCCGAUGACUCGACGUAGGAGGCACGGAGUCCAACUCAAGACUCCAAGAAAAAGAAGCGCUUCUCGGGAGGCAACCCGAGUUUGGUUUGCAAUUUUUUUUCUUUUUUUUUUUGCAUUUUAGUUUUAAAAACUUAGAUCAUUUCAUCCAACUCUAUUAGAACAUAAUUAAGCACUGAAUGUAGGGACCUUAAAAUGGAAGUAGUAAUAAUUAAGAACUUAGUUUAUAAUCAAUUUUUUUUCUUCCAGACUUGAUUCACGACGUGAAUCUUUAGCAAAUUCACGCCACGAAUUGUGAAUAAACCGGACACAUAAUCCAUGAUAUGAAUUAGCCCAUUAGACUAGCAAGCCCAAGAUCAGUCCGUGAGUACAUGGCCAAACUUAAGCCUAGACACUAUUCACGACGUGAAUCCUUAAGAAUUCACGACGUUAAUUUUUAAAAGAACGGGACCACAGAAUAAAUCCCUUGAGACCAGUAAACCCUUCAUUUGUUUAUUCUUCACGAAGUGAAAGCAAAAAUUGGUCCCCCCCCCCUUGGUCCCCAUUGCUGUGAUUUAGCCGACAAAUCCACACGUGUUCUUUGUGCUUACAUACGACUUCAAUCAAAGGUAACAAUUUCUAAUUAUUUAUCUUUAAUAGUUGAAAUUAGGGCUAGGGUUUGUUUUUAUGUUAAAUUGUAUGAAAUAGCUCUAAGAUUCGUAAAUUACCCUUGGAAUGUAGUUGAUAAAUGGUUGAAAAUGCUAUAGGAGUAAACCCCAAGCACUAUCAUGGACGAUUCAUAUAGAAUCUUGAAUGAAUGUUCGAACCUGUUGCGAAUUCACGACGUGAAUCUUACAGGAUUCACGACGUGAAUUCUGGGGCUGAACAGAAUUCAUUUUCCUUUAUGUCUAAUUUGUGGAUUAUCGUUUUGGCUGUGGUUUUUCUUUGUUUUUGCAGGAAUGGCUCCAAGAAGAGAGGUUCCAGCAGGGGUUGCGGGUUUGCACCCGUUUUACAAUUUUCCUGCGACAAUGCCCCGCGAUGUUUUGACCUGUUGGAACAACAGAGUGGGAUGGCUUUACAACAGAGAAAUUGCAGUGGCUCCAACAGUCAGUUGGACAAGAUUGAGGGAAGUAGGGCUCGUAGACCGGUUGGGCCCAUUUUUGACAAAAUUAUUUAUUGCAGAUGGAUAUUCGUUUACCUGUUCUGGUUGGCAUAAUCUGUUCCGGGUACAAAAGCGGGUCUACAAGGAGUUUUGUGUUGAGUUUUUCUCAACAGUGACAUUUCAGGAAACUGUUCAAGAUCCACAUUGGCCACAGGCAUUGGUAUUUCGUUUGGGUGGUGAGUACCGGGAGUGCAGCCUGGUUGAGUUUUCUUGGAGAGUCGGACUAUAUGAUCGACAGGAGGCUAUGAUUCCCGAGUUUGGCAUGUUUUUGAGUGGGGCGGCUAGAGGAUAUGUGGAGGGUGUCACGGGGUAUUCUUUCUGGCAUAGUAUUGCAUCCGGAAUGUUUAAUUCCAGAGUGUCUCCCGAGAGCAGUAUUCGGUCCCCGAUCCAUCGCUUACUUCACCGGUUCAUCACAUUUUCUGUCAACCAUAAGAGGCAUGGAGAUAAAGUGACUAAGCAGAACUUAUUUUUCUUAUGGUGCAUCUUACAGCCUGGUGUCUGUUGCAACAUUCCGUAUUUCUUAGCCCGUUUUCUAGCUGGAUCUGCCGCAAGUUCGCACCCUGGGAGCCCCAUUUGUGGAGGGCACUUUAUUACCCGAUUAGCCUGCUCGUAUCAUUUGCUUGUUCCUGCUAUUACUAGAUCCAUGACAUGUGUGGACGAGCAUGAGUUUAGCAUGGGGUAUUUGGAAACUAUGCGGGUGGUAAAAAAUUUUGGGUCGCAUUGGGGCAUAGUACUUUUAGAUGGUGAGGGUGAUGAUGAAGGUGAUCAGUCGGCCGACCAACAUGCGCCAGAGCCGAGACCGAGGUGCAGGAAUGUGAGAGGAAGGGGAGACCGUGGGCAGCCAAUGCACCCACCUGCAUCCAUGAUGGGAGCGCCUUUUGGGAGUGAUAUUGCUGGUUAUUUUGACCAGUUAUCAUUAAGUGUCAAUUGGAUCGGUGGAACAGUGGAGAACGUUGUCCGACAUCUUGGGGUGGAGCAGCCGCCUCAUUUAGGGUAUCAUUACCCAAUUUGCCCCCAAUGGUCGGAGUAUGGUGGACACGGAGGUGAAGGAGCUGGAACCAGUGGAGCACAUGAGGAUGAGGAGGAUGAUUGAUCGUUAUUUAUUUUGUUUGAUUUGUUUUUAGUUUGUUUUUAUGGGAUUGUAAGAACUACUUUGAAUAUUAUGUUACUUUUAUUCUUCGUUGUUGUUUGUUUCUCAGAAAUUGCUAGGAGCACCUAGAGAGGAUAGCGAUUUAUGAGUGCUUACGUCUUUUGCCGGAAGUGUUUAACGCCGAGAGUCGAGACCCAUAUUUUCAAAAUAAGUGUGGGGUGAGUCAAGAGAGUGGAGAGUCAGCGAAAGAGUCAUAAACUGAUGAAUUUAGAAGAGUCUUAAUACAUUAAGACAUUAGAAGAAGAAUUGGCAAUGUUUUUCUGACUACCCGGUUUUCACGACGUGAACUUUUAUUAUUCACGUCGUGAGUCAGUUAUCAGGAGGUUCUCAGAAUACGCGUAGUUACGAUUUCACGUCGUGAAUUGUCUUAAACUCACGUCGUGAAUAUGAGAUUUUUAUAAGUUCAAGUCCCUUGACAUUUUAGUCUUCUAUGGGUUGAUGCUAUUCUUCUUGUCAAUAUAUUCAAGAUUGUUUUGGCUCAUUUUUAUCGCCAUACAAUGUGGCGUAUGCUUUCCCGCAUUAGUCGUUCUACUUUUGGAGAUUUACACCACAUUUGAAGACAAUUGAAGGUUCGAUUUCAUGUUUUGCCGGUACACUUCUUAUUUUGCGAGUUCAAGAUCCAAGUCUCUAUUUUUGGAGUCCAUAUUCAAGAUGCACGUUUUCCACACUUUUGGAGAUGUUCACGCCACUAUCCCAGGGGAGUCUGUACCUUUUACUCCAUUUUUCUUUAAUUUUGAUUUAUUUUAUGCAUAAAAUAAGGGCAUUGUAUGAAAUAAGUGUGGGGUAGGGGGUAGAAAAAGUAAAUUGCUAGAUAAUGAUAAAAUUUGAUGGUCAAAAUUUGGAAAUUUUAAAAUUUUUUGAAAAUUGAGAUUUUUAAUAAUUAUAUCUAGUAAUAAUAAUGUGAACUAUAGUUGCUAGUGUUAUGUGGGAUGAUCCGAUGAAAGUUCAAAUGUUUAGUUGAGCCAAUACAUGUUAUAGUGCAUUUGUGGCCUCCCUUAUAUUAGUGAAAUCAUGGAACAAAAACAUAACCCCGCUUGGUUUGAGGGAUGCAAUAUGUUUAGAAGCCUAAACCUGAAAUGUAUCCAGGAAAGAUAUGUAUUAACCAAUAAAGGUUGAAGUUAAGCGCCCCUGCUUAAGCAUGUAGGUUUUGAGUGAAAAAAAAAGAAACAAGUGAAAAACAAAAGAGGAAUUACCAAAAAGUUGAAGAAUUUUAGAGCAAUCAAAGUGUGAAUUUGAAGAUUAAAAAUUCCAAAAGUUCGUAAAUUGAAGAUUCCAUAAAUCAUGAAGAAGUGAAUUCAAAGAAAUUGAAGGUCAAAUAUAGAAGAACAGAAGAAUUCAAGAGCUCCAAGUUGUGGUAUCUUCUAAAAGUUGUAAUUCUCUAGUUAUGUACGCUUGGGUAGCUUUACAAAAAUACCUUGAGGUUAAAUAAGAUUUCUGGGGAUGGAUUCGGAGGGUUGCAUAAAAUGAGCAUUGUUCGAAAGAAGUGGGUGAGUGUUUAUGAAGAUUGUGAGUAUUUAAAGUAUGGGGGUACUUUAGGAAAAUUUUAGACACAAAUGCAUGCGUUGAGGUCUUGGCAUAAUGGUUGGGCUGAAGUCGGAUUGCUCAAUGUGAUGAUAAUAAUUAAGGGUUAAGUUUAAAUUUGCUUGAGGGCAAGCAAAGCCUAAGUGUGGGGUAUUUUGAUAUUUCCAUAUUUAUACCUAUUUUUAGGCAAUAUUUAAGUACAUUUUUAUAUAUAUUUUGGCUAUUUAUAUAGAAUAAUGGUACUUAUAAGCUUAAAUGUUAUUUGUAGCCAAAAAAAGAAGACAUUUUGAAGAAAAGGGACUAAAAGCGUUAAAUAAAGAAACUUUGGGAAUUAAAAGAGUAAAAGUGAAGAAAAUCUGGAAAAAAACUAUUCACGACGUGAGACUUAAAGGAUUCACGACGUGAAUCGUUGGUUCUAGAGGAUAUGUACGCGGGUGAAGGAAUCCUUGACGGGCACGGUUAUCUACAACUCACGACAUGAAUUUCGUAUUAUUCACGACGUGAAUUUGUGGAUAUCAGCAACUAUAUAAAUCCUUGACCAUUAUGAAUAAAAGAGACUUUUUGCUAGAGAGAGGAGUUCUAGAAGACGAUUUUAAGGAGAGAAAAGUUUUGGGAAGAAGCUUUCAACAUAAAAAAGAGUGAAGGUCCAUAAUUUAGUUUAUUUUAGUUAAUUAAGAACAUGUUUCCAAUCAAUUCAACUUGUGUUAUUUUGUUAGUUGCUAUGAUGAGCAGCUAAAUCAAGCUACUCUUGUUUAGCUAGAUGAAGCUACCAACUUAUGAAUAGCUCAAUUUUUAUGGAUUUAUUUAGUUGAUAAAAUUGCUUGUGUUCGAUUUGUAUUACCUAGCAUGCUUAUGUUUGUUUCUCUAAUUGCUUGAUUGCAUGUUUUGUGUAGCUUAGUGACCAUUAACUGCAUGAACUUGUUUACCUAAUGAUUUAGUGAACAUUGAAUUGUUAGAGAUAGGAUUGACCAAUCUUAGUUAAUAAUUAGAGUAAAUAAGCUUAGCUGUGCUAGAGAACGUGUUUUGUGACUAUAAUUGCGUUUAUAUAACAAAUCUUACAUAGCAUAUUUACAUUCAUAAUUAGUUAUGUGUUUAAUUGUGUGUGAACAUACAUGGUUUGACAUGAAUUAGUUAAUUAUUGGUAAAGUUAGAACUAAAUUACUAAUGUAACUAAAACUAACUAGAUUAUCCAUAAACAUUAGCUAGCCAUAAGAAAGAAGUGGAUUCAAACUAGACAAGAGUGUGUUUUUACUUAUUGAAUUUGAUUUAAGUUCACCUGAUCUUGUAAAAUCGGAUAAAACCCCUUUUAAACUUAUUAGUAAUUAGGUUAAUUUAAUAGUAAAUAGAUUAAUUAGUAACACCGUUUCCUAUGAUCGACACCCGACUUACCUAAGUUAUAUUGUAAUCUGACUAGGUACACUGCCUAUAAGUGCAUAGUUAGUCUAAGUUUGUUAGGUUAUAAAUAUUAAAAUUAGUGGGUACUUUUAAAUUAGUGGGUACUUUUGUGCACAUCAGUCCUCAAGAGUCUAAAUCGUCCUUUCGCUCUGCCCGUCCGUUUGAGGGUGGAAAGCGGUGCUGAAAUGGAGACGAGUACCCAAAAUUCACAAGGCCCAUCUCUGAUGAGUACACUGGGCGUACUCUUAUGUACGCUAAGUGUACAAGCUAAAUGAUGCAUACACUGGGCGUAUAUACAUGUACACUCAGGGUACUCCCAUGUUAAUUCACUUUCCCAUUGAGUGCUUCAUACUCUAAUCCAGAAGCUACAAUCACAGAUCCAAGUCCUUUUCAAUGUCUUAAUCCAUAAAGUCACUGACUUGGUGACUUUGCAUGACCUUAAUAAUCCCAAACUCCAAAAUAGCAAUCCAUUCUCAUAGAAAUGAUCUUAACUCAUGCAUGAACCCAAUAAGACAUUCAAGAUGGCAACUUUCUAUUAGAUUAGGUGUCUAAGUCCAUAUCUAUUUUGGUAUGUACUUGACCCGAUUACGAGCUUGGUUCUUUUGNCCGCCUUAACCUUCCUGCAGGUCAGGCACCUCUCCACAUACCAGGCGACAUCCCGCUUCUUGCAGGGACAACAAUAGUCGGGUCGAAGAUCCCUAUACAUCUUCCUUGCCCCUGGAUGGAUGGAAAAUCGAGACUUAUGAGCCUCGUCCAUCAACACUUGUCGUACUCUGCCCCAGUACGGUACCCAUACUCUCCCAUGAAGGGUCAACAAUCCUCGGCUGUCAUAGUCAAAAGAAGCUACUCGGCCCACAAUCCUCUCAUACUUCUGUCUCUCCUCCUUGAGGCCCUUGACCUAAGCCUCUCUAAUCUGCUCUAAUAAAGGGGUAAUCACUGUCAUCCUCAGACAUAUGUCCCUGAUCGGGGCUGCCGCCGCCUUGUGGCUCAGGGCGUCGGCCACCACAUUGGCCUUCCCCGGAUGAUAAAGGAUCUCAUAAUCGUAAUCCUUCAACACAUCCAACCAUCGCAUCUGUCUCAUGUUCAGAUUCGGCUGAUCCAUGAGGUACAUCAGACUCUUGUGAUCCGUGUAAAUGGUACAACGGACCCCAUAGAGGUAAUGUCUCCAAAUCUUGCGGGCAAACACCACUGCUCCCUGCUUUAAAUCAUGUGUAGGAUAGUUCGCCUCGUGAGGCUUCAACUGUCUCGAGGCAUAAGCUAUCACACGGCCUCGCUGCAUCAACACUGCUCCCACACCUGUAAUCGAUGCAUCACAAUAGACUACAAAAUCCUCUACUCCCUCUGGCAGGGAAAGGAUCGGUGCCUCGCACAAUCUCUGCCUGAGGGUCUCAAAUGUUGCCUGCUGCUCAGGCCCCCAGCGAAACACCACCGACUUCUUAGUCAGUCGGGUGAGUGGUACUGCUAUCUUGGAGAAAUCCUAAAUGAACCUCCUAUAGUACCCUGCCAAUCCUAGGAAGCUCCGAAUCUCAGAUGGAGACCUCGGGACCUCCCACUACAUCACGACCUAUAUCUUGGCCGGAUCUAACAAAAUACCCUUCUGGUUGACGAGGUGUCCAAGGAACUACACCUCGCGCAACCAAAACUCGCACUUAGAGAACUUUUCGAAAAGUCUCUCCCUAUCUCAAAAUUUCCAGCACCUCUCUCAGGUGCUCCUCGUGCUGCUCCUGAGUCUUGGAAUAAACCAAGAUGUCAUCAAUAAAUAUUAUCACCGACCGAUCUAACAACGGCCUACAAACACGGUUCAUGAGAUCCAUGAAUGCGGCUGGAGCAUUGAUGAGCCCAAACGACAUCACCACGAACACAUAAUGACCAUACCGAGUCCUGAAAGCAGUCUUCUGCACAUCCUCCUCUCUGACUCACAGCUGAUGAUACCCGGAGCGUAGAUCGAUCUUGAAAAAUCAAGACACUCCCUAGAGCUGAUCAAACAAAUCAUCUAUCCUCGGGAGUGGGUAACGGUUCUUCACCAUCACCUUAUUCAACUCCCAGUAGUCUAUGCAUAUACGGUGCGACCCAUCCUUCUUCACGAACAAAAUCGGUGCUCCCCAGGGCGAACUGCUCGACUUGAUAAAACCCUUGUCUAGCAGCUCUUGCAGCUGCGUAGACAACUCCUGCAUCUCUGGGGGAGCCAACCGAUACGGUGCCUUGGCUGUCAAAGCCGCACCAGGGAUCAGGUCAAUCCCGAACUCGACCUGUCUCUCGAGAGGUAUCCCAGGCAAAUCCUCUGGAAAUACAUCCGGGUAAUCUCGAACUACUGGUACAUCAUCAACUGUCGCCUUGACCUUCUCCCGGGCAUCUAAAACAUAGGCAAUAUAACUGACGCAACCCUGCUGGAAAUAGCACGUCGCUCUCGCUAUUGAACACGAAACUGGUCCGCGUUGCAGCCUCUCGCCCUGAAUCACUAACUCUUCCCCACUGGGAGUGCAAACCCUCACUUACUGUAGCUCACAAUCUAUCACCGCCCCAUUGGGGCUCAUCCAAUCCAUGCCUACUAUGACCUUAUUCCCUCGCAGGGGAAUAGGGACCAAGUCCACCGGAAACUGCUCAUCGAAUAACUGUAGGGAACAUCCUCUGUGCACUCCCGCGACCCUAACGGUCCUGUCAGCUGCUAUCUCGACCUCAAGUGGACAAUCUAGCUCCCCUGGAGCUCUACUAAACCUCUUGCUAAGCGCAAGAGAGACGAAUGAUCAGGUAGCCCCCGAAUCAAACAAUAAUGUAGCUGAAAUGCCAUUCACUGAGAACGACCUUAUACAAAACAUAUAAUCAUAAGAAACAAUCAAUAAUAAAAGCAGAGAUAAGGGAAAAUACAUACUUAUCACCACGUCUGGAGUCGCUCGUGCCUCAUCUGCUGUCAGCUGAAAAGCCCUACUCUUCGCCACCGGUGUCUCAGCUCGGCCCUGACGGCCGUCUGUAAUCCUCAAAGUAGCACGGGCAGGAGCUAACACCUUCCCCGCAGCAGCUAAACUCGGACAGUGGGAAUUUUUAUGUCCCCUCUGAUUGCACUGGAAGCAAAUCAGAUAUGAUGUCGCAAUGGCGAUAGUAGUGGCUGUAAAAUCUCUACUCAUAUUCCCAGUCCGGCCGCACUUGUAGCAGCUGGCACUCCCUGCCUUGCACGCCCCAUCUAAUCUCCCACACUUGCCACACCGACCGUGGCUCUGCUGACUUUUGGAUUUGUGAUCUGAAACCUUGGGCUUUUUUCCAGAACCCCCUGUACCUAGAGCCGCCUCCGGCUUCCUCUUCUUCUCCAUCUCAAGGUCAAUCUCUCUCUCUCUCUCUCUCUCUCUCUCUCUCUCUCUCUCUCGAGCCCUGGCAAUCAUGUCAUCCAGCGUUUUACAGCUGGACCGGCUCACAAACUGGCGGAUAUCGCUCCGCAGCAUCUCAUGAUAACGGGCCUUCUUCAUUUCCUCAUCUGCUGCGUACUGAGGAACGAGAAGUGCCCUCUCCCUGAACUUGGCGGUAAUCUCUGCCAUUGUCUCUGUAGUCUGGGUGAGGUCCUGAAACUCCCUCGCUAACUGCUGCACCUCGAUAACCGGUGUGAACUCAGCUCUGAACCUGGUAGUAAAGUUAGCCCAGGUCAUGGAAUCCAAUGCUACGUCAUCUCCAAUGGCAUGUCCGACCUCCUCCCACCAAUCUCGUGCCCUGUCCUUCAAAAGACAGGACGUCAAUCUAACCUUGUCCCCCUCGGGACACCUGCUUAUGCGGAAAGCGUUGGCCACAUCCGCCAACCAUCUGGUACUCACUAUGGGGUCCCGCGUACUUCAUUGAGAGAUCAUAGGUCGNAAGUGUGCGCGACCCCAUCAUGGCCGCCACCUCGGCACGGAAAGUGCCCAACCUCUCAUCCAUCAGCUCUAGGAUACCCUCCUUGAUCAAACCGAAAAUCACAGGAGUCUGCUCAAGUAUGAUGUGAGUAAUCUCUAAAGAGAGAAACUCCCUAGUCUGCUCAUCUAGAAGCUCGGCUCCCGAGCCUGAUCCUGAUCCCUCUUCGGCACCUGAACUGCCGCUUGCUGGUCUAGGGCGCAAAACAACCAUUCUGAAAAACACAUUACGAUAAACGUCAGAAACACUGAUAUAUCUCGAGGGAUCACUACUACUAUAGGACUUCCGGUCUCAUCUCAGCCUUCCUCGAUUCAAGUUUGAAUCCUCUGCUUCUAGUAGUAUGGGCCCCUACUACCUUCCACAUCUAUCCGUACUUUCCUCAAGAACUGCCUCGACUCCACCAAGCCACUACUACUGCUGCUGAUCUCUACUAUUCUCAUCCUAGGCUUGCCCUAGGGAAUUCUCUGACUCAACCCAACCCGUCCUCAACUGUUGAAGGCCUCCUUGUAAUGCCAAUUAGCCAUUGCCUGAAUACCACCACAUGAGACGAGGCUUAGAUAAUCCUUCGAGUAAAAGACUCGUCCCUACAACGGUUAGACUCAAACAAGAGCUGCGCAGCAUGGCCAAAUCCAACACUCUGAGAUAAUUCAACCCUGACCACAUGUGAUGUGACGUAUUCACCUAAUUGCUAAAUCCCAUCACUCAGAGUCCCACAAAGCACGAAGCAAGCAGCAUUCGGACUCCGGAAGCUACUCUAGAAAUUCUAUCCUCAUAACGAGAAACUAUACCAGCAUACAAUGCUAAACUCAUACUACCAGGCAUAACCUAAACAAGCUAUCCUACUGCUGUCUACUCAAUACUAGCAUGCAAUUCUCAUAAAGCUAGAACACACAAAGUAGGCACAUAAGGCAUCCUCCCAGAUCCUUAGUCCUAUACUAGCAUGCUGUUCUACUGAAACUGAAACUGAUUACAUAAACUUGUAUGAGUAAUUUGGAAGUACUUACUUGAGCUCGGUUGAUCGCAUGCACCACACCCUUUUCACUUUAUCAAAACUCUUUUUCUUUCUAAGUUCUUUUUCAAAAAUGUUUUCCUUUUAAAAACCUUUUACCAUUUCCUUAGUUUGAGUUCAGAUGCACUGAAAGUGUGUAUGAAUCCCUCAAACCAAGGCUCUGAUACCAAUUUGUAACAUCCCAAAAUACAACCCAAUUUUUUUUGUUUUAAUACUACUGAAAUUCAUAUACUGACAGUUAUUUCAUAAAAAUCAUGCAUCAAUAUCUCAACCCAAAAACAAGUAUCAUGAUAAAAACUGUAUCAAACUGUAUCAAGUCACAUCUAAAGAAAAACUGAACAAUCCCUAGGAAAUAAAAACGGAAGUUGUGGUGUGUGCGAUGCCAUCAUCCCGAGCUCUUCCCUUUGUUUGCGGAAGUACAUGAAACCAAAACUGAAACCGUAAGCAUGAAGCUUAGUGAGCUCUCCCAAACUAACACAUACAAUACAAACAUAUAAACAACUACUGGGCCUUACCCACUGCAUCAGACCGAAGUCCGGAAACUGCAUCGGACCGGAGUCCGGAACUAACCUGGGCAUUGCCCUCUACAUCGGACCGAAGUCCGGAACUACUGCAUCAGACCGAAGUCCAGAACUGUCUGGGGCCUUGCCCCCUGCAUCAGACCGAAGUCCGGAAACUGCAUCAGACCAAAGUCCGGAACUAACUGAACAUAGCAUAGCAUAAAUAUAUUAACUAGCAUAAACACAUAUACUGCAUACUGCAUCGGGUCAUAGCCCAGAACACAUAACACAUAAAUCCUAUCUGAGCCACGAAGGCAUCAGACAUACUAACUACUGCAUCGGACCGAAGUCCGGAAACUGCUGCUACUAAACGGGAUGGCAUAAUGGCCGUAGACCCAUUCCUACUAGAAGGAAACUCACCUCGUAAUCUGGCUGCUGAAUGAACUGCUCGGGAAACUAUCUGUUGCUGCUCCGGUAUCUCCCCGGCUACAAUUCAAUAAGUACACUAAAUCAAUCACUAAUAACUACACUGAGGGUAAAAUGACUAUUUUUACCCCUUGUCAAAGUCAAACUCUUGGUCAAAGUCAACAUACAGUUGACCUGACUCGUCGAGCUGGGCCACCAACUCAUCGAGUCCUUGCUCUCACUUUCUCGCUUCUGCUCGCUACUACUCGUCGAGUUUGGCAUAGACUCGACGAGUUCCUCUUCGAUACUAACACUCAGUCAAUCUGCAUCCGACUCGCCGAGUUGUAUGAACAACUCGUCGAGUCUGUUCUUGAGGUAUGAAGAUUGCCUUGGAAUCGCCGAGUCAGAGCAUUAACUCACCGAGUCCCUCUAUGAAUGAGUCUGAUCUCUGAAUCACUGAGUCAACCUAUAAUUCACUGGUUCCACUCGGCAUAACACAUAAAAGGGGGGAAGAAAUCGGGGACUCGCGACUCAACUCGCCGAGUUUGAAGAACAACUCGCCGAUUUGGUUGCAUGCAACACCACUCCGAUGAUUCUGCUCAAAUCCAAUGCAUACAACUCAUAGAUAUGGGUUCAUAAAGCUUGGUUACCACGUAAAGUUUCUAACUUUACAUGUACAUAUGCAUGAAAAGGGAUUUAAAGGCUCAAAAGACACUUAAAAGAGUAGAUCUAGGGCUUUCAUGCAAAAUGGCUCCAUAAAGGUGUUAGAUUUACGUCUUUGGUACUAAAACAUGGCUAGACCCGAAGGCCAAACAUUCCAAUGUGAUCUCCCUACUAUAAACAAGCUAAGAGAUGGAUAAAAUGGCCUAACUAUGAUUUAAUAAAGGAGAAUCAAUCAUAGAAACAGAGGAAAUCUGAUUAUUACCUCAAUAAACUCUGCAAUGGAUACAAGAUCUUGGAUCUCCUUCUACUCCCUUAGAUCUAGCUUCCUUCUUCUCUUCAAAACUUCAAGAUUCUCACAAGAAAUGCUCAAAUGCUCAAGGAAUGAUUAGGGUUGCUAAACGAUGCUAUGAGGGUGAAGAAGAUGAGGUUGGGGCUCAUAACAUGGUUUAAAUAGGGUGCAAAAUCCGGGGAUUUAGGGUUUCAUUCAGACUGAUGGACUCGCCGAGUCCAGGAUAUGGACUCGCCGAGUCCAGGAUAUGGACUCGCCGAGUUGCCAACUUAAACGUGAUCGAAAUCCCGUCUCUACUCGAUGAGUCGGGCUACUGACUCGCCGAGUCCCUCUUGAAACUCGAAGAAAUAAUAAUAUUAAAUAACAUACCAGAAUCAGGGCGUUACAGUAGGGCUUCUCGCCAACUUUCCGUGGAUAUAAAGUUCGUCGGGAACGGAUCUAGAUUGAAGGAGUUGCAACAUGUUGAAGAUAUUGACAUAAUGGCUCUUAUGGAGAAAAGUUCGCAUGGAAGGCCAUGCAUGCAUGUUUGGAACAUGCGUGGGUAUGCCCAGCGUAAGCUGGGUUACGCCCAGCGUAAUGGGGCAACUUGGUCACGGAUGUUCAAGGCAUACGCCCAGCGUACGCUAAAAGUUAUGAAACCCUAAUUUCGGAUUGAGCGCUAUAUAAAGGACAUAAUGGUUUCAUCCUUAGCCCCCAUAUGAGACUCCCCAAUCUCAGAAGAAACCCUAGAUCGUUCAUACCCUUAUUUGGUGAGAUCUUGACCUUGGAGAACCCAUUUUGUGGUUUAAAGCUUAGAAGAGAAAAGAAGAAGGUUGGCAAGGAGAAACCUUGGAAGCUAGAGCUUAUAGAUCUGGGAUAAGUGCCUCAUUUCGGACCUCUUCAAGGUAAAAAGUUUUGAGCUUGAUGAUUACUCUCUUAGAUCUCCUUUAGUUCAAGUUAUGGACUUUUUGGUCCCAAGAUUUGGUCUUUGAGCCCUAAGCACGUUUCUAAGACCAGGGUUGCCUCCCUUGGAGUCAUAUGAGUCCCAGAAGCAGUAAAGUUCCAACCUUUAUGGUCCUAUUAAGUCCAUGAAUGAGAUCUAGUCCCCUUUAUGGAAGUAGAAGAGUGCUUUGAGAGUUUAGGUUGGUUUGGGCCAUAUAAAGUCACCAACUCAGUGACUUUAAGGCUUAAUACCUGGAAUAAGACUUGGAUCCGAGUUUGUAGCUUCGGAAUCGGGGUAUUAAGCACUUAUUAGAAAGUUGACUUAAUGAGGCUGUACGAUGGGCGUACAAUGAGGUACGCACGGCGUACAUGCCAUCAGCCAAUACGCUCAGCGUACCUAGGUGUACACCCCGCAUACGUUGUCAGAUUUGGGCCUUGAGAUUUUGGGCCUCGGUGUGGGAUGUGUUUUGGACUAUAGGUCUUUUGGCCUUAGUGGGCCAUCAGGAGUGAGUGUUUUUGGGCCAAUUAUAUGUAUGAGUAGGAAGACCCGGGGGUUAGCCCUAGCCACUGUUUGCUAGUAAGAUAUUCAGGACCAAAGUUCGAUGUCGGGCGGGUGUCCAAGGAAUGAUUUGCAUGAUAGUUUAUACUUGUUGUCUGUGUGAUACAUGCAUGUGCCUCGUAGGGAGGUGAGUGUGGGCGAGGUCCCGUAUCUCACCAAUUGCAGAGUGUGGACGAUGUUCCACAUCUUAUUAGCAGCAGAGCAGGGGCGAGGUCUAAGGUAAGAAGGGAGUGAGUGUGGGUUGGGCCUGUAUCUUACUAUCAGUAGGAGCGUGGAUGUCGUUCCAGGACUCGUCAUUAACAGGACAAGGGCGAGGCCCAAGAUAGGCGAGGCCUUAGAAUAGGAAACUAGUAGUAUAUGUCCAGUUUAUAUGUUAUGAUAUUAUUGUAUGUUAGUAUAUGUUAGCGGGUGGGGCCCAGAGACAGGCGAGGCCUAAGAGAAACAGAUAUGUACACCAAGCGGGGCCUAGGGCAGGCCGGGCCUAUUGUAGUGGGAGAGGCCCGAAGUAGUGGGCGAGGCCCGGUAUUUGCAGUAUGCAGUAUGUUUGUGGUAUGUGGUAGGUUGGGGAACUCACUACGCUUCGUGCUUACGGUUUUCAGUUUUGGUUUCAGGUACUUCCGGUAGCGGAGGGAAGAGCUCGGGGUGAUCGCAUGGCACACACCAUUGAUUAGUCAGCCUAGGAUGUUUUACUCUGAUAAUGGAAAUAUGUUUUGGAAAUUAAUACUUUGAAUUAUGUUAUGAUUUAUGAUCUGGUUUAUAUGAAUAUGUUUUCAGUAAAUGUUUAAAGAAAAUUUUUAGUUGUGAUUUUUGGGACGUUACAAUCUCUAUGGGUUCUUCCAUGAAGUUGAGGCUCUCGUUGAUCUUGAUCUCGUCGAGUGGGAUUACAAGAGUCUCGUCGAACAUACACUUUUUCAAGUUCGAGACAUGGAGGGUAAAACGUACGUUACCGAGUUUGCAAGUCGGUUGAAUUUGUAAGUUACAGGGCCGAUUCUGGCAAGAAUAUCGGAGGUCCUAACUAUCUUGGAUUUAGCUUUCCACGCUUUCCAAAGCGUAUCAAGCCCUCCCAGGGUGAGACUUCCAAAAGAAUUUGGUCUCUCACUUGGAAUUCCCAAGGUUUCUUACUCUUGCUUCUCUUUUCUGACAAGGGCCACUCCCUUCUGGGUCAAAGUCGUAAUAGGUUCCGUAAUUCGCGAGGAGUUCUAAAUGAACUACGACAGUAGGUCAGCGAGACCUAGAAUUUGGCGAAAUCCCAUCAGCGUCUUUGGUGCUGACAAAUUCUCAACAGUUUUGAUUAUUGGAAGGGUCCUCAAGAAUUCCCACAUCACUAAUUGUGUGUCUUAGGAAUUCGACUCUUCAAUUCCAAAAAUCGUAUUUAGAGAACUUUGAGUAGUGCUUCUUUGAUCGUAAUGUUUCCAUGGUUUGUUGUAGAUGCUCUUUAUGAUUUCCUUCUUACUACGAGAGUAGAUAAGUAAGUCAUUUACAAGGACAAUGACGAACUGAUCCAAGUAAGAAUGACGUACCCUAUUCAUUAAGUUCAUGAAUACUACGGGCGCAUUGGUCUUAUCCGAGGGGUAUCACUACGGACUCGUAGCGUCCGUAUCGAGUUUGGAAGAUUGUCCUCAGGACAUCCUUCUCUAAUACUCACAACUGGUGAUAUUUAGAUCUCAAGUCCAUUUCUAAAAGGUACAUUUUUCCUUGCGGUUGGUCGACCAAUUCAUCUAUGCCAGGCAGAGGGUAAUGAUUUCUAAUGGAAAUCUUGUCGAGGUCUCCGUUAGUCGAUGCUCCUACGAAACAAUCCAUCUAUCUUCCUGAAGAAUAAGACUGGAGUUCUCCAGGUUGAGGAGCUUGGUCUUCUAAUUCUAUUGUUGAGUAGUCGUUAAGUUGUUCGGACGGUUCUUGUAUCUCUGUGGGUGUCAGACUGAAGGGCGAUCUGGUUAUAGGAGGUAGUAUUGGGUCCUAAGUUCAUUCACAUAUCAAUGCGAUUACUCGUAGUCUUGGGCAGUCUCCGUCCUGAAGUUCAUAUUAGAAUUCAUACAUGGUUCAUCAAUCAUAGUCUCAUGUAUACGAUUCGUAUAUAAUUAAGAUUGAAAAGGUAGUCGAAUAAAUGAUUCUUCCUUAAGCGCACAUCCCAACGAGGAAAAGAAGUUAAAGUGGAAUCAUCAAUUCUAAACAUGUAGAACCUUGAUUAUUACCACCCUUGUGUAUACAUUCUUCAGCGAUAGAUCAACUGUAAGGGUCCUUGUGUUGAACUUGACGUACUGUACGAGGGGUACUCCAGGGAGGUUUGUUGAGGUUUCUUCAGAAAGGUUAUGAAACAUAAGGUACUCUAUGCAUGAGUACCUCAGAGUUCUGGAAUGACGGCUUCGCUAGAAAGGCGAUUUCGGAGAAAGAAAUUUACGCAUGAAACUGGUAUUGUGCGGAUCGAAUUGACUCAAGUUAUAUGAUAAUACUGGAAUCACUUGGAAAUAAAGGCAUUAGAUUUGAUCAUUAAGGUGUUAUAGACAAAACACAACAGUGCAACUUUUAAUAGAGUUACAGUACUUUAGACUAACUACAAGACUAUUGCUGCGAACAAGGUAUACUACAAAAGGCAAGUAUACGCAGCACGAGGGUCCCCUUACUGACGGGAUCUCGCAAAAGAUAAGACUCUAGUUGCACUAGUUUUAAACAUUUUAUGAUUAUGUUACAACGAAACGCCUUAAUUACUUUAACCUGGGUCCGGAGUAGUUUCUCCUGUGGCAGUGAUCCUUAGUAUCUUCCCGUCUGUGCCGGAGUUCUUUGUUAUUGGACAAUCCUUCUUGAGGUGUCCAAUCUCACCGCAUUGGUGACAUAUCUGGCUUGUACUAGCAUUGUUGGUGGAAGUGAGGUGUCGAGUCAGAGUUAUGUGGACACGGGUGUUUUCCUUGUUCAUCCACUUUGAAAUUUUCCUUUUAUAGGGUCCGGUUUUACCACCACUAACGUGUGCAGGGCUGGUCCCGAUGUCAGGGACUUGAGAAAUGGGUCGUGUCGGUGCUGAAAUGGUAGGAGUUUCCACUUGUUGUUGUUGCAUGGCAAGUCUUUGGGAUCGCUUGCGCUCCUUUCAGGCUUGGCGAUUUCGUUUCUUCUUCUCUGUUUUACGACUUUGCAAGUCCUGACUAUUAUCCUUUGUUGGCUUCCCGGAUCGGUACAAUGAUCAGAAUUGUCAACUCCUUUUCCAGUCUUGUUUGCAUUGUCAGAGUUAAGGUAUGCAAGGAAAGUUGUCAUGGCAGCUGUUACCGCGGCUUGUAAUGUAGCGGCAUCGAUAUGAAGGAUAGGGGUUUUGUUGCUCGGUUGACGAUUUCUGGAUGACGACAUGAUUCUGUUAUAUGAAAGAAAAGGAGUUCGUGAGCGAUUAUGGUUGAACCUAGAUGUAUUUCGAUCAUUCAUGUAAAGAGUAGAAGUAUGUUCUCGAGGGUUUGACCUACAUUCCUAUGAUGUAGUCCUAGUACAGAGUAGAAGUAUGUUUAUAGAAUGGUCUCAAGACGUUUGACGUCCAAACCGGGGUAUUAUUGGUUGGUGGAUAACAUGAUCCAACCUUUGAAAGAGAAUCGGGAAUGAUACCUGAGCUAAAUUACUCUAGUCCAAUAACUUGACUAGAGUGGGUUUCAGAUAGACUCCUAUGAAAGUAUGAUGAAAGUACUUGAACAAAGAGUAACACAGAAUUUAGCCGACUGUCAAUAUCAUUGAUGUUUAAGAUGUAAUAAGUUUGGGAAAAUUGACUUUGUAGAAGGUCUUACAUCAUAUCCGGAGUAGAAAAGUUUUGGCCGCAUCAAGGCCUAACUAAAAGUACUUACAGUACAAGUUAGUUACAUAGAAACAUGCCACAUAGGACAUAGACAGGAAAACAAUACCUUAAAACAAAGAUGAAGGUAAGGCAUCUCCUACUGGUGACGGUCACCCCUAUGGUGAAUCCUUAGUUCAGCUAGUUAACAUUCCAUAUCGAGCAGGUAUCUUUCGUAUACCCUCUGGCGUACUCGGAGCUCUAUGACUUCGGCUUGAGUUUCAGCUACUCCAUGCAGCAGGGUCUCAUCGUCUCUCUCAGAUCUCUCUCGAGCAUGUUCAAGGCAAUUGGUGUGAAUGGUAUGCAUUCCUGCAUUGGCAUCAACUUCUGCGAUACGAUGGAGAACUGUCCUGCCCUGAAUCUCGUUUCAAGCAACUCUACGAACCAGGAUUGGUAGAACUCAGUCUGCUGAGCUUCCUUUGUUUAGGUUGUAGAAGCUUCGGUCUCCAUUAAACGGCAUAGGUUGAUCUUGCUCCUCACUCCAUGUCUCCAAACAUUCUACCCAAGGGGGCGUCGGGCCAUGAAAAGUCGGACGAGGGUUAGGAUUUGGAAUGGGACCUACCAGGGGUAGGUUCUUAGCUUCGGGCUCAGAGUUAGCACCGUCCGAAAGGUUUUCGACAUGGUGAUCAUUCAAAGGGAUUGGAUGAUCAUCCUCUGGUUCUUCUCCAAACCAUCCAACAUUGCCUCCAUUUGGAAGAUGUGACAACCCGAAAUUUUCUUUUGGUCAAACCCUAAAAGUUCUUCACUCCAAUUUAUAAGUCAAUUUCAUUAUUAUUCAUUUUUAGCAAAUUUAAAGUUCGUUUGAUUAUUUUAAUAAUUAUUUUUUAAACGAAUGGGUGAAAGGAAGUGCCGUCUCGGGUCUUGAAAUUUCAAAGCCGCAAAUACCACGUAGCUUAGAAGUUCACGGCCAAACUUCUAUGUUUGGGCCGUAAACUCCCCCAAAAACCGUAAACUCAUGCCUUCAGCAUGAGUUUACUCCCCAAACUCAUCACUUCUUACUUUCACUUUCAAGAACAACACUAAAACUCUCUCAAGUAUCAUCCAAGUUUUUCUUCAAGAUCUUCAAUCUAGUAAGUGUUUCUAGCCCUUUCAAGUUAGUAUAUCACUUAAUCUAGUGAUUUUACAUCUUUUCAUCCAUCCAUUUUAGUGUUUUCAUUAGAUUUCCAAAACACCAAGAACACACACUAGUGUUCUUGGGCCCUUAGCACCUUUCAAGCUUCUAACUAAGUAAGUACUCCUACCCUAGUGUAUUGUUAAGCUUGUUAACUUUCCAUACAUCAAGAAAAAGUCCCAAGAACAUGGUGUUCACGGUCCAAGAAGUCCUUGGACCGCAAACCCCAAAUAAAAGUGCCAAAGUUAGCUUUAGUCCUUCAUAUGCCUUAGAAACUUGUUUAAAUCCAUUCUUUGAUGAACUAAGGACUUGAAAACCCCAAAAUACCAUAAAACUUAUGAGUUUACGAUAGUAAACUCAAAGGAAAAUGGUUUAGAAACCGUAAACUCCAAAUAGGAGUGAAAUGGUGCCCUAGUUCCUUCCUUAGCCACAUUCUUCAAGUAGAAAAGCUUCUAGGGACCUUUUAAGGCUUCAAACAUCAAAUGGUCAAAAAUGUGUGAGCUUACGGCCAUAAACUCAAUGGUUUACGACCGUAAACUCUUUUGGUUGUGACCACAAAACCGUAAACUCCCUAAUGGAGUUUUCCUUGAACCCCAAGCAUACUAGCCUUUCCCUACAACACUUAGAUGCAAUCCUUGGGACUUUAACACUUACAUAAGGUGUUUAACUUGUCUUAGGAUGUCUUAACUUUGUUAAUUAGUUGUUUAUAGACAAAUUGGAUACAUUUAUGUGUAUUUAUAUGUUAACUAGGCUCAUUGUGUAUGCACAAGUCUUCACUUGUCACCUAGCAAUCCUAUUUCUUCAGUUCAUCCAUACCACUCACUACAGGUGAGUUCAUACCCCUUUAACUUAUCUUUGAAAUACUUUUAAAUGUUUUAAAUGCUUUAUGGGGGGGAAUACAAGUUGAACCAUGUUAGUUAUUAGAUCAAUCACAUGUGAUUAAUAACCAACAUGCAACUGGAUUUUUCAUGCUUUAAACUGUUUUAUCAAGCAAAUAACUUUGAACUGUUAUCAAACUAUUUUACAUGUUUUUAAACUUAUAUAUUGUUAAAAACCAUGUCUACCUCAUAUAUAGUUAUAUAAAUAAGGUUUGAAGGACUUAGGAUAGAUAACCCACUUUACUUCCUGUCCUUGUUGGGUUGUGGUUCUAAAGUACCCGGUUGUUUGUCCGAGUGUCGUUGAAUCCUUACUUAUAUAUUGUGUAUAUAUGUAUAGAAAUAAUGAUUUAUAUCUCAGUUCAGUACAUUCAGUCAUUCAUCAAAUUUACUAAUAAACUAUAAUAGGUGUAGUUUAGGGUUAUACUACUUACUACUUCAGUUCUACGAAUCAUACAAGAGUUGGUUCAUACAUGAGUCAUUACUUAUUACUAGGAGAACAUAUACAUUAAAUUACUAUGAGAACAUAUACAACUAUACUAGAAGGAGAACAUAUAAAACUAUACUAGAAAGAGAACAUAUACAACGAUACUAGCACGAGUAACAAUACAUUACAUAUACAUGAAUACGUUAACAUAAAUGUGAUCCACUGUAUCGGAGCAUGCCUUCAAUGUCAUGGCCCGAGUUGUAGCCAGAGUCUCUUUGAGGGAGAGCGUGAGUUUGCGUAUAGAUCUAUACUGGAUUGACUAUCCUACACCUUGUUGCUAGCUACAGCCGGACCUGCAGGUCUGCGGGUGCCAAACGUCAUAUCUUAUUACGACCGUUCAUUAUGUCGUUGAUUAUCAGUCGAUAGCAUGGUGCAAUUAAUCACAAUAUNAAAUCUGGUUUAAGGUAGUUAGUACAACAGUAGUUCCUAUAAUACAACACUACAAUACUACAUUAAUUUACCCUUUACAUAUAUUAAGUGAUCAUUUCACUUAAACAUUAAUGUACAAACUAUAUUUUGAUAAUGAUAGUUACACUUGGGAAAAUUACACACUUUUACAAGACACGAACAUACAAAACAGUUAUGCCUUGGUAGAAGGCUACUUUUAGUAGGAAAUAUAGGAUUUUAUAGGAAAUACAAACUCUUAAAAACAUUUACAAACAUUCAUAUACUUUUAUUACAAAUGUUUAUAAACUCGUACUUCAAACCACGUUCAAAUGUUUUGAUACAAACACCGACACUAAAAUACUUAUGAACUCACCAGCUUUAAUGCUGAUAAACUCUUUCAAAACAACUUGUAUUCUCAGAUCAUCAGUAGACAGGUACCAAGAUCAUCAGUAGACAGGUACCAAGUAGAUGGAGUGCAUUCAAGAAAAUUAUCGCUAAGAGAAUGAUCAAAGAAUAAUGCAUGAACAAGGAUUUCUACCAAGGAUUGGCUCGAGAAAUACUCUUAUAGUAUUUCAUGAUUCGUUACGAUGCUGGUUCGAUGUUUGUGGUAUUAGGGUAAGUUUUAGGCAUGCCGCAUACCACAGUCACUCCCUAACACAUGUUGGUCGUGUCUCGAAUGAAUAUAGUUGGCCAGGCUAUAUUGAUUCUAGACACGGCUACAUAACUGCCCAGGUUUAACCGCAGCGUACAACACCCAUUUACUUAUGUUUUGUUCUACUUGUAGUUACGGAUUUCGACGGUCGGUAUACUUGUAUACUUUUAGAAAAUUACUUAUAUUCGUAGAGUAUACUUUUAGUUCAGAGCACUUAGGCCCUUUAAUGUUUAUAGUCUUAUACCAUGUAAGCUUUGGUAUACCAGUUCACUAUAAACAAGGGCUCUGAUACCAAUCUGUCACACCCCGAAAACCAAAGGCGGAAACAUUUCCGGGGUUGACUCCACGUUGAGUAUCAAAUCCAAUGCACAUAGUAAAGCAGUAAUAACAAAACAUUACAUUAGAUAAUAUUGUUUACAUCUGUUUGAAAGUAAAGUUGUACAAGUGUUUUACAUAUGUAAUAUAAACAAAAGUAAAGACAAGUCUUCGGGACGCUCCAUCUUCUCCAAAUGGUUGCGGUGUACCUGUCUAACGCUGACCUGAGAAUACAAGCGGUUUGAAAAUCAGCAUAAAGCUGGUGAGUUCAUAAGCGGUUUAGUUUUGAAAAGAACGAGUUCCUUUACUUUCUGGAAAAGUUGUUGAUCAAGAAAAUCCCAUAUUUUCUUAUGAAAACGGUUUGGUUAUCCUUUGUUACAAUUUCGAAAACNNNNNNNNNNNNCCCAGGAAAAUCCCAUAUUUUCCUAUGUGUUGAGUUGUCUAUUUGUAUCUAGGUUCGUUACUGGUUGUUAUGUUAUCCCAGGAAAAUCCCAUAUUUUCCUAUGUGUGGUGGUUGAUUCUUAGGUCUGAUUUCGUAGUACUAGUAAUUACCAUGUGAGUAGUAUUAGUUAUGUGUUCUAAACCCUUAGUUAUUCUACAUUCGAAUGACUAUUAUCUACUAGCUUAGUUGUAUUUUCGAACAUUUAGAAUCACACAGAAGCGUACAUUACUGUAUUUUCGAAGUUCUGCUUAGUUCCAAAAGAGUAUAUUAUUUGUGUAUUCGAAGCUCUGUCGACAUUCUGAGGCGGAUAUAUUUGAAACUCAGUAGAGGUCCUGAGGCGUAUUUUCGUAUUAGAUUCGAAACUCUGGUGACACUCAAGGAGUACACUAACUGUAUUUUCGAAGUCUUAGCGUCAACCAAAGGCGUCAUUUCGCAUUCGUAGUCGUAUUCGCAUUCGUAGUCGUAUUCGUAUUUGUAGUCGUGAUCGUAUUCGUAUUCGUAUUUGUAUUCGUAUUCGUAUUCGUAUUCGUAUUCGUAUUCGUAAUUCGUAUUCGUAUUCGUAUUCGUAUUCAUAUUCGUAUUCGUAAUUCGGAUUCGUAUUCGUAUUCGUAUUCGUAUUCGUAAUUCGUAUUCCUAUUCGUAUUCGUAUUCGUAUUCGUAUUCAUAUUUGUAUUUGUAUUCGUAUUCGUACUAGAUUACAUUCGUAUUGAUCUUAAAUAUGAUUAGUAUGAUUUCUUAUUCAAAGAGAAUAUAGUUAUAACACUCUUAAAAGAAAUCUAUGUUUAACCUGCAAUUCGAAACGUCAGUUAUCACAAAUCUUUGGAAAUCAAAACAUUUAGUAAGUAAAACCAUUGAGUUGAAAAUCAGUUUAAGUACAAAAUACACUUGUACUUUUUGCUUGUAUUCCCCCCUGAAAACAUUGAAAAACCAUUGAAAACACGGAAAAAGGGUAGGGGUAUGAACUCACCGGACUCAGAAAUGCAACGAUUUCAGACACUAAACGUCGAUUUGGGGCCUGAUUACUCACGAUGUUCCUAUGUAAAAUGAAAUAAUGUCCAUAUAUAUCUAAUUAGAUUUACAAUCACUAAUUAUAUGGAACAUUAUACUCCAAUGAGAUUAAACACCUCAAAACGAGUGUUUGGAGUGACCCGGGUGACAUCUACGGACGUGUAAUGGCACGAGGGACUUGGGAUUUGAGUUUACUCCCCAAGAGUAAACAUUUUAGGGAGUUUACAACCAUAAAACACAUACAUACAUGAGUUCACGGCCGUGAACUCAUGUUGGUGUGAUUUUGAGUGCUUAAUGGCUUGUUUGGACUUGGGAAAUGUUGGAAUGGACUUCUAAAAUGCCUUGGAAUAAAUUUAUGGGACUUAUACCCUUCAAAAGGGAGUUCACGGCUGUAAACUUAGAGUUUACGGCCGUAAACUCUACCAUGGUCAAGAGUAAUUUUUUUGGGGCACAAGGGACAAUCACAUGUGAUUCUAGUUAAUUUUCCAAGCCUUGUUAUGAUUUAAUGGCAUCAUUUAACACAUAAUUAGGAGUUUACGGCCUAAGAGCAUGAUAUAUGGCCGUAAACUCUUAUAUGAUGCAUUUUGAUGUGUUUAAGACCUCCAAACUAUUUUUAGAUGGUUCUAGGACUUACCACAAGGCUAUUGGUUAAGUUUGAAGGCAUUUGGACAUGUGAAAAGGAGUUUACUCUCCAUUUUUGAGGGGUUUACGGCCCAAGCAUGAACCUUGGCCAUAAAAUCCUAUUUACUCCUCAAAAAUUAUGUUUGUAAUGUUCUAAGGUAAAUACCAUUAUUCUAUAAUCCAUAUCUAAGCCUUGUUUGAGUCUAGGAAGGGUUUAAGGGCUUAAAAACCCUCUAAAUUAGUGUUUACGGCCUAGGCACCUUCCAGGGCCGUAAACUCUUAAACAAGGUUCUAAAUCAUGUUUCAAGGCAUUCUAAGCUCAUUCCAUAAAGUCAUUUAGCCAUAUCUAAGGUCUAAUUGUGGUUUGGAAGGGUUUUGUUGCUCCAAAAACCCCAUUUAUAUGAGUUUACGGCCUAGGACUGUUCUAGGGCCGUAAACUCAUGGUAAUGGUCCUAAUCCAUGGUUUAAACUCCGAUUUGAAGGCUCAAUAUGAUGCAAAAUGAGUAUAGGAAGGUACCUUGAAGAUUUGAGACCUUAAACUUGAGAUUUGGACCUUUAAUUCUAGUUUGAGGAGAGAGGUUGGAGUGAAAGUUGUAGAAUGGAGCAAAAGCUUCAAAAUGAAGACUUGGAUCACUUUAAAUAGUGUCCAAGUUCGGGACACGGUAGAAUUCUACCCGAUACCGGCGUUAGACGGGGCUUUUGGUCGCACCCGGCCAAUUUGCCGUAACCCGAUAUGGUUGAUUCUAGAAAUGUUCCGAUCAUUAAUAUGAGACGUUAGAAUGAGUUCUAAGGGUAUUAAGACACUUAUUAAGUCAUAAAAUAAAAUAUACAUUAAUGACUUAAUAAAAUGUCGGAAUCGGAAACGGCGAUUAGAUGAUCGGAACGAGUCGCGAGUAGGGUUACAUUUAGGGAUAUGAAUUUCGGGUUGUUACAUUAUCCCCCCGUUAGAGGGAAUUUCGUCCCGAAAUUCAAAGAUUCGAACACAGAUCACGAAGUGAAAAGAGAUAUGAGAAUGAAUCUACUGCUUCGGGUCUUCAAGCUCCUAAGUGGAAUCGGGUCUCCGCUUGACAUUCCAGCGAACCCUCACUGUCAGGAUGUGGCUUUGUUACGCAUGGUUAACCUCUCAAUCNNNNNNNNNNNNNNNNNNNNNNNNNNNNNNNNNNNNNNNNNNNNNNNNNNNNNNNNNNNNNNNNNNNNNNNNNNNNNNNNNNNNNNNNNNNNNNNNNNNNNNNNNNNNNNNNNNNNNNNNNNNNNNNNNNNNNNNNNNNNNNNNNNNNNNNNNNNNNNNNNNNNNNNNNNNNNNNNNNNNNNNNNNNNNNNNNNNNNNNNNNNNNNNNNNNNNNNNNNNNNNNNNNNNNNNNNNNNNNNNNNNNNNNNNNNNNNNNNNNNNNNNNNNNNNNNNNNNNNNNNNNNNNNNNNNNNNNNNNNNNNNNNNNNNNNNNNNNNNNNNNNNNNNNNNNNNNNNNNNNNNNNNNNNNNNNNNNNNNNNNNNNNNNNNNNNNNNNNNNNNNNNNNNNNNNNNNNNNNNNNNNNNNNNNNNNNNNNNNNNNNNNNNNNNNNNNNNNNNNNNNNNNNNNNNNNNNNNNNNNNNNNNNNNNNNNNNNNNNNNNNNNNNNNNNNNNNNNNNNNNNNNNNNNNNNNNNNNNNNNNNNNNNNNNNNNNNNNNNNNNNNNNNNNNNNNNNNNNNNNNNNNNNNNNNNNNNNNNNNNNNNNNNNNNNNNNNNNNNNNNNNNNNNNNNNNNNNNNNNNNNNNNNNNNNNNNNNNNNNNNNNNNNNNNNNNNNNNNNNNNNNNNNNNNNNNNNNNNNNNNNNNNNNNNNNNNNNNNNNNNNNNNNNNNNNNNNNNNNNNNNNNNNNNNNNNNNNNNNNNNNNNNNNNNNNNNNNNNNNNNNNNNNNNNNNNNNNNNNNNNNNNNNNNNNNNNNNNNNNNNNNNNNNNNNNNNNNNNNNNNNNNNNNNNNNNNNNNNNNNNNNNNNNNNNNNNNNNNNNNNNNNNNNNNNNNNNNNNNNNNNNNNNNNNNNNNNNNNNNNNNNNNNNNNNNNNNNNNNNNNNNNNNNNNNNNNNNNNNNNNNNNNNNNNNNNNNNNNNNNNNNNNNNNNNNNNNNNNNNNNNNNNNNNNNNNNNNNNNNNNNNNNNNNNNNNNNNNNNNNNNNNNNNNNNNNNNNNNNNNNNNNNNNNNNNNNNNNNNNNNNNNNNNNNNNNNNNNNNNNNNNNNNNNNNNNNNNNNNNNNNNNNNNNNNNNNNNNNNNNNNNNNNNNNNNNNNNNNNNNNNNNNNNNNNNNNNNNNNNNNNNNNNNNNNNNNNNNNNNNNNNNNNNNNNNNNNNNNNNNNNNNNNNNNNNNNNNNNNNNNNNNNNNNNNNNNNNNNNNNNNNNNNNNNNNNNNNNNNNNNNNNNNNNNNNNNNNNNNNNNNNNNNNNNNNNNNNNNNNNNNNNNNNNNNNNNNNNNNNNNNNNNNNNNNNNNNNNNNNNNNNNNNNNNNNNNNNNNNNNNNNNNNNNNNNNNNNNNNNNNNNNNNNNNNNNNNNNNNNNNNNNNNNNNNNNNNNNNNNNNNNNNNNNNNNNNNNNNNNNNNNNNNNNNNNNNNNNNNNNNNNNNNNNNNNNNNNNNNNNNNNNNNNNNNNNNNNNNNNNNNNNNNNNNNNNNNNNNNNNNNNNNNNNNNNNNNNNNNNNNNNNNNNNNNNNNNNNNNNNNNNNNNNNNNNNNNNNNNNNNNNNNNNNNNNNNNNNNNNNNNNNNNNNNNNNNNNNNNNNNNNNNNNNNNNNNNNNNNNNNNNNNNNNNNNNNNNNNNNNNNNNNNNNNNNNNNNNNNNNNNNNNNNNNNNNNNNNNNNNNNNNNNNNNNNNNNNNNNNNNNNNNNNNNNNNNNNNNNNNNNNNNNNNNNNNNNNNNNNNNNNNNNNNNNNNNNNNNNNNNNNNNNNNNNNNNNNNNNNNNNNNNNNNNNNNNNNNNNNNNNNNNNNNNNNNNNNNNNNNNNNNNNNNNNNNNNNNNNNNNNNNNNNNNNNNNNNNNNNNNNNNNNNNNNNNNNNNNNNNNNNNNNNNNNNNNNNNNNNNNNNNNNNNNNNNNNNNNNNNNNNNNNNNNNNNNNNNNNNNNNNNNNNNNNNNNNNNNNNNNNNNNNNNNNNNNNNNNNNNNNNNNNNNNNNNNNNNNNNNNNNNNNNNNNNNNNNNNNNNNNNNNNNNNNNNNNNNNNNNNNNNNNNNNNNNNNNNNNNNNNAAGUCUUUAUAGGAACACUCCUUCCGGUGUCCCUGAUUACCUUCUUGGUUUUGGUUUUGGGAACCACCUCCUGAACCAUUGGGGUUUAGUUGAGGUAGGAGAGCUGAUAUGGUGGCAGAAAUGGUUGCCUGAAGUGUUUCUAGAUCGAUUUGAAGAGGAGGUGGUGGCGGCGGAGGGAUGUUGGUGUUCUUUGAGCUGGGUCUCUUUCUUGGAGGCAUCUUGAUCUAAUAAGAUCAAGGAAGAGAGGAUGAUAAGUCCUAUGGAUUGAAUCAAGAGAUAUGAUAGAUAUAUGAUGAAUAAGCGAUAAAGCAGGAUAGAGUUAUCAAGACAAGAAAAUUAUCGCUAAGAGAAUGAUCAAAGAAUAAUGCAUGAACGAGGAUUUCUACCAAGGAUUGGCUCGAGAAAUACUCCCAUAGUAUUUCAUGAUUCGUUACGACGCUGGUUCGAUGUUUGUGGUAUUACGGUAAGUUUUAGGCAUGUCGCUUACCAUAGUCACUCCCAAGCACAUGUUGGCCGUGUCUCGAAUGAAUAUAGUUGGCCAAGCUAUAUUGAUCCUAGAUACGACUACAUAACUGCCCAGGUUAAACCGCAGCGUACAACACCCAUUUACUUAUGUUCUGUUCUACUUGUAGUUACGGAGCUCGACGGGUCGGUAUACUUAUAUACUUUUGAAAAUACUUAUAUUUUGAAGGAUACUUUUAGUUCAGAGCACUUAGGUUCCUUAAUGUUUAUAGUUUUAUACCAUGUAAGUUUUGGUAUACUUCAUUCACUAUAAACAAGGGCUCUGAUACCAAUCUAUCACACCCCGAAAACCGAAGGCAGAAACAUUUCCGGGGUUGACUCCACGUUGAAUAUCAAAUCCAAUGUGCAUAGUAAGUAAAGUAAAUCAACCAUUACAUUACAUAUAUGAAAGUUUUACAUUCGUUUCAAAAGCAUAAGUUAUACAAGUGAUACAUAUCAUAUAUAAACAACACGAAACGAGUCUUCUGAGAACUCCGUCUUCAAACAAGAAGAUCUUCGGGUACCUGUCUAACGUGGACCUGAGAAUACAAGCGGUUUGAAAAUCAGCAUAAAGCUGGUGAGUUCAUAAGCGGUUAGAUUUUCUGAAAAUGUACGAGUUCCUUUGGUUUCCUGAAAAAGCGUUUAUCCAAGAAAAUCCCAUAUUUUCUUAUGUAAAGUUAGUUUCCAAAUCCGAAAAGUAAAGUAAACGAUGUACAAUGAAAACAUGAUUGUUCUUGUGAAUUGUAGUUCAGUUAUUUAAUUUGUUACACAUUUCUAGUUACGUACUACGGUUACUCAGGAAAACCCCAUGUUCUCCUGACUAUGUGUGUGUGAACUAUUACCGAUUCUGAUUAUGUUCAGUGUCCUUCCCAGGAAAACCCCAUGUUUUCCUGAAAGUGUGUGUGUGUGUGUAUCUUUACCGAUUCUGGUUAUGUUCAGUGUUCUCCCCAGGAAAACCCCAUGUUUUCCUGAAUGUGUGUAUAUGUGUGCCUGUCAUCCUUGAACGUACAUUAGUUUUAUUACGUACAUAAAACUAAUAAAUACUCGUAAAGUGUUAAUAAUCCUGAUUGCGAGUCCUUAACCAUACUCAGACUAGAUAUGACUCGGACCAGGGCCAGUAUCCUUUUUAUGACUUUCGUCACCCUUGAACCUUUCGGUUCGGCUGUAGCUAGCAGCCAGGUGUGGGAUUGUCAGUCCCGUAUAGAUCUAUACACUCAAGCCACGCUCUCCUACGUUCGGAGAUUCUGGUUACAGGGUUAGUCCUCCACUAUCUCGUGCCAAGGAAGUGUUACAAGGACGUGUCUCCAAUCUUUAAGAUUACUCUUUACUUUUCGACUAGGAAAGUAGUAUCUACGACUAGCUAAGUUCUAACGUACCUGUCCUUUACACUCGAGCCUAGGUGUUUUAUUAAGGACAUUACACUCGAGCCUAGGUGUUAUCUAAUGAUGACUGUCCUUUACACUCGAUCCUAGGUGUAUUAUUAAGGACGUUACAAAUGAUAUAUGUGUUAUCUUAUGGUGAUUGUCCUUUACACUCGAUCCUAGGUGUAUUAUUAAGGACAUUACAAUUGAUUUGUGUGUUAUGAUGGUAUUUAUCUAUCACACUCGAGCCUAGGUGUAUUGUUAAGGACAUACAGAUGUUUUAUGUUUUCUGAUGGUGUCUGUCUUUUACACUCGAACCUUAGUGUUUUGUUACAGACAUUACAAUGGUUUAUGUGUUCUAUCAGUUUAAAUGUGAACAAUCAAAUAUAAAGUAUACAAUACAUCAAUGUAUAAUAAGAAUUGAAAAUCGGGUUAAAACAAAUAACUCUGCAAGUUAAAACAGUUUGUUAAAAGGUUUUCAAUUCUUAAAAAUGUACAAUUAUGAAACCAUUUAACUGAAAUCAUGUGUUUAAGUACAAGAUAUUCUUGUACUUUUGCUUGUAUUCCCCCCUGAAAACAUUGAAAAACCAUUGAAAAAGGGUAGGGGUAUGAACUCACCGGACGCGGAAAUGUGUCGGUUUCGGAUGCUAAACGUCGAAUCGAGGCCUGAUAACACGCGAGGUUCCUAUGUAAAAUGAAAUGGCAUACAAAUAUAUCUAAUUAGAUUCACAAACUCUAAUUAGAUAUGAAGUUACACUCCAACGAACGAAAACACCUCAAAACGGGUGUUUGGAGUGACCCGGGUGACAUCUACGGACGGGAAUUGAAGCGAGGGACUUGGGAUUUGAGUUUACUCCCCAAGAGUAAACUUCCUAAUGAGUUUUCCGCCUCUAAACACAUAACCACAUGAGUUCACAUCCGUGAACUCAUGUCCGGUAGUUUUAUGGUGCUUAAUGGGUCACAAAUGGCUAUUAACACUUGGAAAUGCUUGGAAUAAUUUUACCUAAGGCUUGGAAUGAAUUAAAAUCACCAAAUACAACACUUAAGGGAGUUUACGGCCUUGGCAUGGGGCCUAUGGCCGUAAACUCUCAUAUUCCCUUGAAUAAUUGUUUUUAAGGUCCCAAAGUUAAUCACAUGUGAUUCUAAAAAUUCCUACAAGCCUUAAAAUGAUUUUUGGGCACAAUAUGACAUGCUUUUAGGAGUUUACGGCCAUGGAGCACCUUCUAUGGCCGUAAACUCUCAAAUGAAGAGUUUUGAUGUGUUUAAAGCCCUUAAACUAUUUUUGGUUGGUUCUAUGAUUUAUUCCAAGGCUUUUGGUGGUGUUGGAUGGCUUUCUAACACCUUAAAAAUGAGUUUACACCCAUGAUUGAGGAGUUUACGGCCCAAGCACAUGCCUUGGCCGUAAACUCAUACAAACCCCUCAAAAUUUAUGUCUAAGGUGUUCUAGGUCCAUAACCAAUAUUCUAAAAGUCGUAUCUAAGUCUUGUUUGAGCCAUGGAAGGGUUUAAGGGCUUAAAAACCCUUUAAAUAUGGGUUUACGGCCUAAGCACCAUCCUGGGCCGUAAACUCAUAUAUAAGGCUCUAAAUCAUGGUUUGAGGCAUUCUAAUUCCAUUUCAUAAAGUCAUCUAGCCAUAUUCAAGGUCUAAUUGUGGUUUGGAAGGGUUUUGUUGCUCCAAAAACCCCAUUUAUAUGAGUUUACGGCCUAGGACUGUUCUAGGGCCGUAAACUCAUGGUAAUGGUCCUAAUCCAUGGUUUAAACUCGAAUUUGAAGGCUCAAUAUGAUGCAAAAUGAGUAUAGGAAGGUACCUUGAAGAUUUGAGACCUUAAACUUGAGAUUUGGACCUUUAAUUCUAGUUUGAGGAGAGAGGUUGGAGUGAAAGUUGUAGAAUGGAGCAAAAGCUUCAAAAUGAAGACUUGGAUCACUUUAAAUAGUGUCCAAGUUCGGGACACGGUAGAAUUCUACCCGAUACCGGCGUUAGACGGGGCUUUUGGUCGCACCCGGCCAAUUUGCCGUAACCCGAUAUGGUUGAUUCUAGAAAUGUUCCGAUCAUUAAUAUGAGACGUUAGAAUGAGUUCUAAGGGUAUUAAGACACUUAUUAAGUCAUAAAAUAAAAUAUACAUUAAUGACUUAAUAAAAUGUCGGAAUCGGAAACGAAAUCGGAAACGGCGAUUAGAUGAUCGGAACGAGUCGCGAGUAGGGUUACAUUUAGGGAUAUGAAUUUCGGGUUGUUACAUUAUCCCCCCGUUAGAGGGAAUUUCGUCCCGAAAUUCAAAGAUUCGAACACAGAUCACGAAGUGAAAAGAGAUAUGAGAGUGAAUCUACUGCUUCGGGUCUUCAAGCUCCUAAGUGGAAUCGGGUCUCCGCUUGACAUUCCAGCGAACCCUCACUGUCAGGGUGUGGCUUUGUUACGCAUGGUUAACCUCUCAAUCUACGAUCUCAAUUGAUUCGUACAUGAAGGUUCGGAUUUUCAUUGAUUUUGAUCUCCUCAAAGGAAUUACUAGGGUUUAGUCAGGUCGGCAAGCCUUACGAAUAAAUAUGCGGAAUAUCAGAUGGUUGCUACUGAGUCCUGAAGAUACCUCGGAGAGGGCUAUGGAAUCGAUUCCUAACGAGGAUCUCAAAGAGUCUAAGGUUCCACAGAUUAAGUUUUUCCACACUUCCCAAGGCGUACUAUAUCUUUCCAGGGUAAAACCUCCAACAAGUGGGUACACUUUCACAUGGUAGAGUAACUAAGGGUCCGAUGGUUCUAAGGGAAACUUCUAUAUGAGUCUACGAUUAUAGUCGACGGAACCCAAGAAUCGACAGGUUUCCAUGGGUGUUCCCAGUGUCGACUAAUUCUUUAUUGCCUUUGCUUUUGGAAGGGUUUACGAGUAUGACUGCUUUGCUUAUCUACGGACCAAGAAAAUGGUUCGACCGAAGGGCGCCACUACUACUUCGUAGUGAUCGUAUCAAGCCUGGAUUGCUAACUUGCACAUAUCGUGCUCACUGAGGUUUGGCUACGAGGAAAUUCCUGGGAUUAGGUCGAUGCGAGAUUGGACUGCACGUUCGGAAAGAAUUACCAAGAAUUCUUUGGAAACAGUAUCGGGGAAGGAAUCGUAGACUUCUCGUUUCUCGAUGAUCACUCGGACGAGAAAUACAUGGAAAGACUUUUUAAGCUUUGAUGUACGAAGAUCAUGAAAAUCGAGUCGAAGGAAGGUUGGAACGAAUGGCUUUCUCGAAACUAGGAAAGACAGCAUGAAUGAGGCUCAGUCAUUACAUGCUAAUGGUGACAUCAAAGCAUCUCAUAAAAGUUUGCCACUAGGUCGAAUGGAAAAAAAAUAUCGCUCGGAUUGAGAAUACAACCUACGGAUACGACACAAGCGUUCUCGCUCUCACGUGAUAACCAUCUCGAAGAUAUACAUAUUCGGUUACUCGCAAACGACGGGGUUAGAAGAUGUUCAUAUGGAUGGUUAACGAAUUUCUUUCGGUGCUAGAAUCGAAAAGAAUCGCAGGCAUAUAAAUUUAACAAGGGAAAAUAUACAUGUGGCAACGGUGGGAUCGGUGGCUGUCUCCUCUUGUCCUAUUGCUAGAACUCUUCCAGUGUUUCCAGGUGUUACAGCCUUGGGUCAGUUUCGCUUAACAUGUCCAACUUCUCCACAACCAUAGCAGGCCCGACCAAUUCCCGCUCCGGAAGUUUGACUCGUUGAUUGGGUUGGGAUUUUGCAGGUUCGUGCGAGGUGACCCUCUUGGCCACAGCUUUUACAGAACUUUGCACGACAAGGACCAGGGAUGCAAUGGUGGUAGUUACAUCGGUCACACCACGGGAAGAUACCGGCAUAUCCGGUGACAGGUACUUGGGAUGUGGAAUUGACAACAGAAACAGCAGCAGGGGUAGUGGCAGCAUGGACUGCCACUAUUUGUUGUUUCUUUGAGGGCUCUGGGGAAGACUGACUCUUCUUCUUCUUUCUCCAAAACUUUCUUUUCUCGCCACUCUUUUCUGUUGGCUCGGGAGUGGUGUCUGCUUCCUCUUGAUCAUCACUGUGAUCGAUCAAAGUUUGAGCCAGACACUUGGCGCUGUCAUAGGUAUCUGGCUUUGCUGCUAUAACGUUCCCUUUGGAUCACUUUAAAUAGUGUCCAAGUUCGGGACAAGGUAGAAUUCUACCCGAUACCGGUGUUAGACGGGGCUUUUUGUCGCACCCGGCCAAUUUGUCGUAACCCGAUAUGGUUGAUUCUAGAAAUGUUCCGAUCAUUAAUAUGAGACGUUAGAGUGAGUUCUAAGGGUAUUAAGACACUUAUUAAGUCAUAAAAUAAAAUAUACAUUAAUGACUUAAUAAAAUGUCGGAAUCGGAAACGAAAUCGGAAACGGCGAUUAGAUGAUCGGAACGAGUCGCGAGUAGGGUUACAUUUAGGGAUAUGAAUUUCGGGUUGUUACAACUAUCACCUUUUGUUUAGAACAAUGCGUUAGUGAUUCAUUGGUAUAAUUAGAUCGUGUACUUGUUCUAUGCUAUAGCACCUUAUUAUGUUUGUUCUGUUAUCAUGUAUUGUAUCUUCCUCCCUGUCUCUCUUUAUUGUGUGUUCUCUUAUGUUAUCGUGUAUUGUAAUUGUAUUUCUGUAAUUGUAUCUCUUCAUAUAGUAUGUAUUGUAUUAGUAUAGACUCAUGAAUGAACUGACUCUUGUGUGAUUCCUUGUACUUGGAAUAGUAAGUAGUAUCUCCUAACUAUACCUAUUAUAGUUACUAGUAAUGUACGUGUAUAACCGAAAGUAUGCCUUUGCUACCCAAAGGUACUGAACUGAUUGAUGGAACUUUUUAUGUUUAUAUAUGUGUACAUGAUAUAUAACUAAUAUUUAGACGACAUUCAAACGAAUAACCGAUACCCUAAGUCCACAUCCAAACGAGGAAAAGGAAAUAAAGCGAGCUAGCCGUCCUAAGUCCUUUAAACAUUACUUAUAUAACUAUACAUAUAUAGGCAUGCAUUUGACAAUAUAUAUGUAAUAAAAGAAGUUUGGUAAAACCUUUGAAAAGUUUAAUAACUAAGAAAUGAUGACUUGAUGUCAGUUUAUAAAACGAUUUAAAAGUAGUUUGUUUGAUAAGACAGUUUUAAGUAUAAGAAAAACCUUUGUUUGAAACACAAUUGUAACAGAGUUUGAAAGGAAACAUACAGUAUGGAAGACAGUUUGAUAAAGAGUUUUAACAUGUAAAAACGUUUGAGAAAAUCAUUUGAAGUAAUAUGUUUGGUAAAACACCUAAAAGUGUAGUAAAUCCAUUUGUAUGAUAGUUAUUAAUCACAUGUGAUUGAUAUAAAAACUAACAUGAUUCAACUUGUAUUACCCCCAUAAAAGCAUUUAUAACAUUUAAAAACAUUUAAAAGGUUAAUUAAGAGGUAUGAACUCACCUGUAGUGAGUGGUUUGGAUGAACGGAUUGUAUAGGAUGUUACGUGUCAAGUGAAGACUUGAGCACACACACGGAUCCUAUAUAACAUAUAAUAACACAUAUAUGUAACCAAUUAAUCAUUUAACAACUAAUUAACCAAGUUAAGACACCCUAGGAUAUGGAAACACUUUGAUUCAAGUGUUAGAAGUACCAAGGGUUGCAUCUAAGGGUUGUAUAGCCACUUAAGGGAGUGUUCGGUUCAAGUGGUAUGUUUCUUGUGGUUUUCGAUCCAAAUGGCCUUUCAGUCAUGGGGGUUUUUGGUCUAAGCAGAUUCAACCAAAAGCUCCUCCAAUCUUGUAAAAAUGGUCUUCUUGAAGGAGCCUAGCUCAAUGGGUCGGUCUCUAGGGUUCAUGCUUAGCCUUAGGAAAGGUUUAAGGCCAUUUGCACACUUCAUGAGGGUUUUCGGUCUAAGGAGAUACACUAGACCAAAAACUCCUCUUUUUCAUGGAUGAUUGUCGAUUUCAAGUCCUAAAUCAAGUAUCCUUACUAGGUAACACGUAUUUGAGAUAGAUACUUAUAAUAUGGAAGCAAAGAAAGAUGUUUUCGGCCCAAAACACUAGUGUGUGUUCUUGGUGUUCUUGAAGAACACUUGAAGAUCUAAGAAAAUGGAAUGAUUUCACAGAUGAAAUCAUGUAAGAUCACUAGAUAAUGGAAGAGAUCGACUAAAAAAGGAAGGAAACACUUACAAUCUUGAAGAUCUCAAAAAUAUUUGGAUGAUACUUGAGAGAGAAUUGUUCUUGACUUGGAAAUGGAAAAAGAAUGGUAAAAAUGACUAAGUGUCAUUUAUAUACCCUUUAGAGUUUUCGGUCCAAAGACCAUUUGGGCCGAAAACUCCUAGCUCUUGUAGUUUUAUGACUUAAAUGUUGUAUAAUUAAUUCUAAAGUAUACUUUCUUUCGUUUAUUCUUUCGAAGAAUAAUAUUUAAAAAUACCUAAACGGACUUUAAAACAAGCUAAAAAUUAGCAGAGUUGAAUUUGACUUUUAAUUGAAGUUCUGGACUGUAGGGUUUGCACAAGUGAAAACUACGGGUUGUCACAAAGAAGACCCAGGUGAACCUACUAAAGUCAUCCACAAUCACAAGGAUAUAUUUUUUGUGAUGCAAACUCUCUAAUGUUGAGGGUCCAUACAGAUCAAUGUGUAGAAGUUAUAACGACUUUGAGAUACAUAUUUCAAUGAUGACAGCAUGACCCUUCUUUGACUGCUUUCCACAUUCACAUGCAGCACAUAAAUGGUCAUUUUCGAACUUGAGGAGUGGCAGACCUCUUACCAACUCACUGGAAACAAGAUCAUUCAUAUACCAAAAGUUUAGAUGAGCAAACCUCCUAUGUGAUAACCUGUUGACGUCAGGAACGGCUUUUGAGAGUAAGCAGAUUUAAGGCUCGCCAAUGAUCAUGUUGAUGUCAAGAUGAUACAUGUUCUUGUUGCGAUUUGACUUGAUUAAACAUUCCUUCUGGACAUGACAUAGUUGUGUUUCUUGCAAAAUUCAACUCGAUAAUUAGCAUCAGUGAGUUGAGCCACACUUAUCAAAUUAUGCUUCAAGUCAGCUACAUAUGCGACAUUUGAAAUGGAGAAGUUGCAUUUGUAAGGAUGCUAUAACCUUCGAUCUGAGAUUUGGAGUUGUUGUCAUACGUCACAUAGCCAGCAUUUAGUGAAAUUUUGAGAUCUCGCAGAAAAUCCUUCUGCCCCGUCAUGUGCAUGGAGAAAGCACCAUCAAUAUACCAUAUUGUUUUAAUGAGUUGUGGAGUUUUUAGGCUUCGAGUUAGGUUUUGGGACAAAGGCACGAGUCUUAGGCUUUGGUUGUGGUUUUUUAGCAACAUGUGUUUUGGAAGGUUUGUUCUGAGAUUCCUUAGGAAACAAAUAGAAGGCCAUGGUUCUUUCAUCUAUCCAAUAAUCAUACUCAAUGACACGAGGAUUCGGAGCAACUUUUCUCGGAUACUCAAUGUCCGGAGCAGUAGGAACCACUGUGUCUCUCGGAGUUGCAGUUUCAUCAUUGUGAUUUUUACUUUGAGAGACUGUUUUCUUAACAGCUUGUUUUUUAGUUGAUGGUAUAUUCGGUUUUGAAAUCUGUUGAGGUUUGAAAAUUGUACCAUCAGAUUUGGCUAUGAAAACAUAUGAAACAAUCCGAGGAGAGUUAGUUCGAAUAGAUUAAGUACCUACAAUGGACUUUUGUGGAUUAGGACUAACCACUUUCUUAUGUUCUACGGAAUUGGGAGGGGUAUGAGGUCUCUUGAGGAUCUUAGUGGGUACGAAGGUGUUUUGACUCUUAGUUGGUGAAUUGGCAGUCCGAGAUACACUCUUUUUGGAGUUCUCAAGGAAUCUAGAAUUUUGUCUCGACUUAACUUCCUUUUUGUGAGUAUUCCGGGCUUUUACCUUAGAAUCAACAACAUCUUUCCUAUUCAACAUGGGUUUCCUUUUGGAAUGAAGGGAAGGUUUGGAGGUUUGUCCUACUGGAGGAUUGUUGAACACAGGCUUGAUUGGAACUAGUUUUGUUUUGGAAAUCACUUGAAGUUUAGAAUCACAUGAAAAUUGAAUCAUCAACGUCACUAUCUAAAGAUGCCUAAACACACUCAGAGAAUUCAAGUCUAGUUGUCUCCGGAAAAAUUUCCUCAACGACACAGUUGUUAGGAGGGUUGUUCGGAAUUUGAACGACAUAAUUCAUAAUAUUAGAGUGGGGUUCGGAGGUCCGAUUCCGGUCCAGGUUUAUCAGAGGCGGAAGAGGCAUGGAAUCGGGACACUUGACAACUAUAGGCUUGAACUCAGGAAUUAGUGAUGCAAAUUGGUCAGAAGUCUCAGGAAGGGUGACAAAGGUGAGAUAGGGGUGUCCAAAUGUUUGAUGUUCGGAAUGUCUCCCAUAAAAGUUGGGUUUUGUAACUCCUUCAAGGGACGAGCAAUGGGUUUUGGAAACUCGCUUCCGAGACUAGGAGCUUUUGACCAAGGAUGACGAAAAUUGUGAGUCAUCCGUUCAUUUGCUUCAAGAAUGUCAGUGGAAUUGUGUAAAACAUCUAUUUUAGCAUAGAGGUGUUUGUUGUCAGAAAUUAAAACAUUUCUUUCAGAAUAAGUGAUUUCACAUUUGUCUUUAAGAAUGAUACAUUCAUCUUGUGCCAUUACAAGCUCUCGUUCUAAAGACUCUAUUUUCAACUUCUUAUCCUCAAAAUGUAAUUUAUGACUACUUAAUUCACUUUCCUUAUUCUCACUGGCUUCUAUGGCUGACACAUAGGCUUUAUAAAUGAUGUUCAUAUCUGACUGGAUCUGGGUUAGAUAUGGUUCACAAAGAGAUAAGUCAAAAUUAUUAUCAGUAAUCAUAGAUUUUACAUAUUGAAUGAUGCUUCUGCUAGGUGGAUCGUUGGUAGCCAUGUAGUAGUAGUUUGGUUCAACAUCUUCAUCAUAUCUUUCUGACCCAAACGACUAGUAGCCUUCAUCACAUUCUAUUUCUGGUUUAUCCAUAAGACACAUAUUCCUGCCAGUGGUUAUGUCAUCAUCAUCUCUAGAUGACCAAUACCCUUCUACAUCCCUUGAUACAGUGGUAACAAAAUCCUUUUCACUUUCUGCCAUUUCUUGAGCUCGACGUGCAUAGUAAGCAGAGUCUUUGAUCUUGGUUUUCUGUGGGAUUUCGGCUAAGGAAUCUUUGGCAAAGUGAUUUUCUUGGCCAUAUUUGUGACAAACAAUCUUGGGUUUUUCCGACUUCGGAGUCUGUGAUGAUUCUGAGGUGUGAUUUGGUGUAGGAAGGUUAGGCUUUAGGAUGGUGGGUUUUCUGAAGGUUUGUUGAAAGGUUGAGGAUUAUUUUGGUGAGGAGCCUGGAAAUAGUUGUGAUAUGACUUGUUAUAAGGACGAUUAUAUUUCAUGGAAAGUAAGGCAAACUCCUGUUGGAAACGGAGUUUGGAGUCCAUUUCUUAAGAGUUAAGAUCACCAGCUAAUUGAUAGUUGUUAGUGGUGGGAGAAGGUAUGGUUGGAGGUAAGAGUUGAAUAUGAGGAAUACAAGAAACAAUAACAGAGAAGGGGUCCAAAACAGCAAGGUUCGGAGUUUGUGGAUCGUGGGAACUGACUAGAGCUAGAGGGCCUCCAGUGAGUUCACGUAGGGUUUGUGCAAAUUUGAUUCAUGACCUUGAAGCUCACCGAAGAGUUGGUAGAGCUUCAGCUUUUUCAGAGAUCCAUUACUCUACAGACAUGAUUUCACAUUUCCCUAACCUUUUCCGAGGCUGUUGAUGAACUUGAGGUUGUACACCAGUGGAGUUCGGACUAUCCCAUGAACUGUCAUGUUGUUGACGACAAUUUGGUGUCUGUUUGAGGCUGAGGCAACAGAUUCACCAGGUAUUGUGGUGAACGCGUCGAACUCAUUGACCACCAAGGUUAGACGUUUAUCCUUCAUGUUCUCAGACCCUUCAAACAAAUCUUGAAGUGUGUCCCAAAUAUCUUUUGCGGAUUUGCACUGUUUAAUGUGCUCAAAGAGAGAAGGUGGAACACCAAACACCAUUUUGGAAAAGGCAACUUGAUCUGCAUGCAGCUUUUCAAGAUCAUCAGCAGUGAGCGGUGCUUGAUGUUGUUCAUCCUGUCCCAUAAGAGUUGCAACAACAUCUCUAACAAUGAUUCGAACUAGAACAUGGAGACCUUCUUUAACGGAUCUCCAGAUAGAUUCACCUUUUUCUUUUCCAAGUAAAAAUAUUUCCAUUCUGACUUUCCAGUGAUCAUACUUUUCAACAACUAGCAGUAGGGCACGUAUAGGGCAACCCACACUAUUUGUUAUUUGCAUUGAGUACAUUUGUUGAGAAUUAGAAGCAUCCAUUGAAGUUAAGAUAUCUUGAGCAAAAGUGGUAUAUAGAAGAACUUUUAUCCUGAACACAAAAAUGAUUGAAAUACCAAGGUAAUCUUGAGUCAACUAUAAUUUGUUCUUAUGGAUUUAAAGGACAACCACUCAAGCUCUGAUACCAAUUGUGAGAAUAAGGAUCUGAUUGCGCAGGGACAAGGCUUGAAAACUCAAACCGUGAGUUAAUGCUUAAGAUCAAUGUCUUCUUCUGAUUAUAAGUUCCAAUCAAGUCUGUCAAGACCAGUCAAAACUUGAAGAUGAAUAUCAAUAAUGUACUUCAAGAAUUAAAUAUGAGACUAUGAGUAUAAUCAAGGAAAAGACAAUAAAUGAACCCAAUGAAUGUUUGAAAUAAUGAUUUGAGAGAAAGGUGAAAGUGAAGUAAAUGUGAAAAUAUCUAUCUUUGGACAAAACAAUCUGUCUACAAUUCUUGUCAUUAAAUGCUCCUUGUAUAAGAGAAAGAGUUACAUCAUAAAAACCAAGUUACUUACAUAGGACCAGAUAAAGUGAUUACUCCUGACACAUCUAAUUAUCCGUUUUGACAAAAUAAACUAAGUCCUAUGAACUGUUACAUCAAGUAAAAGACAAGAAUAAUAAAUGUAACACAGAAAGAUGAUCUCUAAACAAACUUCUUCACUUCGGACAUAGUCUCGACUCCUGAUGCUAUUCCACUUUGGAACUAAGACUGACUUCAGAACAACAAAAGGUUAAAUAUUGUUAGAGGUUCACUUUCAGGUUCUAACAGAAAUUAACGAUGUUAUCAUUAACAAUUGACUUCAAAUGAAUUUAAACAAAUCAUUUAAUCUCAUAAGCAACUAUAUGAGGACUUAAUCUCUUAGAAAUUUCUGAAUUUUGGUAGUAGUACUACACAUACACGAAGGAAGAUCUUGAAGAAUGCGUAAUUCGUCCCAUAUUUUUGUGAUUUUAGUAUAGUACAUAGAAAAUUCAUUCGAACCUUAAGAGAGAGAGAGAGAGAGAGAUAAAGAGAGAGAGGGAGAAAGAGAGAAAGAGAGAGAGAGAGAGAGAGAGAGAGAGAGAGAGAGAAUAAAGUUGUUGUUGAACUUGAUACUGAUGGGUUUUAGCUAUAAGAACAUCCUAUGUGCUCAUACAAACCCUAAUGCUUGGAUCUAGGUUUCUCUAUUGUACAUGCAAUUCAUUCAAGACUAUAAACCCUAGAUCUAGCAUAUGAUAAUCAAUAUAACAUAUAAAUUAGGGUUUAGAUCAUACCUUGAUUGUUAUGUAGCAAUAACA
rnacentral:lncRNA from 1 species